GAGGAGGAGCUGGUGCAUCAUCAGAGUCAGCAUCAUCACCAAAGUGAUCCACAUUUGCACCUUGGAUGGCAAUGUGAGUGAUGUGUCCUUCAAGGUUGUACAAGGGGCCGAUUCUGUUUUCAUUGGCUUCACGGGUGCCAUCUUCCCGAGGAGCAGACGGACCUAGGUUGAGGUCAAGUCCAUAUGCCUUCUUGUUCUCCAUAGCAGAGUCUUUCGCAAACUUGAAGUUGCGCUUGAACAGGUUGUCUUCGCGACACCACAGCAGAGAAGAGGGGUCAGCAUUCUCUGGCUGCGGUCCGCAAACCAUGCACGGAUAGAAGACUUGACCAAUAGCUUCGGUCUUGGACCUGGGAGGAAAAUUCUUGUAUAGGAUCUCCCCAGGGUCGCUUGAUGGCAUUCUUCUCGGCAUACUCAGCAGUGACAAAUCUGUAUUUGAACCAUUCCUCUGCCCAAUAUCUUCGAAUCCACUAGAUUCGAUUCUUGCAUUCUCUAUAGGUUUCUUCGGGGUCUGUUUUGUAUAGUUCGUGCAAAUCUGGUGGCAAGUCUUUGGAAGUAUUCCCACGGCGCUGUCAGAUUUCGGGUUCCGGCAGACCCUUGAGGUUCGAACAUUGGGGUGCGCACGGAGAUUUCGCCCUCUACCUACCUGUUCCUCGCCGAAUCGCUAGGAUCUAAACUACCAGAGGAACAACACAAGAGACACAGAGUUUAUACUGGUUCAGGCCACCAUUGUGGUGUAAUACCCUACUCCAGUGUGUGGUGUGGUGGAUUGCCUCUUGGGCUGAUGAUGAACAAUACAAGGAAGAACAGCCUCGCGAGGGUCUGCUCUUGGCUGGUGCGAUGAACUGCAAGGAGGAGUUCAGUCUCUCUCUCCCUCUCUUGAUUCUAGAUGCCCCCUUUCCCUGGGGGUGGCUAGUCCUAUUUAUAGGCAAAGGCCCUGGGCCUCCUCCCAAAUAAGUAGCGGGAAGGGCGCCAACAAUUGUCCAUUUUGAAGGGGAACAUCGGGUACACUUAUCCUGACUAAAGUUGGUCCUCACUUGCCAAAGGCUCUGGCGGUGAUGCCUGCUUGGGCUCCACAAUGACUUCCUCCCUACCGUUGGGCUGGUCUUGGUCUUGUUGCACCGAAAUGGGUGCCUUUGCUUGAUGCUCUUGCCUGCACUUGCUCCCUUUGCACCAAAGAGGGAAGGAGGACACUGCGCGGGCUGGCGCCCGACUGGUGCCAUUGGUCAUCAUGGCUUGCAUCACGGGCACCUCACGAGGUACCCCGCCUUGAUCUCUCCGCCUCCUCGUGAGCCAACCUGAUGAGGUCAUGCCUGAGGAAGCUCCUUGUCGUCCGCCCCACGAGGCUUGGCCCCUCGCGAGGGUCUUGAGCUUGUGUUGAUGAAGAUGGGCCGUGCUGGGCUCCCCUUUGAGCCACGCCGCAGGCCGCAGGCAGGCAAGUCUGGGGACCCCCGUUCCCAGAACGCGGAUAGUAGCCCCCGGGCCCAAGGCGCGCCCGGACUUGGCUGAGCAGAGAGGCGAAAGGGCAAGUGCGAAGCGCCGCGGGCCCUAACAGCCUGCGACCUUGGGCGCUGCGUGGCGGUUGAUUGGACGUGGGCGUCUCCACUUCCCCAUGAUGCCUCGGCAACUAGGCUUGACAAGUCCCUGCAUGCAGAGCGAGUCAUGAUUAGCUGUGAUCGUGGAGGUCGGCAGUUGGCCUCCCCUGGCUUUAAGUACGGCACGCCGCGUGCCCUUCCAGUUUAUCCCCUCUUGCUUCUCCUUCUUCUCCAUGGCCCCGUCAAGGAAGUUCUGGCCGCAGAGAAAGGAAAGGCCCGCCAGGUUGAGCCUGCCUCUCCCCCGCCUAAGCGCGGUCGAGGCCGCCCUCGCAAACACCCUGUGGCCUCCACGGCGGCCCCCUCGAUCACGGAGGUGACUUCCCGCGCAGUGACGGGCGGCUGACCAUGGCCGGGGGGCGUGCUUCAGCCGUGCGACCCCCUAGGCCGCGCUUCCACUCCGCGGAAGUGCUGCCGGAGUCCAUUGUGUGGGCAGUGGAACCGACCAGCGCCCGGCUUCAGCUCCCUCGCUUCCUCCUAGGUGAGCUCCCGGCUGGCGCCCCGGGCGGCCUCUGGCUCCAGGCAGAUGGCUGUUGCAGCCGGGCCUCGUGGGCUUCGCUGGAGGUCUCCACGGCUGGGAGCUUGGCCUUGACCCGCGGCUGGCAGACGUUUGCCUACGCGCGUGGCCUGAGCCGUCGAUGCACCCUGCACUUCAAGUUCGACGGUGAUGCCACCCUCUACGUGAGGGUGUUUGGGGAAGAUGGUCGUUGUCGGUGUCAAAACCGGCGGAUCUCGGGUAGGGGGUCCCGAACUAUGCGGAUGGUAACAGGAGACAAGGGACACGAUGUUUUUACCCAGGUUCGGGCCCUCUCGAUGGAGGUAAAACCCUACUCCUGCUUGAUUGAUAUUGAUGAUAUGGGUAGUACAAGAGUGGAUCUACCACAAGAUCAAGGAGGAUAAACCCUAGAAGCUAGCCUAUGGUAUGAUUGUUGUAAUGGUUGUGUGUCCUACGGACUAAAACCCUCCGAUUUAUAUAGACAUCGGAGAGGGCUAGGGUUACACAGAGUCGGUUACAAUGGUAGGAGAUCUACAUAUCCGUAUCGCCAAGCUUGCCGUCCACGCCAAGGAAAGUCCCAUACGGACACGGGACGAAGUCUUCAAUCUUGUAUCUUCAUAGUCUUGGAGUCCGGCCGAUGAUGGUAGUCCGGCUAUCCGGACACCCCCUAGUCCAGGACUCCCUCAGUAGCCCCUGAACCAGGCUUCAAUGACGAUGAGUCCGGCGCGCAUAUUGUUCGGCAUUGCAAGGCGGGUUCCUCCUCCGAAUAAUUCAUAGAAGAUUGUGAACACCAGGAUAGUGUCCGGCUCUGCAAAAUGAAUUCCACAUUCCACCAUAGAGAGAAUAAUAUGUACACAAGUUCAAUCUGCUGACGUAUUUUGUGGCGUGACGUCACACCACCACCAAGCCUUUACUUGAAUCAUUUUUUAUUAUACCACCUCAGCGCGUUUAGCGAAGCGGUUUCCUUGGCACGUCUUGUCGAAGCAGAUAUCGUGUUCCCCUUAUUCCGGGAUUCCCAUCAAUACGAACGUGGGUAACCCAACCGCGCCAUUGAUGGUGGCGCUUGGGAGAUAAGCGAGUUUUACCAGGCCGGUGGGGACGCAUAGUCUUCGUCCGCCCAUAUAUAAGGGGAUAAGGAUCCACCUUUUUUACCUACGCCUUCCUCCUUUGCUUAUCCAUCUCUGCGUACUCGAGCUCCAGCGCCCAAGCUCGCACAUCUCGCCUCAACCUUCUCCAGCCAUGUUCGGAGUGGGAGGCAAGUGGAUGGUCUCCUUCGUCACGGAGGGGCACAUCGAAAAGUUGUGCAGCGCCGGAUACCACUCCAGCGACAUCGCGCACCGGCUGCCCGACAAGGGGCAGCUCAUCCCCACCCCCAGGCCCCAUGAGAGGGUCAUAUUCCUUCCCCACUUCCUUCGCGGACCGGGCUUCCCACUUCAUCCCUUCGUCCGGGGGCUCAUGUACUACUACGGCCUGGACUUCCACGAUCUGGCGCCAAACUUCAUCCUCAACAUCUCGGCGUUUAUCGUCGUGUGUGAGGCCUUCCUCUGCAUCCAGCCCCACUUCGGCUUGUGGCUAAAAACCAUCAAUGUCAAGCCGAAGGUAGUGAAGGGCGUUCAAGCGGAGUGCGGAGGCGCCAUGGUGGGCAAAAUGCCCAACGUCCUCUGGCUCGAGGGCGCCUUUGUGGAAACCAUGAAAGGGUGGCAAUCGGGGUGGUUCUAUAUCACCGAGCCACGGGACCCUAAAUGGGCAGCGGCCCCCGAGUUCAGAUCUGGUACCCCCAUGCAGCUCACCUCCUGGAAAGAGAAGGGCUUGCUAUGGGGCAGUUCAGAGGAGCUGACCGGACUCCAGUCCUGUCUCCAGACCCUAGUGAACAAGAAGCUCAAGCUUGUCAACGUGAUCCAAGUCAUGCUCGUCCACCGGAUUCUCCGCUGCCAACAACGGGCCUUCAAUCUGUGGGAGUUUGAUCUGGCACAGCACCGGACCCUGAGCGGGCUCUUCUACAUGACGUACGAAGCUUCCUGGAGGGUGCUGUUCAAGGGUGGAGAAGCCCCCGCGUCCGCGACUGAAGACCGCGGAUUCAGCACCAAGCGCCGGCCGGUGUGGUAAGAUAUGUCAUCCUUUAUGGGACAUUUAUUUCUUUCAUAGUUUGACUCUAUUGUGGGAUCUAAAACUCCCGAUGCCUUUAACAGGACUGGCAGAGGACGUCCGGACAGGUUAACUGUCCAGCUCCCCUCCCCGAAGACCCAGCGGAUACCCGUUUAACGGGGCUGCUAGUCCCGACACUUUAUGUGGUGCCGGAGAAGAAGGCCAAGAAGAAGGCCACGGGAACCCGAAGUAUUUCCCGGCGUCAGGUGGUAUCGGAGUCAUCGUCCGAUGACUCCGAGGCGGACUCCUCCCCCAAAGGCGAGGAGGAGGAAGAAGGCUCUCCCCAGGAGGGGGGAGAGAGGAAGAUGAAGGCUUCCCCAACGGGGGAGGCCGAAGGGUCCAAGAGAGGAAGGACCCUUCCUCCGGACAGCUCUGCCAACGCCAACAUUGGCGACAAAGGGUGGCCCUCAAGGGCCAAGCCUCCAGCAAGAUCGUAAGUAUCCGGAUCCCUGAGUGAUUUAUAAUUUCUCUUUUGUGCCACAUAGUUUCCUUCUAAUGCCGCCCACUACCUGUAGUCCGGCCGAGGAUGAUCUUCCCGCUUCAUCGAGCGGGUCCUUGGAUCCAUCGGAUGUGGAUUCCAUUCCGAUCGCCUCCACCCCUCGUGAUGCUAAUGACGCCGAGGUGGGAUCCCAGGAGGGGACCCAUCAGGAGGAGGCUCCGGAGGUGCCGCAAGGCAGCCUCCCAGACUUUGCGCCGGACUCCAUGCCGGAACCUACAGUGGUUCCGGAGUCCGGCAGGCGGCCCCUUCGUAAGAAGGGCAAGACCGUGACACCGGCAGCCUCCGUCCAGACAACUUGUUGGAGGCGCUCAACGGCGCUUCCAUCGAGGAAGAACACCGCACAAUUAUGAGUGCGGUGAUUCAAAAGGUUCAGCUUGCCAAGAGCAGGCUGACUGAAGCCUGCAGCAGCCUUCUAACAGGUUUUGAGGUAAGAAGUUUUAAAAUAUGUAAUGUAAUACCGCAUAGAUAGUAGCCCCUGAUGCUCGGUUCGGUGUUCGGAAGGAAAAGCCGGACUGAGGAUCUAAAAAGAUAUACACAGGAGUUCUAAAAAUUAUGUCAAUAUGGGUUUGCAGGCUGCGCUGCUAACCUCUGCCGCAUUGACUGCAGAGGUCAGUGCUUUGAAGCAGGACCUCGAACGGACCAAGAACGAGCUUGGUCUUGCCAAGAAGCAGCUCGAGGACAAAGAAGGUGAGGAACAUCGUAUUAAAUUUGUACCUUACAGAAAAGGAUUUUGGUUGCGAUAGAAAUAACAAGGAUGACAUGGGUACUACAGGGGCCACAAACGAGGUGGCGACCCUGAAGGAGGCUGUGUCCGCGGCCGAACGCAAUGCGGCCGCGGAACGAGCGGAGCGAGAGAAACAAGAGGCGUGGGUGGCGGAGGUGCGGCAAGAGCUCCAGGCUCUCAUGGAAAAGCAUGAGAGUUUGGAGCGCGACUCAAAGACUCGAGAGUCCGAGCUUGCGUCAGCUCUUGAAAGUGCCAAAGACGCUAAGGCCGAGGCCCAUAAGGCCCUCCAGGAGAUUGAGGCGGUGAAGAAAAUAGCGGCGGGUAAGGCAUAUUUCAUUCAAAGCAAGCAUGUGAAUGUGAAUUACCUGUUACUUACCCGAAUUCGGAGCUCUCCAGGGGCAUUUGCAGAUCUGCCUCGCAGCGUGUCCGAUGCCGCUGCAUUGUAUCGGGCCGAGGAGGGGAGCUCAAUGGAGAAGGUCUUCUGGUCUCAGUAUGCUGAGGCCGGACAUCCGGUGCCCCUUAGCGACCAGCUGAAGCAGCUGGUCGAGCUCCACAAGGUAGCCGAGCAGGCCAUGAAGGGCCUCAUAGUCCGGUUGUGGCCUGAAGAGGCCAUGCCUGGGAGCUACUUCGGCCUCGUGCGGCGGCUGGUGGAUGCGUGCCCCUGGGUGGAAGUCAUCAAGCGCUCCGCCUGCAUUGAAGGUGCCCGUCGGGCCCUUGCCCGCGCAUAGGUGCACUGGGGCAGGCUGGAUGCUGAGAGGCUUAUCACGGACGCGCCGUCGGUGGGCAAGGAGUAUCGUACACCCGAAAUGUACUAUAAGAGUGUCCUGAAGGGUGCCCGCAAGAUUGCGGAUGAAUGCCCCAAAGAUGUAAUUUUUGAGUAGACUCGCAAUGUGUUAUCCUGUGCGCUGAAAACUUUAUUCAUAUGCGCUAAGCAACGCUUAUUAAUUUAAAAUAUUACCUUCUAUGCGGCCGUUUAUCAAAUCUGAGAGAUGGCAAGUCGUCGGCUUCAGCUCCCAAGCCACGAGUGCUGGGGUGUUUGGGAUAAACUUGAGCGCUCUUGUUCCCAUUUUUGGGUCCAUCCAGGGAGGCGCUCAACACAACGAACAAGGCAACCGGACUUAUAAUGCUUGAACACUCUCACUUAGCCAUAGAAUUCUAUAAUUUUAAAUUUCGGUGAAGCCCCUAGUGUUCGAAAGACCGAAUUCAGGGCGCUAUUGUCAGGACCCCGAUCCUAAGUCACACCGAUCUAGCAUGUAACACAUCAUAUAACUUUGCGGCCUCACGCACGGUAUUCCCACGGGUGCCACCUUACCUGGCCCGGGACCGUUUGCGCCUUUUGGCUCACGUAUAUGAUAGUGUCGCUAGCAUCCAUAUGACAAAGAACCCGGGCUAACAUGGCUAGUCGUGAACCCAAAGUGGCACUAACUUACAGGGACAGGCAUCCAUGACCCAGCAUCGAAUGUGUCGGUCAUCAGCGAGUGAAUCCAGGCUGUAGCACUAGGCUAGCAGGACUCCGGUGAACCGGGCUGUAGCGGCUAAUAGGACUCCGGUAUUCAUCACGUGACAUUUCCCCAAAGAGACAGACACAGGAACGAAGAAGGACACAUGCCGGCCAGCCUAAGUGUUCCGGAGCAGUAGCAAGCUACCAUGGCUCGGUGGAAACACUAGGAGACAUUUCCCGGUAAGAGAGUCUACCAAGGAUAAACAACUAGGUUGUCAGAUCCCACACAUACCAAGCAUUUCAAUAACAUACACACAAUAUGCUCGAUAUGUGCAAAUACAACAUGGCAUCACAACAUGACUCUACGACUCAAGUAUUUUAUUCAAUAGGCUCCGAGGAGCGAGAUAUUACAAACAUGGGUCUCAUGACCCAACAAUCAGAGCAUACAAGUCAAAGCACAAGCGGAAGCUUAACAUGUCUGAGUACAGACAACUAUAAAUGAAAAAGGCUUAGAAGCCUGACUAUCUACCAGAUCCUGCGGAGGACACAAGAUUGUAGCUGAGGUAACAAGCUAAACGUCGAAGUCCACGUGGAACGACUAGUGAGACUGAAGUCUCUCUGCAAAAACAUAAAUUAAGCAACGUGAGUACAAAUGUACCCAGCAAGACUUACAUCAGAACUAACUACAUAUGCAUCAUUAUCAACAAAGGGGAUGGUGGGUUUUAACUGCAGCAAGCCAGCUUUGACACGGUGGCUAUCCUGAACUACAACUGCAAGUAACUCUUUUGAGAUGGCGCACACGAGUCCACAUAUUCACCAUAUCAAUACACCACUAUGGAUCCGCUCUCGUCUCCCUACGAGAACGCCAUCCAUAGCACUCACGCUUAUCUUGCGUAUUUUACAGUAUCCACUUUCACUUGUCUAUGAACUAUGCAAGGGGUCCAAGUUUCCAUAUCCGAGGAAUCCGGCUAUUCGAAUAGAUAAUGAUAACCCUACAGGGGUGUACUUCUUCACACACUCUCCCGCCACUUAUCGCCCUGUACACGUCAUGUACCUCGGCAACCUUCAAGCGGAAGCCGGGCGAGGGAGUCGGCCACGACCUAACUAACCAAACAAGUCUCUCGUCCAGGUUUAUCGCCUAUUCGGGUUCCAUCCGCAAGGAGAUCCGGCCGGGGUGUCGCUCACGGCCCCAAACAAUGUGAGCAGGGUUCCCAAGCCCACCAUCCGGGUGCCACUUGGUACACCAUGCCACUGUGCCUAGUCUGUCACAAGCCCACCUGUACCGGGUGCCACUUGGUAGACUACUAACACUACCUACAAACACCAGAAACUAGUUGCAACUCCUGGACAGAGAUCAAGUUGAUUAAUAAGUCGAGAGGGGCACUUAAGCAUUCCAAUGUGUGGUAAUAGCUAGUCAUGGAUCACAAACACAGAACUCAGUUCCUGAGGACGGCUGCAAUGAGACAACCCACCAUGUACUCCUACAUGGCCUCUCACCGCUACCUUUACUAAAUCGUGUUCACACACUUAGCUCUCAACGGUAGGACAUGUUCACACACCUCUGGUUCAUCCCCGAUGAAUCAGACUUGACUCAACUCUAAGCAGUAGCAGGCAUGACAAACAAGCAAGAAUGAGUAGGCACAACAGAGCUCAAACAAUUCCUACUCAUGCUAGUGGGUUUCAUCUAUUUACUGUGGCAAUGACAGGUCAUGUAGAGGAUAAAGGGGUUCAACUACCGCAGCAAGUAACAGAUGAAUCGUUGUUGUCCUAAUGCAGUAAAGAGAGCAGGAGCGAGAGAGUGGGAUUUUAUCGGAAUGAACAAGGGGGUUUUGCUUGCCUGGAACUUCUGAAGAUUACAUUGAGUCUUCAUCAGUGUCAACGAUCACAUCAUCGGUACAGCGUCUACCGAGGGGGAACAACACCGGCAAACACAGAAGAAACACGAUCAAUGCAAUGCACAAUAUGAUGCAUGCUAUGACAUGGCAAUAUGAGUGUGUUUUGGGCUAAUGCACCUAGCUAUGAUUUAAAUGAAGUUUGUUUGAAUACAUGAUUCAAAUUUCAACUCCAUGUAUGAUUAUUUAAAUGCCCUUUAUUUGUUUUGUCCAAAACAGAGGACAAACAUUGUUCAAACAUGCACGAAAAUUGAACAGAUGGAUUCCUUGAAUUUUUCUGAUAAUUUUUCAUAUAUAAAUUAUUUAAUUUGGAGUUAUGGUUGAAUUUCUAUGAAUUUUAGAAGUUUAUACAAUUUUCUGGAAUUUUCUGAAUUAGAAUAAAUCCAGAAAAUGAUUUAUUGCAUCAGCACUAGGUCAUGCUGAUGUCAGCAGGUCAACUAGGCGGGUGCAGGUCAAACCUGACCAGUGGGGUCCACUGGUCAGUGACUGGGGCUGGAUAGUGCCAAUGACAGUUGGGCCGGGUCAACAGACACGUCAGCACGGUCAAAGCUGACGUGUGGGCCCACGGUGGUUGGGUUAAAACUAACAGAAAAUAAUAAAGAUUAAAUAAGGGCGUGGGGCCCAUACGUCAGUGGCUCUGGGGAGGGUUACCUGGCCGUGAUUAGCGCUAAUCACGCGGCCACGUCGGCUAGUGACGCCGGCGACCACGGCGACGGCGAGACCUCGCCGGAGUUGCUCGGGACGGCGCUACGGCCCGCGGCUGGUCGCGCUGAGGGCACCAAGAGGGAGCCCGUGCUCCCGCGCAUCUAGGGGCGCACGCAGCUGGGCACGGGGAGGCCGGGGUCGACGGCGGCGACCACUUAGGCGGCGGCCGGAGCUCGGGGGUUCGCGGGACCGGCGCUGCGGUGCACGGGAGGACGAGUGGUUAGGUGCCUUGUGUUCCUGGGAGCAUGCUGAGGACGACAGCGUGCUCGGAUGCGACACAUGUGGGUUCUAGCCGCAACAGAGACAUGGACGGCGGCAAGCAAGCUCCGGCUCCGGUGGGAUCGAGGCUACAGGGCGCAAUCGAGGCGGGGAAGAGAGAGGGGAGGCGUAGGAGCUCACAGUGAGUUCGAAGAGCAGGUCGGCGUGCUCGGGCAGACGGCGGAGAGGAUGAAUCGGACGACGGCAUCCGGCGGCCAUGGUCGGGGAAGAAACGCCGCGGCAUCGUCUUGGGUCGACGUAGAGGGGCUUGGGGUCCGGGCUGAGCUCGGGUACGCAGAGAGGGAGCGAGGAAGUGGCUGUGGCCGCGGUGGUUGCGAGCGACGGCGAUGAGCGCGCUUGGGCGCGAGAGGGGGAGAGCAGAGGAGGGAGAAGGGGGUCGGGAGAGAGUGAGAGAGAGGAGCAAGGGGGCUGCGUGGCGUCACCCGAAGAGGCCAGGGCGAAGCGGCAAGCAGGAGGUGGCCGGGGCGGCGUCGGCGCUCGCCACCGAGCAGCUUCGGGGCGAGGGGGAGGAAGACGACAGAGAGGAGGAGGUGGGCUGGGCCGGCCAGCUCAGAUGGGCCGCCAGGUGGCUAGAAUGCCAGGUAAGUGGCUGGGCUUUUUUUUUCUGUUCUGUUUUAUUUUUUAAAUUUGUUUUGCCACUGUUUUGAAUUUAAAAUAAUUUAAACAAUGCCAAAAACUCCUCUGAAUAUUUUUGUUUUGCUAGAUGGACUUUUCCAAAAGCUCAUAAAAUAUUUCAGGGGUAUUUGAAAUUAUAUUCUAAUUAUAUGAAUAUAAUUCAAAUUCAAAUAACUAAUGAUUUAAAUUCAAAGUCCCAAAAAUAAUUCCUUUUAAAAUGUUCAUUAUUUUUGGUUUGGAUCAAAACCCUUGCCAAAAAUAUUAAACAUCUAAGAAGAGCAUUUUGGAACAAUGAAUGGGAUUUUAGGGUUUUUGCCCUUCUUUUAUUUAGGGUUUUGAGGCUUCCAAAUUUCCUCAGUUCAAGUUUCAAAAAUUUAAACAUGAUGCAAACACUAGGCAGCACCAUAAGCUAGGGAUGUGACAACUCGCCCCCACUAAACAAGAAUCUCGUCUCGAGAUUCAAGCGUAGGGUAAGAUGAAGGGGAAACGCAAACUAGUAUAAUCUUCACGAUCCAGGGUGCACUUCAUAAAAGCGUUGAUUCGAUCACCAUCUUUGUCCCGUCGUCUUGAUCUGAGAACUCCAACUAGCAUGACAGCAAGAGGAAUAGGACAACUCCGGAGGAAUCGAUCUUCUCGAAGAUCAAUCAACUUAGGAUCAGCUCACAAAGUGAGUCAUAGCAACAUCUCUUGAGCUGAGACACGAAGCAUACAUCUGAAGAAUGGAGUGGAACAGAUGACGAGGGUUCGCUAAGUAGACAACAAUUCCACACUCGAGGGGGUGGUGAAUGGUUUCAAGAUAGCGAGGGUUGAGUUGCCAUGAUACCAUAACGAUGCACCUUAGGGAAGGUGACUCGUAGAGAUAUCCCCUUAAGUGGCAAAAAGAAUUACCUUUGAUUCAGAGAUCAUUGAAACUCUUUAAACCAGCCUAAGGCAAUCACAAGCGAUCAUUUGGAGGGGGUCGGUAGAAUGGCAUACCCGGACUUGGAUGAUGUGGAUUACCUUGUUGAAGACAACGUAAUGGAUGAAUUUGCUUACCACCGGAAAUGGAAGAGACCCAUGGUAGAAUGGCACAUUGGCGGUGCAAGCUGGGAACAAAAUGCGAAUGCUAGGAAUGAUUCUGGUAACUGGGGAAGAACCCAACAAUAGAGAGUGAGUUCACUGUUUGAAAAGUUAUAGCAUAACCGAGGAAGAUGAGAGCACUAUAUAGUUAAUGCCGACGAUCAAACCUAGCACCUGCGCGUGCUCUCAAGAACUUGAGCAAUUCCACAAUCAUCAGGGUUUUAUCAACAUCCGUGUCAAGGGUGCUGACAACACAACAUACUACCAUGAUGAAUAGCGAUGGAUGAUGCAGAUGCAAAGGAGGAUAACACUUUCUCAGAUUUCACCUUAGCGAGGCCAAGGAACCAAAAUCUGCAUGAUCGACCGAGAGACAUUUAGCACUCGGCUUCUAAUGUUCUCCUUGACGUGCUAGUGUAUCCCAUUCAUAGAUAUGGUUUGAUAACUAGAACAUCAAGUAAAGGUCGGACUUCGGGAGCAAUAGAAUCCAUAAGGAACAGUUACAGAGGUAAAUCCUACGAAAUCCUUAUGGGGAGGUGGCCAACUUCCUCAAACAAGAUACUACAAUAAUAGGUCUUUCGGCUGGGUGUGUUGGCCAUGACAUCCACUUUACCGGUUAUCGAGGGACCAAUAUUAUAGUUCUUGGGGAAAGGGUCCAACCAUCAUAUCUGCCUGAGAUUCAGAUCUGGUUGGUGUUAGGAUAUUCCAGACUCAUCGAGUCUAGGAAGAAAAACGAAAGUUUGCAACACAAAUCGACGAGAUGACAUUGCGAGAUUCUCGGGGAAUGAACUACGAUAGCAAGCUCCAAAGCAUGAGCUGGUUCUGCUACGCACGUGUGAACACGCUGUUCCAGGCAAACAUGAUCACAUGGUAGUCUUACAAUAAAACACUACCGAGUUCGGGUAGGGAACCAUCAUUGAGGAUAUCGAAGUUCUUUCAUAAGUCCGGAUUAGCUCUUAUGAAGGAACUCCUUCUCCUUGAACAAAUCAAUUAGUGGCUUGGGGUGCUACGGAAUACAUAUGGAGUGGAGGUAAUUAAUCUACCAAACCAUAGUAUACUUUGCACAUGCAUGACUGACUUGGGACGAUUCCAGAGGAAACAAAACAAACCUUUCUCAAAUUCACGACGGCAACUUAAACCAAAUGCACAUGAAUUAGAGGAAGUCACUUCUUCCAUCCAAGCAUAGGCUUCAUGAACGGAACACGAAGGCAUUGCUUACAAGGUUUCCAACACUAGGUUGAUGUUCAACAUGAAUCAUGGGGGGGAGACAAAAUGCUGCUGAUAGGCUCAACAGUAACUCAUCGGAAUUUUCAUAUCACUGGACUUCCACCAUCAUGUGAACAAGGUGAUAGUAUUGGUCAGACCAAAAGAUAUAAUGGUGUAUGCUCGAGGGGCAGCCACGAGUAAGACAACAUUACGAACAUCGUUGGUUCUGAUUUGAUUUGACGAUAGCCCAUACUUAAAUCAAAGUUUUUAUAAGACAAUAGAUCCAAUAACUGAUCACACGGACCAAUCGAUGAAGAUAUCAUCUUUCUUCAACUAACACACCAACACCAGGAUAUCCCUUUGAAACAAACUAAGUUAGGUAAGCUUUUAUCUUCCAACUCUCCAAGUUGUCGUUUAGCUUAACCAACUAGCUCAGAGGUAUCCAACACGGAUUCUUGGAGAAGGGGUGGUUUACAGGAAUAAACCAACUUGAUCACGAACUCAACAUAGCGGUCAGGUGACAACCUGGUAAUACUUCCGAGAAGAUAUAUGGAAAAUCACGAACCACCGAUAUGUUACUAAGCUCAAGAACAAUCUUGCUUUUCAGGGCAAGAUGAUAUGAUCAAAUGAGCGAGGACUUGACAAAAUCCUAACUUAUUAAUCAAAGAGUGCACCAGGAAAUAAGGACUAGGUAGCACAAUCUAUCUUAGAAUGGUGAUUCAAUAACCAACAUGCUAAGAAUGAGAUUAUUGUCCAUUUAACUACCAAGCAACAGAGUUGCUAGCCGUAUUGAUUUCACACACCACGAUUCACUUGUCGGCAUUCCGGUUACAAUAACACAGGAACCGAGGAAUGAACAAUGAUGGCAAGAAGUAUCACUGUACCAAGAGUUCAUAGGAUGGUGUGCAAUUCCUACAAUAAUCCCGAUAUAAAAGAUGGUAAUACUCCAAGGUAGAACAGAGCAAAAGCUGGAUUGGCAUUUUGAUCUGCAGAGUACAAUUGUUUUGACCCAAUCCUAGAUAUGGAUGAGGUACUGGAGUUUGUUUCUCCUAGUCAUUCCGGAAUAGGAUGGCUUGACGGACCACAAGAGUAAUAGGUAUCGAUGAACGAUUGCACGCAUACUCUUGACUAUCAAUUGAUAAACAAGGGUCAGAAGACAACUAAAGAGGGACAACUCAAAGGAACAUACGAUUUUCUGAGUUGUGGAUGCAUGGUUUAGCAUGUCGAACGAGUUCGACAUAUUUCUUCCGGACAAUCCAUGCGGAAAGGUAGAACUGGCAGAGUCACAAUUAUGAAUGGAGAACCCAUCAAGAGAACUCCUGUUAUGAUCUUUUGAUCCAACAAACUACUGCCAUAAGUGGUUCAUAGUAUUUGGAAGAAGGAAAUACCACGGACCUCGAGGACUAAUGCAAAGGUUACUAAUAACCUAAAGGAACGAGCAAACACUAUCAACAUGAGGUAAGUAGGGUGAAUCUCGGGUUCAAGAACCCAGGAAUAGAAUACCUACUCCUAAGUAGCAUCACGGAAUGCUUUCGGGAAUAAAGGCCAGAAUCAUCACACUAGGACACAAAUCAUGGCUAGACCACUAGAUGAUCCCCUGAGACACCUAGGGUCAUAAUAAUAACUCCAACAUAAUUGUCAAGGCAAUAGAAUACCUCAACUCAACAAUUAGUGUGAUUGAGCUGGCAUAAAGGAACAUCGAAACCAGAGGGAAAGGAUUUUGCAAAUGCAUCAGACUAUUUAGAAACCUGGGAUGACUCGGACAGCAUAACGGUUGUAAAUGCUCAGAAAAGAUUUGAGACAUUCACAAAAAUGGUGGCAUAACCACUCAGAAGCUCAAUAUCAAGGUCUCGAGAUCAAUAAUUAACAUACAGAGGUAGAAACUGAACUGAGGCUUAAUCCAACAAUCUUAUAAGUCUACCGAUUAGUAACACGUGAUCCUGAUAGAAAGAAGAGAUAGCCUAGUUCUUAAUCCCCGUAGGAAAGAUAAGAUGACUCAGAUCAGAAGGGCAUAAGGUAUAAGGAGUAAAAAGAGCCUUACGUUCCAUCCACAAUCAAUUCCCCUACAUAUAACUAAAGCAUUUCUAGACUCAACUUCGACCAGUUUGGCUUGGUAAUCCUACAGGCAGUCAAGCUCUGAUACCAAAAGCUGUCAGGACCCUGAUCCUAAGUCACACCGAUCUAGCAUGUAACACAUCAUAUCACUUUGCGGCCUCACGCACGGUAUUCCCACAGGUGCCACCUUACCUGGCCCGGGACCGUUUGCGCCUUUUGGCUCACGUAUAUGAUAGUGUCGCUAGCAUCCAUAUGACAAAGAACCCAGGCUGACAUGGCUAGUCGUGAACCCAAAGUGGCACUAACUUACAGGGACAGGCAUCCAUGACCCAGCAUCGAACGUGUCGGUCAUCAGCGAGUGAAUCCAGGCUGUAGCACUGGGCUAGCAGGACUCCGGUGAACCGGGCUGUAGCGGCUAACAAAACUCCGGUAUUCAUCGCGUGACAUUUCCCCGAAGAGACAGACACAUGAACGAAGAAGGACACAAGCCGGCCAGCCUAAGUGUUCCGGAGCAGUAGCAAGCUACCAUGGCUCGGUGGAAACACUAGGAGACAUUUCCCGGUAAGAGAGGCUACCAAGGAUAAACAACUAGGUUGUCAGAUCCCACACAUACCAAGCAUUUCAAUAACAUACACACAAUAUGCUCGAUAUGUGCAAAUACAACAUGGCAUCACAACAUGACUCUACGACUCAAGUAUUUUAUUCAAUAGGCUCCGAGGAGCGAGAUAUUACAAACAUGGGUCUCAUGACCCAACAAUCAGAGCAUACAAGUCAAAGCACAAGCGGAAGCUUAACAUGUCUGAGUAGAGACAACUAUAAAUGAAAAAGGCUGAGAAGCCUGACUAUCUACCAAAUCCUGCCGAGGACUCAAGAUCGUAGCUGAGGUAACAAGCUAAACGUCGAAGUCCACGUGGAACUACUAGUGAGACUGAAGUCUCUCUGCAAAAACAUAAAUUAAGCAACGUGAGUACAAAUGUACCCAGCAAGACUUACAUCAGAACUAACUACAUAUGCAUCAUUAUCAACAAAGGGGAUGGUGGGUUUUAACUGCAGCAAGCCAGCUUUGACACGGUGGCUAUCUUGAACUACGAUUGCAAGUAACUCUUUUGAGAUGGCGCACACGAGUCCACAUAUUCACCAUAUCAAUACACCACUAUGGAUCCGCUCUCGUCUCCCUACGAGAACGCCAUCCAUAGUACUCACGCUUAUCUUGCGUAUUUUAGAGUAUCCACUUUCACUUGUCUAUGAACUAUGCAAGGGGUCCAAGUUUCCAUAUCCGAGGAAUCCGGCUAUUCGAAUAGAUAAUGAUAACCCUGCAGGGGUGUACUUCUUCGCACACGCUCCCGCCACUUAUCGCCCUGUACACGUCAUGUACCUCGGCAACCUUCAAGCGGAAGCCGGGCGAGGGAGUCGGCCACGACCUGACUAACCAAACAAGUCUCUCGUCCAGGUUUAUCGCCUAUUCGGGUUCCAUCUGCAAGGAGAUCCGGCCGGGGUGUCACUCACGGCCCCAAACGAUGUGAGCACGGUUCCCAAGCCCACCAUCCGGGUGCCACUUGGUACACCAUGCCACUAUGCCUAGUCUGUCCCAAGCCCACCUGUACCGGGUGCCACUUGGUAGACUACUAACACUACCUACAAACACCAGAAACUAGUUGCAACUCCUGGACAGAGAUCAAGUUGAUUAAUAAGUCGAGAGGGGCACCUAAGCAUUCCAAUGUGUGGUAGUAGCUGGUCAUGGAUCACAAACACAGAACUCAGUUCCUAAGGACGGCUGCAAUGAGACAACCCACCAUGUACUCCUACAUGGCCUCUCACCGCUACCUUUACCAAAUCGUGUUCACACACUUAGCUCUCAACGGUAGGACAUGUUGACACACCUCUGGUUCAUCCCCGAUGAAUCAGACCUGACUCAACUCUAAGCAGUAGCAGGCAUGACAAACAAGGAAGAAUGAGUAGGCUCAACAGGGCUCAAACAAUUCCUACUCAUGCUAGUGGGUUUCAUCUAUUUAUUGUGGCAAUGACAGGUCAUGCAGAGGAUAAAGGGGUUCAACUACCGUAGCAAGUAACAGAUGAAUCGUUGUUGUCCUAAUGCAGUAAAAGAGAGCAGGAGCGAGAGUGGAAUUUUAUCGGAAUGAACAAGGGGGUUUUGCUUGCCUGGCACUUCUGGAGAUAAUAUUGAGUCUUCAUCAGUGUCAACGAUCACAUCAUCGGUACAGCGUCUACCGAGGGGGAACAACACCGGCAAACACAGAAGAAACACGAUCAAUGCAAUGCACAAUAUGAUGCAUGCUAUGACAUGGCAAUAUGAGUGUGUUUUGGGCUAAUGCACCUAGCUAUGAUUUGAAUGAAGUUUGUUUGAAUACAUGAUUCAAAUUUCAACUCCAUGUAUGAUUAUUUAAAUGCCCUUUAUUUGUUUUGUCCAAAACAGAGGACAGACAUUGUUCAAACAUGCAUGAAAAUGGUACAGAUGGAUUCCUUGAAUUUUUCUGAUAAUUUUUCAUAUAUAAAUUAUUUAAUUUGGAGUUAUGGUUGAAUUUCUAUGAAUUUUAGAAGUUUAUACAAUUUUCUGGAAUUUUCUGAAUUAAAAUAAAUCCAGAAAAUGAUUUAUUGCGUCAGCACUAGGUCAUGAUGAUGUCAGCAGGUCAACUAGGCGGGUCCAGGUCAAACCUGACCAGUGGGGUCCACUGGUCAGUGACUGGGGCUGGAUAGUGCCAAUGACAGGUGGGGCCGGGUCAACAGACACGUCAGCACGGUCAAAGCUGACGUGUGGGCCCAUGGUGGUUAGGUUAAAACUAACAGAAAAUAAUAAAGAUUAAAUAAGGGCGUGGGGCCCAUACGUCAGUGGCUCUGGGGAGGGUUACCUGGCUGUGAUUAGCGCUAAUCACGCGGCCACGUCGGCUAGUGACGCCGGCGACCACGGCGACGGCGAGACCUCGCUGGAGUUGCUCGAGACGGCGCUACCGCCCGCGGUUGGUCGCGCUGAGGGCACCAAGAGGGAGCCCGUGCUCCCGCGCAUCUAGGGGCGCACGCAGCUGGGCACGGGGAGGCCGGGGUCGACAGCGGCGACCACUUAGGCGGCGGCCGGAGCUCGGGGGUUCGCGGGACCGGCGCUGCGGUGCAUGGGAGGACGAGUGGUUAGGUGCUUUGGGUUCCUGGGAGCACGCUGAGGAUGACAGCGUGCUCGGACGCGACACAUGUGGGUUCUAGCCGCGACAGUGACAUGGACGGCGGCAAGCAAGCUCCGGCUCCGGUGGGAUCGAGGCUACAGGGCGCAAUCAAGGCGAGGAAGAGAGAGGGGAGGCGUAGGAGCUCACAGUGAGUUCGAAGAGCAGGUCGGCAUGCUCGGGGAGACGGCGGAGAGGAUAAAUUGGACGGCGGCAUCCGGCGGCCGUGGUCGGGGAAGAAGCGCCGCGGCAUCGUCUUGGGGCAUCCGGGCUUCGGUGGGUCGACGUAGAGGGGCUUGGGGUCCGGGCUGAGCUCGGGUACGCAGAGAGGGAGCGAGGAAGUGGCUGUGGCCGUGGUGGUUGCGAGCGACGGCGAUGAGCGCGCUCGGGCGCGAGAGGGGGAGAGCAGAGAAGGGAGAAGGGGGUCGGGAGAGAGUGAGAGAGAGGAGCGAGGGGGCUGCGUGGCGUCACCCGAAGAGGCCAGGGCGAAGCGGCAAGCAGGAGGUGGCCGGGGUGGCGUCGGCGCUUGCCACCGAGCAGCUUCGGGGCGAGGGGGAGGAAGACGACAGAGAGGAGGAGGUGGGCUGGGCCGGCCAGCUCAGAUGGGCCGCCAGGUGGCUAGAAUGCCAGGUAAGUGGCUGGGCUUCUCUCUUUUAUUUUUCUGUUCUGUUUUAUUUUUUUAAAUUUGUUUUGCCACUGUUUUGAAUUUAAAAUAAUUCAAACAAUGCCAAAAACUCCUCUGAAUAUUUUUGUUUUGCUAGAUGGACUUUUCCAAAAGCUCAUAAAAUAUUUCAAGGGUAUUUGAAAUUAUAUUCUAAUUAUAUGAAUAUAAUUCAAAUUCAAAUAACUAAUGAUUUAAAUUCAAAGUCCCAAAAAUAAUUCCUUUUAAAAUGUUCAUUAUUUUUGGUUUGGAUCAAAACCCUUGCCAAAAAUAUUAAACAUCUAAGAAGAGCAUUUUGGAACAAUGAAUGAGAUUUUAGGGUUUUUGCCCUUCUUUUAUUUAGGGUUUUGAGGCUUCCAAAUUUCCUCAGUUCAAGUUUCAAAAAUUUAAACAUGAUGCAAACACUAGGCAGCACCAUAAGCUAUGGAUGUGACAACUAUCCACGCCUGGGCCGGACACAGCAGGUUCCUCGCUCUAAGCGGCAUAAGUCUUUAGGGACUCGAAAAGACCUCUCGAACAGCGACCAGCUCUCGCCUUAUCAUGAUGGUCAGUUUUAGCUUUCUCCACUAAGGCGCUCGCCCAGCUCAACCGGGGCGCAAUCGCAGUGGUUCUCCCAGUGCUACCUUAGCCGAUAGAACGGAACGUAAGGUACCAAAACAUGGGAGCCGGGCAAACCCAACUAUUGACCCAAUACAUGAUUCGGAGCCGAUGCAUAUAAUGCUAUAAGUUCGGGGUGCCGCACUUGUGAAAGUUUUCAGACUUAUCACACCGUAAUGUGGGGAACAUAAGCCCCUGGUGUAUUCGGCCGUACCAAAGUGUACGGAUGCAAGAUGUCAUAAAUGAACAUAUAUGUAAAAAAGGAAUGCAAUUAUGGGCAAAAAGCGCUGCAUUGUUUAUUCAAGGAAUGCUGCUAUGAGUGCAGAACGAUACAAAUAGUGCGGUAAGCAAGGGAUUGGACUAUUUAAACAUAUCCCCCUCCAGGGGUAGGCUGUGGACUGGUGUAUUUAACAAAUUUAAUGCUCGUAAUGGAGACCACCUGAAUGUUCGUCGUAGCCUUUGUCCUUCCCUGGCUGUUGCAUCGUGAGUUCGGCAGGUUUACCGCCGGACAGGUUCUCUGGUGAACAGAGUCCUGUGGAUAAAUAGAAAAAGGAAAAAAGGAAAAAAAUAAAAAGAGCGACACACUUGGGAGCCCCUGGUGUGGUUGAGCCGCACUCUGGGCCUGUCGUGGUCGUGCCCCUCCCCCUAUGCCCAUGGUAUCUCCAGAGCGUAAUGAUGUACGCGAAGAGCUGGUCUUGCAAUCAUGCAAGGGCUGGGGUUGGGGCCGCAUUGCUACGCAUGCUCGGAACGUGCCAGGUCGUCUUGAUGUAUGUUACUUCGGGCGCGUUUGGCUAUGUCCGGUCGUUUAACGGCCGGACUUGAGAAUUGCCUUGAGAGGCUGCUCUGUACUUCUGCCGCGAGAGCUGCUGUGUGUUCCUCCGUUCGGAGGGAGCGUUCAGUGUUUCCGUUGACCGUGAUUACUCCACGAGGGCCUGGCAUCUUGAGCUUGAGGUAUGCAUCAUGUGGCACCGCGUUGAACUUUGCAAACACGGUUCGUCUGAGCAGAGCGUGAUAGCCACUGUGGAACGAGACUAUGUCGAAGAUUAACUCCUCGCUUUGGAAAUUAUCCGGGGAUCCGAAGACCACUUCCAGUGUGACUGAGCCUGUACAAUUGGCCUCAACACCUGGUAUGACGCCUUUGAAGGUCGUCUUUGUAGGUUUAAUCAUUGAGGGGUCUAUGCCCAUCUUGCGCACUGUAUCCUGAUAAAGCAGGUUCAGGCUGCUGCCGCCGUCCAUCAGGACUCUAGUGAGGUGAAAUCCAUCGACGAUUGGGUCUAAAACCAAUGCGGCGAGUCCACCAUGGCGGAUACUGGUAGGGUGGUCCCUUCGAUCGAAAGUGAUCGGGCAAGAGGACCAUGGAUUGAACUUCGGGGCGACUGGCUCCAUCGCAUAUACAUCCCUAAGUGCACGCUUCCGCUCCCUCUUGGGUAUGUGGGUUGCGUAUAUCAUGUUUACCGUCCGCACUUGUGGGGGGAAACCCUUCUGUCCUCUACUGUUCGGCGGCCGAGUCUCCUCCUCGUCAUCGCUCUGCAGCCCCUUGUCAUUGUUUUCAGCAAUUAACUUGCCUGCCUGCUUGAAUACCCAACAAUCCCUGUUGGUGUGGUUAGCUGGCUUUUCGGGGGUGCCAUGUAUCUGGCAAGAGCGGUCGAGAAUUCGGUCCAAAUUGGACGGACCCGGAGUGGUUCUUUUGAAUGGCUUCUUCCGCUGACCGGGUAUAGAGCCUCUGAAUCCGGCGGUGACUGCCAUAUCCUCAGUGUUAUCGCCGUUAACGAGGCGUUUGUUUUUGUUGCGACGCGACCUGCCAUUGCGGUCCUUGCUGUCCGGACUGCCAGAAUGAUUGCUAAGGUUGUUACUGUGGGCUAGCCAGCUGUCCUCCCCCGCACAGAAGCGGGUCAUGAGUGAUGUGAGGGCUGCCAUGGAUUUCGGCUUUUCCUGUCCUAGGUGCCGGGCCAGCCACUCAUCGCGGAUGUUAUGUUUGAAGGCUGCGAGGGCCUCUGCAUCUGGACAAUCGACGAUUUGAUUUUUCUUUGUGAGGAACCGUGUCCAGAAUUGUCUGGCCGAUUCUUCUGGCUACUGAAUUAUGUGGCUUAGGUCAUCGGCGUCUGGUGGUCGCACAUAUGUGCCCUGGAAGUUGUCAAGGAAUGCGACUUUCAGGUCCUCCCAACACCCAAUUGAUUCUGCUGGCAAGCUAUUAAGCCAAUGCCGAGCUGGUCCUUUAAGCUUGAGUGGGAGAUAUUUGAUGGCAUGGAGAUCGUCACCACAGGCCAUAUGGAUGUGAAGGUGAUAAUCUUCGAUCCAAACCGCGGGGUCUGUUGUGCCAUCGUAGGAUUCGAUGUUUACGAGUUUGAACCCUUCAAGGAUUUGAUGAUCCAUUACUUCAUCUGUGAAGCAGAGUGGGUGCGCGGCGCCUCUAUACUGGGCAAUAUCACGACGUAGCUCAAGAGAGCUUUGUCUAUUGUCUUCGGCCCGGCCGGAGUUGCUGUAUCCGGCGCGACGGUAGUCGUCGUAGAUUGUGGGGAGCCCACGUGAUCCGUAGAUAGAUCUUGAUUGUUUUGCUUUGUCCUCCAAUAUGUCUCGCAAGUCCGGCGCAUUCCCUCGUGGCUUCGUACUUUUCGAGCGAUGCCGGGGUACGGUCCUAAUGGAGGGCCUGGAUGCCUCUCUGUCGCGGCCAUGGGGUGGUCGGUCUGCCGUAUUGUGCGCUGGUGAUGAAGGUUUGUAUGCUUCCUCCUCUAGUCGGGGGAGCAGCUUGCGUUUUGGGUUGCUUUUGGAGGGGCGUUUGAGUUCAUACUCUUCGGCUGCGAGGACUUCGGUCCAUCUGUCACCAGCAGGUCUUGAUCAGCUUGAAGUUGUUGCUGCUUUUUCUUUAGGCUAUUUGCCGUGGCGAUAAGCCUGCGUUUAAAACGCUCUUGUUCGACGGGAUCCUCGGGCAUGACGAAUUCAUCGUCGUUGAGGCUUGCCUCGUCUCCGGAGGGAGGUAUGUAAUUGUCAUCCUCUAUCUCCUCAUCUGCCGCUCUCUCUUGAGGGCUGGCUUCUCUGUCCUCCUGUGCUGAAUCUUGCUGGAGGGGGUUGUCUUCGGCACUCUCUGGGGUGUUAUUGUCUCCGGUGCCGGAAUCUCCAUUCUUGCUGUGGCGGGAUUUAGAGCGGCGCCGCUGACGCCGGCGCUUGGGCUGUUUCUUAGAGGAAUCUGCCUCCGCUGCUUCUUCGCCGUCCCCAUCCUUUGGGGUGUCCACCAUGUAUAUGUCGUAUGACGAGGAGGUCUUCCAGUGCCCCAUAGGCGUUGGUUCUUGAUCGUCUCCGGCAUCGUCGUCCAUACCGUCGAUGUCUUCGGAAUCGUAGUCUAGCAUGUCGGUUAGAUCGUCGACAGUGGCUAUAAAGUGGGUGGUGGGUGGGCUUUGAAUUUCUUCAUUGUCCGCAUCCCAACCAUCCUGACCGUAGUCCGGGCAGGGCUCUCCUGAUAAUGAGAGAUACUUUAACGAGUUCAGGAUGUCGCCGAAGGGCGAGUGCUGAAAGAUGUCCGCAGCGGUGAACUCCAUGACCGGCGCCCAAUCGGAUUCGAUCGGCAGGGGCGCAUGAGGUUCGGGGACCGGCAAGGAGUCCGGUACCUCAGAAUCACGAGCUUUGCAAAAUACAAGGUCGGUAUUCGGCUCCAUCGCCGUGGAAGUUGCAGCUCCCGAGGCGGUGUCCAGCCACCUAUCCUCGAUCUACGCGGUCGGCUCCGAACUAUGGGUCAGAGCGGACUUGUGUGCGGCCUCUAGGGUACUGUCCGGCGGCAGAACUAAGUCAUGCCCAUCAUGACAGUGCGGCACGCUCGGCUGUGGCUCGAAUCCAUCGAAGAUCAAGUCUCCGCGGAUGUCAGCCGUGAAGUUUAGGCUUCCAAAUCUGACCUGAUGGCCAGGGGCGUAGCUUUCGACUUGCUCCAGAUGGCCAAGUGAAUUGGCCCGUAGUGCAAAGCCACCGACCACGAACGGGCGGCCAUGAUGAAACCGCCCAGCCGGAGAGUCUGGCCUAUAUCCAGGGUUCCUCCAGAGGUGAUGUUGUCCUUGGACAAGGCGAGCCACCGAGCCUUAUCGGGACGGCACAGUGGAACUCUCAAUGAAAGCACCAAUGUCGGUGUCAAAACCGGCGGAUCUCGGGUAGGGGGUCCCGAACUAUGCGUCUAGGCGGAUGGUAACAAGAGACAAGGGACACGAUGUUUUUACCCAGGUUCGGGCCCUCUCGAUGGAGGUAAAACCCUACUCCUGCUUGAUUGAUAUUGAUGAUAUGGGUAGUACAAGAGUGGAUCUACCACGAGAUCAAGGAGGCUAAACCCUAGAAGCUAGCCUAUGGUAUGAUUGUUGUAAUGGUUGUGUGUCCUACGGACUAAAACCCUCCGGUUUAUAUAGACACUGGAGAGGGCUAGGGUUACACAGAGUCGGUUACAAUGGUAGGAGAUCUACAUAUCCGUAUCGCCAAGCUUGCCUUCCACGCCAAGGAAAGUCCCAUCCGGACACGGGACGAAGUCUUCAAUCUUGUAUCCUCAUAGUCUUGGAGUCCGGCCGAUUAUGAUAGUCCGGCUAUCCGGACACCCCCUAGUCCAGGACUCCCUCAGUCGCCGCGCAGGGUGCUGCCGUGAAGACGACGACUGCGGCCGGGGACCCAGCCCCGGCGAGGACGGAGAGGACAGCACGCGCGUGGUUGGCGGCGCCCAGGGUUCCUCAAGCUUCACUGGCUCUUCUUCGGGCAGCGACUCUUCUAGCAGCGGCCGUGGUCAGCCUCCACGCCGUCGUGCCUGCUUGGAGGGUGGUAGCGGGUCUGCCCGCCGUCGCGACCUGGUGAAGCGCGAGAGGGAGUCCGCUUGAGCUCCGGAGGCAGCUCGAGUCCUCCCUGAGGGCCGGCAUAGGGCGAGCUUCGCCUGAUUUGUUCUUUCGUUUCCUUUUUCCUGCGCAAAAAGACAGCAGUGUGGGGCCCCGUGGGGGCGUGUUUGGGUUACCGUUGUUAAUCAUCGUACUGUUUCCAUUAUUCUGGCAUUGUUCCUUCCUGCCGUAUGCCCGUGCGUAGGUAAUCCCCAGCCUCAGCCGUGGGGGCGACCGACCCAGGUCCUGUAUUCGUGUCGCGGUGCCCGUGAGGCACAGACUGGAGGGCUUCUCCCGUAGGGGACCCGGGUUGUGAAACCUUGAACGAUAAGGAGAGAAACACUCGCGAGGGCGAUCGGUGCUGCCCCCUCGCGAGCCCUCGCGCAAGAGAAAUCGAGGCAGUAGGGCGAAAAGUCGAAGAACCAUAGGUCAAAAGACAGCGAUAGUUGCAAUAAAACUUCAAAUGAGAAUGAACUAGCCAACUGCAGAAAGCAAAUGAAAGUGCCGCGUCCGGCACCUAGUCUACUCUUCGACGUCUUCUCAGCAGCGCAGAGCUAAGUGCUGCCACUGGGCGUGGGAGGGAGCCCCAGGGCCUGAGGCCGGCGCUCCUGAGACUCCGGGGCGUGUACAGCCCCAACUCAUUAUUACGUGAGAUUGUCACGGGCGGCGAGCUUCACAAGCGCUGGAAUUCUUCACAGGCUUCGGGCCUUUCUUCGGGUAAGCAAGCUUCACGGGCAUUGGCCCUCUUCACAGGCUCUAGGCGUUUCUCAAAAAGAUAGUCUUCACAGGCAUUCGCCUUCUUCACAGGCUCUGGGCCUUUUAAAAAAGGUGAUCUUCACAGGCGUUCGCCUUCUUCACAGGCUCUGGGCCUUCUCCAAAAAGGUGAUCUUCACAGGCGUUCGCCUUCUUCACAGGCUUUGGGCCUUUUCCGAAAAGGUGAUCUUCACAGGCGUUCGCCUACUUCACAGGCUCUGGGCCUUUUCCAAAAAGGUGAUCUUCACAGGCGUUCUCCUUCUUCACAGGCUCUGGGACUUUUAAGGGUAAAACCUCCGGAGGUGCUGGAUGUUCCAUGCGUUCUGGACUGGCACCCCCUCCUGAGUCUCCAAGCGCGCGGAGCCGGGCCUGGAAACAUGAACAACCUUGAACGAGCCCUCCCACAUGGGAGAGAGCUUAUGCAGUCCCUCCCUGGAGAGAACCCGCCUGAGCACGAGGUCCCCUACCUCAAGAGGUCUGGGGUGGAUGUUGCAGCAGUGGUAUCGCCGCAGUGCUUGUUGGUAUCUUGCCGCUCGCAACGCGGCCUCUCGGCGACGCUCCUCCCCUAGCACGAGGUCCAUCCCCCGCAUGGCGUCCUGCUGCGCUUCGUCGAACGCCAGGACCCGUGCGGAGCGACGUUUGACCUCGUGAGGGAGGACCGCCUCGGCUCCAUAGACCAAGAAGAACGGGGUCUCUCCAGUCGGCUUGGUUGCGGUCGUGGGGAUGGACCACAACACGGAUUGAAGCUCAUCGUACCAGCCUCUGCUGCAGGCUUCCAGCUUCUUCUUGAAUGUUCUGGUCUUGAGGCCCCUAAGGACCUCCGCGUUGGCCCGCUCGGCCUGGACGUUGCUUCGGGGGUGCGCCACUGAAGCGUAGCAUAUCUGCAUUCCAAGGUUAGCAUAGUACGUUUUGAAGAGGUUACUGGUGAACUGCGAACCGUUGUCGAUGAUGAUGCGGUUCGGCACCCCGAACCGGCUCACGAUGCCCUUGAUGAACUUGACUGCUGAGCCCGCAGGGAUGGUGCAGACGGCUUCCACUUCGGCCCACUUGGUGAACUUGUCCACAGCGAUGUAGAGGUAGCGAUAGCCCCCCGGUGCCCGAGAGAACGGGCCCAGGAUAUCCAGCCCCCAGACUGCGAAUGGCCACGAGAGGUGUAUAGUUUGCAGACUUCCUGCCUGCUUAUGGAUCUGCUUGGCAUGGAAUUGGCAGGCUUCGCAGGCCUUCACUAGCUCGACAGCGUCAUUGAGUGCAGUAGGCCAAUAGAAGCUGCUGCGGAAUGCCUUGCCCAUGAGGGUCCGUGAUGACAAGUGGUGCCUGCAGUCUCCACCGUGUAUGUCCGCCAGCAGCUCCUUCCCUUGUUCCCUGGAUAUGCAGCGUAGGGACACACCAUUUGGUCGCUUCCCAUAGAGUUCUCCAUCUUUGAUACACUACGCUGAGGCUUGCCGUGCCACACGCUCCGCCUCCUCCUCCUUCUCCGGCAGGGUCCCUUGCGUUAAGUAACUCCGGAGCUCUGUGAUCCAGCACCCCUCCUGAGGCUCCAUCGUUAGGAGUAGGCGUGCUCUUGAGGCUGGGCCAUAGACCGGAGCUCCCGAGGUAGGUGGCUGGGGGAGCUCUUCCCGAGGCUGCGCCGUGUUUGAUAAUGAUGGCAUGGACGAGGGCUUGAAGAGCUGCUCCUCGAAGACGCCAGGCUCCUAAGGUAACCGCCUGGAUGCUCGUUUGGCGAUGUCAUCGGCCUCCUGAUUGCUACCACGGGGCACAUGCUGCAACUCCAACCCCCAGAACUGCUUUUCCAUCCUGCGUACCUCCGCAAGGUAGGCCUCCAUGUGCUCAUCUUUUGGCUCGUAUACCUUAUUGGAGAAAUUGAUGAGGAGCUGUGAAUCACCCUUGAUGGUAAGGUGCUUUACCCCUAGGGCAGCCGCGGCCUUCAAGCCUGCUAUCAUGCCUUCAUACUCCGCUAUGUUAUUGGAGACCUUUUCACCUCGCUGGAAAUAGAGCUGCACGGCGUAAUAGAGCUUGUCCUGAGUGCGAGAUAUGAGCACCGCCCCAGCCCCAGCGCCAUGCCUGGAGAACGCCCCGUCGAAGUACAUGACCCAGCCUUCUGGCGCCUUGCUUCCUGGGGAGAGGGACCGAUCCUCGCCGGCCUUGAGGCCUGGUGCCUCUGUCCAUUCGGCCACGAAGUCUGCUAGCGCGGCCCCCUUGAUGACUCUGGUCGUGCUGAAUUCGAGCUGAAACGCUUGCAGCUCAAUGUUCCACUCGGCGACCCUUCCGGCUGAGCUUGGGCUCCUAAGAACCAUUUCCAAGGGGUAUGCCGAGAAAACCUUGAUAGGGUGACCCUGAAAGUAGUGCCGCAGCUUGCGCGAGGCCACUAGUAGCACGAGGAGGAGUUUCUAGGGCAUGGGGUACCGUGCCCUCGCAUCCCGCAACACUGUGCUGACGAAGUACACUGGGUGCUCGACGAGGCUUGGAGCGUUGGUGCUGGCGGCGUCCUCCGGAGGCCGUGGCGCCUCCUGAGGCGGGGGAGCCUCCAGAAGCUGGUUGCCCAGGGGAAGGGCCUCUUCCGUUUUUGGUGCGCUCCCCUGCGGCGGCUGAUCCUCCUCGGCCGUGGUAGUGAUCUCUGUGAGUCCUUGGUCCUGCUUUGCCUUGACACGGGUGGCUGCCGUGGCCUUGGUCUGGCGCUCCUCCCUAACCGCCACCAGAGCCGCGCUGGCGGAGUAGGGAGUGGCAGCAAGGUGGAGCACCAAGGGCUCUUAAGGGCGUGGGGCCACCAUCACCAGAGGGCUGGUUAGGUAUCUCUUGAGAUCUUGGAACACCUUGUCGGCCUCUUCAGUCCAUUCAAAGGGCCCCUUUUUCUUCAUCAGCUGGAAGAAAGGUAGCGCUCGCUCCCCUAACCUGGAGAUGAAGCGCCCUAGCGCAGUCACGCACCCAGUGAGCUUUUGCAUCUCUUUGAGGGUCUUCGGCGGGCUCAUGUCCUCGACUGCCUUGACCUUUUCUGGGUUGGCCUCGAUGCCUCGGUGAAACACGAGGAAGCCCUAGAGCUUGCCCGAGGGGACUCCAAACACACACUUCUCCGGGUUGAGCCGCAGGCUCACUGCUUUGAGGUUUGCAAAGGUUUCCUCCAGGUCUUGUAUCAGGGUCUUGGCUUCACGAGACUUCACUACAAUGUCGUCGACGUAAGCUUCCACAUUCUUCCUGAGUUGCGGGCCCAAGGUGAUGUGCAUGAGCCGCUGAAAGGUUGACCCUGCGUUGCGCAGUCCGAACGGCAUGCAUGUAUAGCAGUACACCCCACACGGGGUCAGGAAGGCCAUCUUCUCCAUGUCUUCCACCGCCAUCUUGAUCUGGUGAUACCCGGAGAAGGCAUCCAAGAAGCAUAACAGGUCACACUCAGCGGUGGAAUCGACGAUCUGAUCGAUGCGAGGGAGCGGGAACGGAUCUUGCGGGCAUGCUUUGUUGAGGUUGGUGAAGUCGACAUACAUGCGUUCCUUCCCUCCCUUCUUUGGCACAACCACAGGGUUGGCCAACCAAUCUAGAUAUCGGACCUCGCGAAUGACCCCCGCGGCUUCUAGCUUGCGGGUCUCCUGGACGAUGAAGGCCUGCUUUUCAGUGGACUGCCGCCUUGCUUUCUGUUUCACGGGGCGCACGUUGGGGCACACGUUGAGGUGGUGCUCGAUUACGCCCCGUGGGAUCCCUGCCAACUGAUCGGGUUCCCAGGCGAAUACCUUCUUGUUUGCGUGCAGGAACUUGACCAGGGCUUCCUCCUGCUCUGGCCCGAGGUUGGCUCCUAUGGUGAAAGUGGCGUUAGUGGACCCGUCCUCGUCGACGGGUAUCUGCUUGGUCUCUGCCUUGUCUUGGGUGAACAACUCUUUCUUCUUGGUUGGUGCACCCCCCUUGGGCUCGAGGGUCCCCGCGUUGGUGGGCUCUGCCAACGCCGCCGUCUUGAAGGCGACCUUGAGCGCUCGCAGCGUAUCCCCGAUGUCACCAGGCACGGUGAGGUCACCGCUACUCUCGGGCAUCUUCAUAAGGUUGUACGCCGGGUGAGUCGCGGCCAUGAACUGGGCCAGUGCUGGAUAGCCGAGGAUGGAAUUUUAGGGGAGGCUGAUGGGGCGAUAUCGAAAUCGACCUGCUCCGUGCGGAAAUUUUCGUAGGUGCCGAAAGUUACUGGGAGUCGGAUCUGUCCCAAGGAGCUGGAUGACCCGCCCCCGAUGCCUGAGAAGGGUCGGCUGGGUUGCAGCCGCUCCCGGGGUAUGCGGAGGAGGUUGAAGGCCUCAACUAAGAGCACGCUGAGGCCUGUGCCACCGUCGAUGAGAGUCCUGGUGACAGCCACCUGGCAGAUGGUGGGGGUGCACAGCAUGGGGAGCGCCCCCGAGCCGGCCGAGUUGGAGGGGUGAUCCUCCGUGCUGAAGGCCAGCCUGGCCUGUGGCUCCGAUCGGUCCGGGGGAGCCCCCUGCCGCGUGGAGGCGGCGCCGACCCGGUGGAUGAACGGCUUGACGUGGUGACUGGAGGGCGGCGCCUGCGAGCCGCCCAGGGGGGCCGCGACAACCGGGGGGACCGGCGCGGCAUGGCGGGCGAGGAAGAGGCCGCGCAGCUCUUCCCAAGAGGACACGGGGGGAUGCUGGGAUGAUGCUUGCUGCUCGUUCCACGCCGGGCCGGUGGCGGCAUUGACGGCAGGUGACGGGGAACGAGGAGGACGCCCGCCGACGGGAGCCAUCUGGGUGACGCGGGAGGCGAGGGCGGCUCGGCACCCGGCACGAGCCCGACGAGCGUCAGACAUGGAUGCGACGGUCGGGGAAGAAUAGGGCGACGGAAGACGAAUUCCGGCGCACCCCUACCUGGCGCGCCAAAUGUCGGAUUUUGUGUUCCGGCAGACCCUUGAGGUUUGAACAGUAGGGUGCGCACGGAGAUUUCGCCCUCUACCUACCUGUUCCUCGCCGAAUUGCUAGGAUCUAAACUACCAGAGGAACAACACAAGAGACACAGAGUUUAUACUGGUUCAGGCCACCAUUGUGGUGUAAUACCCUACUCCAGUGUGUGGUGUGGUGGAUUGCCUCUUGGGCUGAUGAUGAACAAUACAAGGAAGAACAGCCUUGCGAGGGUCUUCUCUAGGCUGGUGCGAUGAACUGCAAGGAGGAGUUUAGUCUCUCUCUCUCCCUCUCUUGAUUCUAGAUGCCCCCCUUCCCUGGGGGUGGCUAGCCCUGGGCCUCCUCCCAAAUAUUGAGCGGGAAGGGCGCCAACAAUUGGCCAUUUUGAAGGGGAACAGCGGGUACACUUAUCCUGACUAAAGUUGGUCCUCGCCUACCAAAGGCUCUGGCGGUGAUGCCUUCUUGGGCUCCACAAUGACUUCCUCCCUGCCGUUGGGUUGGUCUUGGUCUUGUUGCACCGAAAUGGGUGCCUUUGCUUGAUGCUCUUGCCUGGGCUUGCUCCCUUUGCACCAAAGAGGGAAGGAGGACACUGCGCGGGCUGGCGCCCGACUGGCGCCCUUGGUCAUCAUGGCUUGCAUCACGGGCACCUCGCGAGGUACCCCGCCUUGAUCUCUUCGCCUCCUCAUGAGCCAGCCUGAUGAGGCCGUGCCUGAGGAAGCUCCUUGUCAUACGCCCCGCGAGGCAUGGCCCCUCGCGAGGGUCUUGAGCUUGUGUUGAUGAAGAUGGGCCAUGCUGGGCCCCCCUUUGAUACACGCCGCAGGCCGCAGGCAGGCAAGUCUGGGGACCCCCGUUCCCAGAACACCGACAGGCGCUGUCUGCCAUCCUUUCUUGCUGACUUCUUAGUAUCUAUGAAGCUUAACCUGAAAGGCUUCAGAACUUGCAAAGGCUUCCGACGGCUAGUUAGAUAAGAACUGGCUUCAGGAGAAUUUAUGUGACUCCGUAAGAAUUCUGCAAGCGAAUGCAGACUAUGAGAACCAAGGGUUUCUCCCACGGACAUGUACCUGGAAGAGGUCAUAUGCAUUCUCAGAAGAUUUUGAAGAUAAAUCAGUUUGAAUACAUUGACCUCAUAACGCGAAGACAUUCACUUAUUUGUUGAGUGUUGGUUCCAGAUUUGUACGAAUCCAAGAAUAAGUAAAAGUGAGGAAUCAAACUUGUAGAGAAUCAUAAGUGAACAGACUAGGCAUAAUAUGAGAUGCAGAACUGGGCAGAUUCAAUUUGGAACUAUAGAAACCACUAUUGGUAAUGUAGGAUGAAUCUAUCAGAUCAAAAAGAUGGUAAAAAGUAAGUUUUAAUUACCACAUGAAGAACUGCUAGACGGAACGAAGUUGGAGGCCAAGCAGUUACAUCUCCCGUGCCCUAACUUGGCGACGAAAGACACUCCGUCGGCGGCAGAGAAGACAAGGUCCGGGGCCGGCAUGUGGACGGCGUCGGAGAAGUUGCGGCAGCUCAGCGCUUCGUCGCCGGCAUCAUCGAGAGCUAGAGGAGGCGCUAGGGUUUGCGAGAAGUGGCGAGGUGGAAGAAGGAUUUUUGACCGUGAUGUGAUGGGUAUUUAUAAGGAAAGGGACGGCACAACGUAAUUACGCAGGUGCCCCUGGCGAUUCACAUCUGAAGGGCACGUGGCAAGCAUGCAACACCUUGGAAGUUGUUCCAUGUUCCCACACAUGCCUGGAUUGUCAGGGUGGUCGUUCCGAAUUCUUUGGCUUUCAGGCACUAAGGAUAUAGCACUAAAAGCAGAUAUAAAUGUUUGUCAGAUUGACUUCAGCUGACAAGGUCUUAGUGAAGACAAUCGACAGUUUUCAAUAGAAUGCAUAUGAUUUGGAUAGAUAGAGUUGAGAUAGAAGCAUAGAUAGGUUAGGGUCCGAUCACAUUCACUUAGAUCAAAAGAUUCAUCACGAAGCCAUAGCUAUAAGUGAAUGCUGUAGAGGACAGAACACAAGUACGUAUAUAACUAGUAUACAACCAAAUCAACAAGAUGAAGAUAAAUAUGAACUCAAGUCAAGGAUGAAGAUAAAUCAAAUACGAAGACUUCGCAAACAUAACGCCAAGGGAAGCACUUCAAACAAAAGUUUGGUGGUGGCGUUACCCACCGUAUAGGAAGUAUUAGACCCAGACACGGUGCACAAUUAUCGUGGCGCUCCGAAGUCAAAUUCUGCAUUAAUGUAUUCACACUUAGAGUGUAUGUCUUCAUUGAUUGAAGAUAUACAUUACUUCAUGUGUUGCACAUCUAAGUCAUCAAAAUGUAUAAGUGUUAUGAUGUGUGCCUAAUCACAGGACAUUUGAGGAUUGCAAGAUAUUUAGCUCACACCGCAACUUGCAAAACCUUUUCUCAUCCAAGGGCUUUGUGAAGAUAUCAGCCAAUUGCUCUUCAGUUUUGACGUGAAUGAUAUCAAUAUCUUCCUUCAUCACGUGAUCUCUGAGAAAGUGAUGACGAAUUUCCAUGUGCUUUGUCUUCAAGUGCUGAACUGGGUUGUUGGCAAUCUUGAUGGCACUCUCAUUGUCGCAGUAGAGUGGCACAUUCUUCAGGUGAAUACCAUAGUCCUUGAGAGUUUGCUUCAUCCAUAGAAGUUGUGCAUGGCAAGAUCCAGCAGAAAUGUAUUUAGAUUCAGCAGUGGAGAGAGAUACACAGUUCUGCUUCUUUGAAGACCAACAGACAAGAGAUCGUCCCAGAAAGAGACAUGUGCCAGAUGUGGACUUGCGAUCAACCUUGUCACCAGCAUAAUCAGCAUCUGAGAAUCCAACUAGAUCAAACUCUGAUCCCUUUGGAUACCAUAAUCCUAGUGUUGGGGUGUAAGCCAAAUAUCAAAGAAUACGCUCACAGCUAAGUGAUGCGAUUCCUUUGGUGCCGCUAGGAAUCGGGCACACAUGCAAAACUAAGCAUUAUAUCUGGCCUAGAUGCACAUAAAUAAAGCAAAGAACCAAUCAUGGAGAGGUAUACCUUUUGAUCGAACUCUUUACCAUUGGCGUCGAGACCCAGAUGAGUUUUGGUUGGCAUAGGGGUCGUGUAUCCUUUGCAGUCUUGCAUUCCAAACUUCUUCACACAAACUUUGAGGUAUUUUUCUUGAGAUCUGAAGAUGACGUUGCGUUGCUGACGGAUUUGGAGAUCUAGAAAGAACUUUAGCUCGACCGUCAUGGACAUCUGAUAUUGCUCUUGCAUCAUGUGACCAAACUCAUCACUGUAUUUCUUGUUGGUGCAGCCGAAGAUAAUGUCAUCCACAUACAUUUGGUACACAAACAGUUCACCAUCGUAUGUCUUCGUGAAGAGUGUAGGAUCUGGUGAACCAGGUUCGAAGCCUUUGCUCUUCAGGAAGUCUUUGAGCGUGUCAUGCCAAGCACGGGGGGCUUGUUUGAGGCCAUACAGUGCCUUGUUGAGCUUGUAUACCAUAUCAGGAUGCUUUGGAUCUUCAAAGCCAGGAGGUUGUGCGACAUACACUUCUUCUUCUGUAUUUCCAUUGAGAAAAACACUCUUCACAUCCAUUUGAUACAGAAGGAUGUUGUGAUGAUUUGCAUAGGCUAGUAGUAUGCGAAUGGCAUCAAGCCUUACCACCGAAGCAAAUGUUUCAUCGAAGUCAACUCCUUCCACUUGAGUGUAACCUUAUGCAACGAGACGAGCCUUGUUUCCGACAACUUGUCCAUGCUCAUCUUGAUUGUUGCGAUAUAUCCAUUUGGUGCCAAUGAUAUUGUGCUUCCAAGGAUCAGGACGCUUGACCAAUUCCCACACAUUAUUCAGCUCGAACUGUUGAAGCUCUUCUUGCAUAGCUUGAAUCCAUUCAGCUUCCAUGAAGGCUUCAUUGACUUUCUUGGGUUCUGAGAUUGAGACGAAUGCAAAAUGCCCACAGAAAUUGGUUAGCCGUGUUUCUCUUUGAGUAGCUCUUGAACGAGUGAGUGGACCAGGUGCAUAGAUGAUGUCGAUUAUCUUCUCAAUUUGUACUUCAUUUGCAACUCAAGGAUGAAUAGGAUGAAGAUGUUGCUCAUGCUGAUCAAUGUCAUUAUAUGGGGGAUUGUCUUCAGGCUGAGCAUUGUCUUCAGGUUGAUUAGGUGCAGAAACGAUCAGUUCUUCUUCAGUUUGAUUCUCAGAUGGUAUGAUCUCUCCAAGUCCCAUUUGCUUGAUUGACUCACUAGGGGGUAAUUCAUCUAGCACAUUUGGCAGGUGCUCACUUUGCGAGCCGUUAGUCUCAUCGAACCGCACAUCCACAGUUUCAAUCACUUUAUAGUGAAAGAGGUUGAAGACUCUGUAGGAGUGCGAAUCCUUUCCAUAACCAAGCAUAAAACCUGCAUGUGCUUUCGGUGCAAAUUUUGAAGUGUGAUGUGGAUCCCGGAUCCAGCACCUAGCACCAAAUACUCUAAGGUAACUUACAUUUGGCUUCUUAACAGUUAGGAGCUCAUAGGAUGUUUUCUUCAGAAGCUUGUGAAGAUAAACACUGUUGAUGACGUGGCAUGUAGUGUCAAUGGCUUCAGGCCAGAACUUCCAUGGAGACUUGUACUCAUGAAGCAUCGUUCGAGCCAUCUCAUUAAGAGUUCUGUCCUUGCGCUCCGCAGUGCCAUUCUGCUGAGGUGUGUAAGGAGCAGAGAACUCAUGAGUAAUACCCAAAGUAUCCAGAUAAAGGUCGAGGCCGGUCUUCUUGAACUCGGUGCCGUUGUCGCUUCUGAUGUGCUUGAUCUUGACACCAUAGUUUGUCAUGGCACGAUUGGCAAAGCGUCUGAAGACAUCCUGCACUUCAGUCUUGUAGAGGAUUAUAUGGACCCAAGUAUAUCUAGAGUAAUCAUCAACAAUGAAAAAGCCAUAGAGGCAAGCAGUAGCUUUGAGAGUAGAGUAGUGAGUAGGGCCAAAUAAAUCCAUGUGUAGCAGCUCGAAGGGUUGAGAUGUAGUCAUGAUUGUCUUCGAGGGAUGCUUGGCCCUGGUCAUCUUUCCAGCUUCGCAGGCGCCACACAGAUGAUCCUUCUUGAAGUUGAUGCCUUCGGUGGCCACGACAUGGUUCUUCUUUCUGAGAGUGUGCAAGUUCCUCAUGCCAGCAUGUCCUAGCCUUCGAUGCCAAAGCCAUCACUCUGAAGAUUUUGCUAGAAGACAUAUGGCCAUCUAUGGUCCUGCUGAGAAAUCUACCAUAUACAGAUCAUCUUUCCGAUACCCUUCAAAGACUAGAGACUUGUAAGAUUCCAUUAGCACAAGGCAUCGAUAUUUUCCAAAUAGCACAAUCAUGUUUAAGUCACAAAGCAUUGAGACAGACAUUAAGUUGAAACCAAGGGAUUCAACAAGCAUCACUUUAUCCAUGUGCUGAUCCCUUGAUAUUGCAACUCUACCUAGACCCAAUACCUUGCUUUUACCAGUGUCCGCAAAUGUGAUGUGACUCUUGUCUGAUGGACGUAGGGUUGAAUCCAUCAGAAGACACUACAAAAAAAGACACAUCCGUGACAUUUUGGGCCGAACAAUUUUUUUUCUGUCAUACAUAUGACACUUCUAUGACGAUAAUUGUGACAAAACCCGAUAUCAUCAUAGAUGUGGUGGGCUCCUACUUCUAUGACAAAAAAUCGUGAUAGAAAAUGGACUUUUCGUCCUGGGCGGGCCGGAGACGCAGCUGCAUGACAUUCUUUGGGUCGUCCAUGACAGAAAAAACCGUGGUAGAAGCGAGGGGGAGGAAAAUUUCGGGGAGUUGCCAGUUACGGUGGGAGAGCGAUGCGCGUUUCUCUCAUACACGUACGCGCGUGUGUGCGAGGCGUUGGCUCUAACUGAACCCGAGCGAGGCAUUGGGCUCUAACUGAACCCGAGCAAUUGCACUAUAGGCUACGCGUUACUGAACCCGAGUGAUCGAUCGAUGGCUGUUAACUGAACCCGAUGGAGCGAUUCCUUCGCUACUGCUGCUAACUGAAGCCGAUCGAUGCUGCCUCUGGGAUGAACAGUGAGUGUUGCAGGGGGGGGGGGGUUGGAUGAACAGUGAGCAGUGGCGUUGCCUCUGGAUGAACAAGAACCCGUGGUGUGGAGGGCUGGAUGAACAAUAGACAGUGGAGGGGUGGCCGUGGAGGGGUGGUUGAACAGGACUGUCGGUGUCAAAACCGGUGGAUCUCGGGUAGGGGGUGUCCGGAUAGCCGAACUAUCAUUUUUGGCCGGACUCCUGGACUAUGAAGAUACAAGAUUGAAGACUUCAUCCGGUGUCCGGGUGGGACUUUCCUUGGCGUGGAAGGCAAGCUUGGCGAUAUGGAUAUGUAGAUCUCCUACCAUUGUAACCGACUCUGUGUAACCCUAACCCUCUUCGGUGCCUAUAUAAACUGGAGGGUUUUAGUCUGUAGGACGAACAACAAUCAUACCAUAGGCUAGCUUCUAGGGUUUAGCCUCUCUGAUCUCGUGGUAGAUCUACUCUUGUACUACCCAUAUCAUCAAUAUCAAUCAAGCAGGAGUAGGGUUUUACCUCCAUCGAGAGGGCCCGAACCUGGGUAAAAACAUCGUGUCCCUUGUCUCCUGUUACCAUCCGCCUAGACGCACAGUUCGGGACCCCCUACCCGAGAUCCGCCAGUUUUGACACCGACAUUGGUGCUUUCAUUGAGAGUUCUCUGUGUCGUCAUCUUUAGGCCCGAUGGCUCGUCCGAUCAUCAACAACGAUGCGGUCCAGGGUGAGACUUUUCUCCCCGGACAGAUCUUCGUAUUCGGCGGCUUUGCACUGUGGGCCAAUUUGCUUGCCCAUCUGGAGCAGAUCGAAAGCUACGCCCCUGGCCAUCAGGUCAGGUUUGGAAGUUUGAACUACACAGCUGACGUCCAUGGAGACUUGAUCUUCGACGGGUUCGAGCCACAGCAAAGCGCGCCGCGCUGUCACGAGGGGCAUGAUCUAGCUCUGCCGCCGGACAGUGCCCUAGAGGCCGCACCAGUGUCCACUCCGACCCUUAGCUCGGAGCUGACUGCGUCGAUCGAGGACGGAUGGCUGGACACCGCCUUGGGGGCUGCUAUCUCUACGGCGAUUGAGCCAAACACCAACCCUGUCCUGUGCGAAGCUCGUGACUCCAAGGUGCCGGACUCCUCUCCAGAAUCCGAACCUCCCGCGCCCCUGCCAAUCGAAUCUGAUUGGGCACCGAUCAUGGAGUUCACUGCCGCGGACAUCUUUCAGCACUCGCCCUUUGGCAACAUCCUGAAUUCACUAAAGUCUCUCUCUUUAUCAGUAGAGCCCUGGCCGGAUUAUGGUCAGGAAGGUUGGGAUGCGGACGACGAAGAAAUUCAAAGCUCACCCACCACCCACUUAGUAGCCACUGUCGAUGAUUUAACUGACAUGCUCGACUUCGACUCCGAAGACAUCGACGGUAUGGACGAUGAUGCAGGAGACGACUAAGAACCAGCGCCUACAGGGCACUAGAAAGCCACCUCGUCAUACGACAUUUACAUGGUGGAAAUCCCAAAAGAUGGGAAUGGCGAUGGAACAACGGAGCAUGACCUCUCCAAGAAACAACCUAAGUGUCGGCGUCAGCAGCGCUGCUCUAAAUCCCGCCACAACAAAAACAGUGCUUCCGGCAUGGGAGACAAUAACACCCCGGACAGUGCCGAAGACAACUCCCUCUGGUAGGAUUCAGUGCGGGAGGAUGGAGAAGCCAGCCCUCAUGAGAGAGCGGCAGGCAGAGAGGUAGAGGACGAUAAUUACAUGCCUCCCUCCGAAGACGAGGCAAGCCUCGACGACGACGAAUUUGUCGUGCCUGAGGAUCCCGUCGAACAAGAGCGUUUCAAACGCAGGCCCAUGGCCACGGCAAGCAGCCUCAAGAAAAAGCAGCAACAGCUUAGAGCUGACCAAGACCUGCUAGCCACAAAUGGACUGAAGUCCUUCCGGCCGAAGAGUAUGAACUCGAAUGCCCCUCCAAGAGCUACCCAAAACGCAGGCUGCUACCCCGAUUUGAGGAGGAAGCACCUAAACCUACAUCACCAGUGCAUGAUACGGCUGAUCGGCCACCUCGUGGCCGCGACAAAGAGGCCUUUCGGCCCUCCACUCAAGCCGCACCCCGGCGCCGCUCAAAAAAUACCAAGGCACGGGAAAAUGCGCCAGACCUGUGGGAUAUACUGGAGGACAAGGCAAGGCAAACAAGAUCGAUCUACGGAUCGCGUGGGCACCCACGAUACGUGAUGAUAACCAUCACGCCGGAUAUGGCAAUUCCGGCCGGGCCGAACACAGUAGACAAAUCUCAUUUGAGUUGCGUCGUGAUAUAGCCCAAUACAAAGGCGCCGCACACCCACUAUGCUCCACAGACGAAGUGAUGGAUCAUCAAAUCCCUUAGGGUUUCAACCCCGUAAACAUUGAAUCAUACGACGGCACAACAGAUCCUGCAGUCUAAAUCAAGGACUAUCUCCUCCAUAUCCACAUGGCCUGCGGUGAUGAUCUAACGCCAUCAAAUACCUCCCACUCAAGCUUAAAAGACCAGCUCGGCAUUGGCUUAACAGCUUGCCAGCAGAGUCAAUCGGUUGUUGGGAAGACUUGGAAGCCACAUUCCUCGACAACUUCCAGAGCACCUAUGUGCGACCACCAGACGCCGAUGACCUAAGCCACAUAAUUCGGUAGCUAGAGGAAUUAGCCAGACAAUUCUGGACACGGUUCCUAACCAAGAAAAAUCAAAUCGUCGACUGCCCAGAUGCAGAGGCCCUUGCAGCCUUCAAACAUAAUAUCCGCGACGAGUGGCUUUCCCGGCACCUAGGACAGGAAAGGCCGAAAUCCAUGGCAGCCCUCACAACACUCAUGACCCUCUUCUGCGCGGGAGAGGAUAGCUGGCUAGCUUAUAGUGACAACAUGACCAAGAGCCCUGGUAAUUCGGAUACCAAGGACAGCAACGGCAGGUCGCAUCACAACAAGCACAAGCGCCGCAUUAACGGCGAUAAUGUUGAGGAUACGACAGUCAAUACCGGAUUCAGAGGCUCCAAACCCGGUUAGCGGAAAAAACCAUUCAAAAGAAAUACUCCGGGCCCGUCCAAUUUGGACCGAAUACUCGAUCGCUCGUGCGAGAUACACGGCACCCCCGAAAAACCAGCCAAUCACACCAACAGGGAUUGUUUGGUGUUCAAGCAGGCAGGCAAGCUAACUGCCGAAAACAAUGACAAGGGGCUGCAUAGCAACGACGAGGAGGAGCCCCCGCCGCCGAGCAAUAGAGGACAGAAGGGCUUUCCCCCACAAGUGCGGAUGGUGAACAUGAUAUACGCAACCCACAUACCCAAAAGGGAGCAGAAGUGUGCACUAAGGGACGUAUAUGCGAUGGAGCCAGUCGCCCCAAAGUUCAAUCCGUGGUCCUCCUGCCCGAUCACUUUUUGAUCGAAGGGACCACCCCACUAGCAUCCGCCAUGGCAGAUUCGUCGCAUUGGUUCUAGACCCAAUCGUUGACGGAUUUCACCUCACUAGAGUCCUGAUGGACGGGGGUAGCAGCCUGAACCUGCUUUAUCAGGAUACAGUGUGCAAGAUGGGCAUAGACCCCUCAAGGAUUAAACCCACAAAGACGACCUUCAAAGGCGUCAUACCAGGUGUAGAGGCCAACUAUACAGGCUCAAUUACACUUGAAGUGGUCUUCGGAUCACCGGAUAACUUCUGCAGCGAGGAAUUAAUCUUCGACAUAGUCCCGUUCCGCAGCGGCUAUCAUGCACUGCUCGGACGAACCGCAUUUGCAAAGUUCAAUGCGGUGCCGCACUACGCAUACCUCAAGAUCAAGAUGCCAGGCCCUCGAGGAGUCAUUACGGUCAAUAGAAACACCGAACGCUCUCUCGGAACGGAGGAGCAUACGGCAGCCCUCGUGGCAGAAGUACAAAGCAGCCUCUUAAGGCAAUUCUCGAGUCCGGCUAUUAAACGUCCAAACACCGUCAAGCGCGCCCGGAGUAACCAACAACAAGACUGCCUGGCACGUCCCGAGCACGUGUAGCAAUGCAGCCCCAACCCCAGCCCUCGCGAGAUUGCGAAACCAGUACUACGCGUACAUAAUUACGCUCUAGAAAUACCAUGGGCAUAGGUGGAGGGGCACAACCACGGCUGGCCUAUAAUGCGGCUCAACCGCACCAGGGGCUCCCAAUUGUCUCAUUCUUGUUUUUUCUCUUACUUUCAGGACUCCUUUCUCAAGAAGCCCUGUCCGGUAGUAGAAUCGCCGAACCCACGAUGCAACAGCCAGGGAAGCAGAAAGCUACGUCGAGUGUCCAAGUGGUCUCUAUAACAAGCAGUAUACUUGUUUUACAUAACAUCCCGCAGCUCGCUCCUGGAGGGAGACAUGUCAAAUAGUCCCGUCCCUUGCUUAUCACACUAUUUGUAUCGUUCUGCUUUUACCGCAACUUUUUUGAAUAAACAAUGCAUAGCUUUUGCCUAUUAUUGCAUUCCUUUUUUUUAUUUUAUCUAUACAUGUUCACUUCAGACAUGUUGCACCCGUACGUUUUGGUACGGCCGAAUACACCAGGGGCUUAAGUACCCCAAAAUAUGGUGUGAUAAGUCCGAACACUUUCACAAGUGCGGCACCCCGAACUUAUAGCAUUAUAUGCAUCGGCUCCGAGUCAUGUCUUGGGUCAAUAGUUGGGUUUGCCUGGCUCCCAUGUUUUGGUACCUUACGUUCCGUUAUAUCGGCUAAGGUAGCACUGGGAGAACCACUGCGAUUGUGACCCGGUUGAGCUGGGUUGAGCACCUCAGUGGAGAAAGCUAAAACUGACUGUCAUGAUAGGGCGAGAGCCGGUCGCUGUUCGAGAGGUUUUUCGAGUCCCUAAAGACUUAUGUCGCUUAGAGCGAGGAGUCGGCUUUGUCCGGCCCAGGCAUGGAUAGCGCCCCAAACUCGGUCUUCCGAAUACUAGGGGCUUCGCCGAAAUUUAAAAUUAUAGAAUUCUAUGGCUAAGUGAGAGUAUUCAAGCAUUAUAGUCCGGUUGCCUUGUUCGUUGCGUUGAGCGCCUCCCUCGAAGGACCCAAGAAUGGGAAAAAGAGCGCUCAAGUUUAUCCCGAACACCCCAGAACUCGUGGCAUGGGGGCAGAAGCCGACGACUCGCCAUCUCUCAAAUUUAAUAAACGGCCGCACAGAAGGUACUAUUUUAAAUUCACAAGAGUUGCUUAGCACAUAUGAACAAGUUUUCAAGCGUACAGGAUAACAAAUGCGAGUUUACUCAAAAAUUACAUCUUUGGAGCAUCCACCCGCUAUAAGGCGGGCAUCCUUCAGGACGCCCUGAUAAUACUUCUCGGGCUUGCGAUACUCCCUGCCCGGCGGCGGAGCAUCCGUCACAAGCUUCUCAGCGUCCAUCUUGCCCCAGUGCACUUUAGCACGGGCAAGGGCCCUACGGGCACCUUCGAUGUAGACGGAGCACUUGACAACUUCAAUCCAUGGACAGGCAUCCACCAGCUGCCUCACCAGCCCGAAGUAGCUCCCAGGCAUGGCCUCCUUCGGCCACAGCCAAACUAUGAGGCCCGUCAUGGCAUGUUCGGCCACCUUAUGGAGCUCGACCAGCUGCUUCAGCUGGUCUCUCAAGGGCACCGGGUGUCCGGCCUCAGCAUACUGAGACCAGAACACCUUCUCCAUCGAGCUCCCUUCCUCGGCCCGAUAGAACGCGGCUGCGUCGGACAUACUGCGGGGCAGAUCUGCGAAUGCUACUGGAGAGCUCCGGAUUCGGGUAAGUAACAAGUAAUUCACUUUCAUGUGCUUGCUUUGCAUGAAGAAUGUCUUACCCGCCGCUAUCUUCUUUAUUGCCUCAAUUUCCUGGAGGGCUUUUUGUGCUUCAGCCUUAGCGGCUUUAGCGCUCUCAAGAGCCGAGGCAAGCUCGGACUCUCGAGUCUUUGAGUCACGCUCCAAACUCUCGUGUUUUUCCACAAGAGCCUGGAGCUCUUGCCGCACCUCCGCCACCCGCCCCUCCUGCUUCUCUCGCUCGGUGCAUUCCGCGGCCGCAUUGCUUUCGGCCCUGGACACCGCUUCCUUCAGGGUCGCAACCUCGUUCGUGGCCCCUGCAAUUCUCAUGUUAUUCCUAUUAUUUUUUGCAACCACAUUUUUUAUAUAUACUUCCAUAAUGUAUUACUUACCUUCCUUGUCCUCGAGCUGCUUCUUGGCAAGGUCGAGCUCGUUCUCGGACCGCUCGAGGCUCUGCUUCAAUGCAUUGACCUUCGCAGUCAGUGCGGCAGAGGUCAGCAGCGCAACCUGCAUUCCCAUAUUGACAUACUUAUGUUAGACUCCUGCAUACAUCUUUUUAGAUCCUCAAUUCGGCUUUUCUUUCCGAACACCAAACUGAGCAUCAGGGGCUACUGUCUAUGCGGUAAUAUUUUCACAUAUCUUAAAAACAUACCUCAAAGCCUGUUAGAAGGCUGGCACAGGCUUCAGUCAGCCCGCUCUUGGCGGACUGAACUUUCUGGAUCACCACACUCAUAACAGUGCGGUGCUCCUCGUUGAUGGAGGCGCCGUUAAGCGCCUCCAGCAAAUUAUCCGGUGCCUCCGGUUGGACGGAGGUCACCGGUGUCGCAGUCUCGCCCUUUGUACGAAGGGGCCGCCCGCCGGACUCCGGAACCACUAAAGGUUCCGGUGCAGAGUCCGGCCCAGGGCCGGACAUAGAGCCCUUUGGGGUUUGAUCCCCCUCGCGCCCAAAGUCCGGGAGGUUGCCUUGCGGCACCUCCGGGACCUCCUCCUCCUGGCUGGGCCCCUUUUGGGACCCCACCUCAGCGUCAUCCGCAGCAUGAGGCGAGGAGACGGCCGUAAGUGAAGUGCUAUUCACGUCCGACGAUACCAGGGAGCCGCUCGUUCAAGUGUUGAGCCCAUCCUUGGGCGGGCUGCAGGGUUAUGUUCGGCGUUAGGAGAUUUUGUACGACAAACGAAACGCCAUGAGUUAUUCUGGUAUCCGGACACUUACGAUGUCGCAAGGGGCUUAGCCCUCGGUGGCCACUCCUCUUCGCCGUCGUCGGCGUUGGUAGAGUAGUCCGGAGGGAGGGUCCUUCCCUUCUUUGACCCUUCGGCCUCCCCCGUUGGGGAGGCUUUCCUUUUCUUCUCUCCCCCGCUGGGGGAGAGGCCUCUUUUUCCUCCUCCUCGCCUUCACGGGAGGAGUCUGCCUCGGAUUCGUCGGACGAUGAGUCCGACAACACCUGGUGCCGGGAACUCUUUCGAGUUCCCGUGGCCUUCUUCUUGGCCUUCUUCUCCGGCACCACAUAAGGUGCCAGAACCAGCAGCCCCGUCAAUCGGGUGUCCGCUGGGUCUUCUGGCAAGGGAGCCGGACAGUUAACCUGCCCAGACUUCUUUUGCCAGGCCUGUCAAAGGAAAGGGAGUUUAGAUCCCGCAUAGAGUCAAACUAUGGAAAAUAAGUGUCCUGUAAAGGGCAAAAUAGCUUACCUCGCCGGCUUGAUGCUGCGAGCUGAAUCCCCAAUCUUCGGUAGCGGAUGCGGGAGCCUCGGCGCCCUUGAACAGUACCUUCCAGGCAUCUUCGUACGUAGUGUCGAAGAGCCUGCUCAAGGUUUGGUGCUGUGCCGGAUCAAACUCCCACAAGCUGAAAGCCCGUUGUUGGCACGGGAGGAUCCGGCGGAUGAGCAUGACCUGGACAACGUUGACGAGCUUGAUCUUCUUGUUCGCAAGGUUUUGGACGCAGGUUUGGCGUCCGGUCAGCUCUUCCGAAUUACCCCAUGACAGGCCCUUGUCUUUCCAGGAGGUGAGCCGUGUGGGGAUGCCAGAUCGGAACUCGGGGGCCGCUGCCCAUUCAGGGUCACGCGGCUCGGUGAUGUAGAACCACCCGAGUGCCACCCUUUGAUGGUUUCCACGAAGGAGCCCUCGAGCCAUAUAACGUUGGGCAUCUUGCCCACCAUGGCGCCUCCACACUCCGCCUGCUGGCCCCCCACUACCUUCAGCUUGACAUUGAAGGUCUUCAGCCAUAAGCCGAAGUGGGGCUUGAUGCGGAGGAAGGCCUCGCGCACGACGAUCACGCCGAGAUGUUGAGGACGAAAUUCGGGGCCAAAUCAUGGAAAUCCAGGCUGUAGUAGAACAUGAGCCCCCGGACGAAUGGGUGAAUUGGAAAACCUAGUCCGUGGAGGAAGUGGGUGAGGAAUACCACCCUCUCAUGGGGCCCUGGGGUGGGGAUGAGCUGCCCCUUGUCGGGGAGCCGAUGCACAAUGUUGCCAGACAAGUAUCCGGCCUUCCGCAGCCUCUUGAUGUGCCCCUCCGUGACGGAGGAGGCCAUCCACUUGCCUCCCGCUCCGGACAUGGCUGGGGAAGGUUGAGGCGAGAUGGGCGAACUUGGGCGCUGGAGCUCGAGUGCGCGGAAAUGGAUAAGCAAAGGAGGAAGAAGGCGUAGGUAAAAAGGUGGAUCAUUAUCCCCUUAUAUGGACGGACGAAACUAUGCGUCCCCACCGGCCUGUAAAACUCGCUUAUCUCCCAAGCGCCGUGAUCAAUGGUGCUGUUGGGUUACCCACGCCCGUAUUGAUGAGAAUCCCGGAAUAAGGGGACACGAUCUCUGCUUUGACAAGACGUGCCAAGGAAACCGCCUCGCUAAACGCGCUGAGGUGGGACAGUAAAAACGAUUCGAAUAAAGGCUUGGCCGUGGUGUGAUGUCACGCCACGAAAUACGUCAGCAGAUUGAAUUUGUGUAAAUAUUAUUCUCUCUAUGGUGGUAUGUGGAGCUUAUUUUGCAGAGCCGGACACUAUCCUUGUGUUCAAAAUCUUCUAUGAAGUAUUCGGAGGAGGAACCUGCCUUGCAAUGCCGAAGACAACAUGCAUACCGGACUCGUCGUCAUUGAAGCCUGGUUCAGGGGCUACUGAGGGAGUCCCGGACUAGGGGGUGUCCGGAUAGCCGAACUAUCAUCUUCGGUCGGACUCCUGGACUAUGAAGAUACAAGAUUGAAGACUUCGUCCCGUUUCCGGAUGGGACUUUCCUUGGCGUGGAAGGCAAGCUUGGCGAUACGGAUAUGUAGAUCUCCUACCAUUGUAACCGACUCUGUGUAACCCUAACCCUCUUCGGUGCCUAUAUAAACCGGAGGGUUUUAGUCCGUAGGACGAACAACAAUCAUACCAUAGGCUAGCUUCUAGGGUUUAGCCUCUCUGAUCUCGUGGUAGAUCUACUCUUGUACUACCCAUAUCAUCAAUAUCAAUCAAGAAGGAGUAGGGUUUUACCUCCAUCGAGAGGGCCCGAACCUGGGUAAAAACAUCGUGUCCCUUGUCUCCUGUUACCAUCUGCCUAGACGCACAAUUCGGGACCCCCUACCCGAGAUCCGCCAGUUUUGACACCGACAAGGACCCAGUGGUGUGGAGGGCUGGAUGAAUAGUAGACGAUGGAGGGGUGCCCGUGGAGGGGUGGUUGAACAGUAGCCGGUGGAGUAGCGCGCGGUGGAGGCUGGAUGAACAGGAGCCCGUGGAGGCUGGAGGAGGUCGACGGUGGAGAUGAACAGUAUCCCGUGGAGUCCCGUUUUGCGGUANNNNNNNNNNNNNNNNNNNNNNNNNNNNNNNNNNNNNNNNNNNNNNNNNNNNNNNNNNNNNNNNNNNNNNNNNNNNNNNNNNNNNNNNNNNNNNNNNNNNNNNNNNNNNNNNNNNNNNNNNNNNNNNNNNNNNNNNNNNNNNNNNNNNNNNNNNNNNNNNNNNNNNNNNNNNNNNNNNNNNNNNNNNNNNNNNNNNNNNNNNNNNNNNNNNNNNNNNNNNNNNNNNNNNNNNNNNNNNNNNNNNNNNNNNNNNGACCGUAACGCUCCAACACAAGUCCGUUUCGUCCGUUUUGCGAUACGCCACACCCCUCCCGAUCAACAGGACCCCCGUUUCGACCGUAAGAGGUCCGUUUCAUCCGUUUUGUGGUACGCCACACCCCUCCCAAUCAACAGGACCCCCGUUUCGACCGUAGUGUCGGAUUUCUGGUUCCGGUAGACCCUUGAGGUUCGAACACUGGGGUGCGCGCGGAGAUUUUGCCCUCUGCCUACCUGCUCCUCGCGCGGUUUUAGUCUCUCUGAUCUCGUGGUAGAUCUACUCUUGUACUACCCAUAUCAUUAAUAUCAAUCAAGCAGGAGUAGGGUUUUACCUCCAUCGAGAGGGCCUGAACCUGGGUAAAAACAUCGUGUCCCUUGUUUCCUGUUACCAUCCGCCUAGACGCACAGUUCGGGACCCCCUACCCGAGAUCCGCCAGUUUUGACACCGACAAGGACCCCAUGGUGUGGAGGGCUGGAUGAACAGUAGACGGUGGAGGGGUGCCUAUGGAGGGGUGGUUGAACAGUAGCCGGUGGAGUAGCGCGCGGUGGAGGCUGGAUGAACAGGAGCCCGUGGAGGCUGGAGGAGGUCGACGAUAGCCCAUGGAGGCUGGAGGAGGUUGACGGUGGAGAUGAACAUUAUCCCGUGGAGUACCAUUUUGCGGUACUCCACACCCCUCCCCCCACCCAUUUCGACUGUAGCGCUCAAACACAAGUCCGUUUCUCCGUUUUGCGGUAAGCCACACCCCUCCCGAUCAACAGGACCCCUGUUUCGACCGUAGGAGGUCCGUUUCAUCCGUUUUGCGGUACGCCACACCCCUCCCGAUCAAUACGACCCCCGUUUCGACCGUAGUGUCAGAUUUCGGGUUCCGGUAGACCCUUGAGGUUCGAACACUGGGGUGCGCAUGGAGAUUUCGCCCUCUGCCUACCUGCUCCUCGCCGAAUCGCUAGGAUCUAAACUACUAAACAGAACAACACAAGAGACACAAGGUUUAUACUGGUUCAGGCCACCAUUGUGGUGUAAUACCCUACUCCAGUGUGUGGUGUGGUGGAUUGCCUCUUGGGCUGAUGAUGAAAAAUACAAGGAAGAACAGCCUCGCGAGGUUCUGUUCUUGGCUGGUGUGAUGAACUGCUGGGAGGAGUUCAAUCGCUCUAUCUACUGGUUUCUUGGUGAAGAUCCAGAUGCCUCUACCUUGGGGGUGGCUAGUCCUAUUUAUAGGCAAAGGCCCUGGGCCUCUUCCCAAUUAUUGAGCGGGAAGGGCGCCAACAAUUGGCCAUUUUGAAGGGGAACAGCGGGUACACUUAUCCUGACUAAAGUUGGUCCUCGCCUGUCAAAGGCUCUGGUAGUGACGCCUGCUUGGGCUCCACAAUGACUUCCUCCCUGCCGUUGGGCUGGUCUUGCUCUUGUUGCACCGAAAUGGAUGCCUUUGCUUGAUGCUCUCGCCUACUCUUGCCCCCUUUGCACCAAAGAGGAAAAGAGGACACUGUGCGGGCUGGCGCCUGACUGGCGCCCCUGGUCGUCAUGGCUUGCGUCAUGGGCACCUCGUGAGGUACCCCGCCAUGAACUCUCCGCCUCCUCGUGAGCCAGCCUGAUGAGGCCGUGCCUGAGGAAGCUCCUUGUCGUCCGCCCUGCGAGGCUUGGCCCCUCGCGAGGGUCUUGAGCUUGUGUUGAUGAAGAUGGGCUGCGCUGGGCCCCCUUUGAGCCACGCCGCAGGCCGCAGGCAGGCAAGUCUGGGGACCCCCAUUCCCAGAACGCCGACAGUAGCCCCCGAGCCCACGGCGCGCCCGGACUUGGCCAAGCAGAGAGGCGAAAGGGCAAGUGCGAAGCGUCGCGGGCCCUAACAGCAUGCGGCCUUGGGCGCCGCGUGGUGGUCGAUUGGACGUGGGCGCCUCCGCUUCCCCACGACGCCUCGGUAACCGUACGGAUUCGACAGGUCCCUGCAUGCAAAGCGGGUCAUGAUUACCUGCGAUCAUGGAGGUCGACGGUUGGCCUUCGCCGGCUAUAAGUACGGAACGGCGCGCGCCCUCCAGUCUACCCCCUCUGCUUCUCCUUCUUCUUCAUCGCUCCGCCAAGGAAGUUCUCGGCCGCAGAGAAAGGAAAGGCUCGCCAGGUCGAGUCGGCCCCUCCCCCGCCCAAGUGCGGUCGUGGCCGCCCUUGCAAACACCCUGCAGCCUCCACGACGGCCCCUCGCGGUCGUGGAGGUGGCUCUCUGCGCGGUGAUGGGCGGCUGGCCGUGGCCGGGGGGCGUGCUCCGGCCGUGCGACCCCCCAGGCCGCGCUUCCAUACUGCGGAGGUGCUGCCGGAGUUCACUGUGAGGGCGGCGGAGCCAACUAGCGCCCGGCUUCUGCUCCCUCGCUUCCUCCUAGGUGAGCUCCUAGCUGGCGCCCUGGGCGGCCUCUGGCUCCAGGCAGACGGCUGCUGCAGCCCGGCCUCGUGGGCUUCGCUGGAGGUCUCCGCAGCCGGGAGCUUGGCCUUGACCCGCAGCUGGCAGACAUUUGCCCGCGCGCAUGCCCUGAGCCGCUGGUGCACUCUACACUUCAAGUUCGAUGGCGAUGCCACCCUCUACGUGAGGGUGUUUGGGGAAGAUGGUCGCCGCGCAGGGUGCUGCCCUGAAGACGAUGACCGCAGCCGGGGGCCCAACCCCGGCGAGGACGGAGAGGAUAGCGCGCGUGUGGUUGGCGGCGCCUAGGGUUCCUCAAGCUUCACCAGUUCUUCUUCGGGCAGUGACUCCUCCAGCAGCGGCCGCGGUCGACCUCCAUGCCGGCGUGCCUGCUUGGAGGGUGGUGGCGGGUCUGCCCGCCGUCGUGCCUCGGUGGAGCGCGAGGGGGAGUCCGCCUGAGCUCCGGAGGAGGGUCGAGUCUUCCCUGAGGGUCGGCGCAGGGCGAGCUUCCCGAGAUUUGCCCUUUCUUUUCCUUUUUCCUGUGCAGAAAGACAGUAGUGUGGGGCCCCAUUGGGGUGUGUUUGGGGUACCGCUGUUAAUCAUCAUAUUGUUCCCGUUAUUUUGGUAUUGUUCUCUCUGUCCGCACGUUCGCACGUAGGUAAUCCCCUGCCUCAGCCGUGGGGGCAACCGACCCAGGCCCUGUAUUCAUGUCGCGAUGCCCGUGAGGCACGGACUGGAGGGGUGCUCCUGUAGUGAGCGUGGGUUGAGAAAACCUUGAACGAUAAGGGCGGAGAGAGACUCGCGAGGGAGUCCUGGCUGCUCCCACGUGAGGCCUUGCGUGAGAGAAAUCGAGGCAGGAGAGUGAAAAUUCGAAGAGCCACAACUCGAAGGCAACAACUUCAAUAAUAGUUCAAAUAAGAGCGAACAAGCCAACUACAGAAAGCAAAUGAAAAAGCCGCGUCCGGCACCUAAUCUAGUCUUCGACGUCUUCUCACCAGCGUGGAGCUAAGUGCUGCCACUGGGCGUGGGAGGGAGCCCCAGGGCCUGAGGCCGGCGCUCCUGAGACUCCGGGGCGUGUACAGCCCCAACUCAUUAUUACGUGAGAGUGUCAUGGACGGCGAGCUUCACAGGCAUUGGCCUUCUUCACAGGCUCCGAGCCUUUCUUGGGGGAGACAAGCUUCACGGGCAUUGGCCCUCUUCACAGGCUCUGGGCCUUUUCCAAAACGCAUCAGCUUCACAAGCGUUCGCCUUCUUUACAGGCUCUGGGCCUUUUCCAAAAAGAUGAGCUUCACAGGCAUUUGCCUUCUUCACAGGCUUUGGGCCUUUUCCAAAAAGAUGAGCUUCACAGGCAUUCGCCUUCUUCACAGGCUCUGGGCCUUUUCCAAAAAGAUGGGCUUCACAGGCAUUCGCCUUCUUCACAGGCUCUGGGCCUUUUCCAAAAAGAUGAGCUUCAUAGGCAUUCGCCUUCUUCACAGGCUCUGGGCCUUUUCCAAAAAGAUGGGCUUCACAGGCAUUCGCCUUCUUCACAGGCUCUGGGCCUUUUCCAAAAAGAUGGGCUUCACAGGCGUUCGCCUUCUUCAUAGGCUCUGGGCCUUUUUAUGGGUAAAACCUCCUGAGGUGCUGGAUGUUCCACGCGUUCUAUACAGGUACCCCCACCUGAGUCUCCAAGCGCGCGGAGCCGGGCCUGGAAACAUGAACAACCUUGAACGGGCCAUCCCACAUGGGAGAGAGCUUAUGCAGUCCCUCCCUGGAGAGAACCCGCCUCAGCACGAGGUCCCCUACCUCAAGAGUUCUGGGGCGGAUGUUGCGGCAGUGGUAUCGCCGCAGUGCUUGUUGGUAUCUUGCCGCUCGCAACGCGGCCUCUCAGCGACGCUCCUCCCCCAGCACGAGGUCCAUCCCCCGCAUGGCGUCCAGAUGGGUCUCAUCGAACACCAGGACCCGUGCGGAAUGACGCCUGACCUCGUGAGGGAGGACUGCUUCGGCUCCAUAGACCAGGAAGACGGGGGUCUCCCCAGUCGGCUUGGUCGCGGUUGUGCGGAUGGACCACAACACGGACUGAAGCUCAUCGUACCAACCUCUGCCGCAGGCCUCCAGCUUCUUCUUGAAUGUUCUGGUGUUGAGGCCCCUCAGGACUUCUGCGUUGGCUCGCUCGGCCUGGCCGUUGCUUCGGGGGUGCGCCACCGAAGCGUAGCAUAUCUGCGUUCCAAGGUUAGCACAGUAUGUUUUCAAGAGGUUACUGGUGAACUGCGAACCGUUGUUAGUGAUGAUGCGGUUCGACACCCCGAAUCGGCUCACGAUGCCUUUGAUGAACUUGACCGCAGAACCAGCAGGGAUGGUGCAGACGGCCUCGACUUCAGACCACUUGGUGAACUUGUCCACGACGACGUAGAGUUAGCGAUAGCCCCCUGGCGCCCGAGGAAACGGGCCUAGGAUAUCCAACCCCCAGACUGCGAACGGCCACGUGAGGGGUAUGGUUUACAGACCUCCGGCCGGCUGAUGGAUCUGCUUGGCAUGGAAUUGGCAAGCCUCGCAAGCCUUCACUAGUUCGACAGCGUCAUUGAGCGCAGUAGGCCAAUAGAAACCGCUGCAGAAUGCCUUGCCGACGAGGGUCCAUGACGACGAAUGAUGCCCACAAUCUCCAUCGUGUAUAUCUGCCAACAGCUCCUUCCCUUGCUCUCUGGUGAUGCAGCGCAAGGACACAUCGUUUGGUCAUUUCCGGUAGAGCUCUCCAUCCCUGAUGUAGUACGCUGUAGCUUGCCGCGCCACACGCUCUGCUUCCUCCUCCUUCUCCGGCAGGGUCCCAUGUGUUAAGUUGCUCCAGAGCUCCGUGAUCCAGCUCCCCUCUUGAGGCUCCAUCGUCAAGAGCAGGCGUGCUCCUGAGGUCGGGCCGCAGGCUGGGGCUCCCGAGGCUGGUGGCCGGGGAAGCUCCACCUGAGGCUGUGCUGUGUUUGAUAACGAUGGCAGGGCCAAGGGCUUGAAGAGCUGUUCCUCAAAGACGCCCGGCUCCUGGGGCAACCGCCUGGAGGCUCGUUUGCGAUGUCGUCGGCCUCUUGAUUAGUGCUGCGGGGCACAUGCUAUAGCUCCAACCCCCAGAACUGUUUCUCCAUCCUGCGGACUUCCGCAAGGUAUGCUUCCAUGUGCUCAUCUCUUGGCUCAUACACCUUGUUGGAGAAAUUGACGAGGAGCUGCGAAUCGCCCUUGAUAGUAAGGCGCUUCACCCCUAGGGUAGCGGCGGCCUUCAAGCCCGCUAUCAGUCCCUCGUACUCCGCUAUAUUGUUGGAGACCUUUUCACCCUGUUGGAAACAGAGCUGCACGGCGUAGUAAAGCUUGUCCUGAGUGGGAGAUAUGAGCACCGCCCCGGCCCCUGCGCCAUGCCUGGAGAAUGCUCCGUCGAAGUACACGACCCAGCCUUCUGGCGCCUCACUUCCCGGGGAGAGGGAUCGAUCCUCGUCGGCCUUGAGGUCUAGUGCCUCCGUCCAUUCGACCACGAAAUCUGCUAGCGCGGCUCCCUUGAUGACCCUGGUUGUGCUGAAUUCGAGCUGAAAUGCUUGCAGUUCAAUGUUCCACUCGGCGACCCUUCCAGCCGAGUUAGGGCUCCGGAGCACCCUUUCCAAGGGGUAUGCUGAGGCGACCUUGAUCGGGUGGCUCUGGAAGUAGUGUCGCAGCAUGCGUGAGGCUACCAGUAGCGCGAGGAGGAGCUUCUGUGGCAUGGGGUACCAUGCCCUCGCAUCCCACAACACCGUGCUGACGAAGUACACCGGGUGCUCGACGAGGCUUGGAGCGUCGGUGCUGGUGGCGUCCUCCGGAGGCCGUGGCGCCUGCUGAGGCGAUGGGGCCUCCGGAAGCUGGUUGCCUGGGGAAGGGGCCUCCUCCGUUCCUGGCUUGCUCCCCUGCAGCGGCUGACCCUCCUCAGCCGUGGUAGCGAUCUCUGCGAGUCCUUCCUGGUCCUGCUUUGCCUUGACACGGGUAGAUGCCGUGGCUUUGGUCCGGCGCUCCUCCCUAACUGCCACCAGAGCCGCACUGGCGGAGUAAGGAGUGGCGGCAAGGUAGAGUACCAAGGGCUCCUGAGGGCAUGGGGCCACCAUCACCGGAGGGUUGUUUAGGUAUCUCUUGAGAUCUUGGAACGUCUUGUCGGCCUCUUCAGUCCAUUCAAAGGGCCCCUUUUUCUUCAUCAGCUGGAAGAAAGGCCGCGCUCGCUCCCCUAACCUGGAGAUGAAGCACCCCAGCGCAGUCACGCGCCCCGUGAGCUUCUGCGUUUCUCUGAGGGUCUUUGGUGGGCUCAUGUCCUCGACUGCCUUGACCUUUUCUGGGUUGGCCUCAAUGCCUCGGUGGGACACGAGGAAGCCCAAGAGCUUGCCCGAGGGGACUCCAAACACACACUUCUCCGGGUUGAGCCGCAGGCUCACUGCGUUGAGGCUUGCGAAGGUUUCCUCCAUGUCUUGUAUCAGGGUCUUGGCCUCGCGAGACUUCACUACGAUGUCGUCGACGUAAGCCUCCACAUUCUUCCCGAGUUGCGGGCCCAAGGUGAUGUGCAUGAGCCGCUGAAAGUUUGCCACCGCGUUGCGCAGUCCGAACAGCAUGCAUGUAUAGCAGUACACCCCACACGGGGUCAAGAAGGCCGUCUUCUCCACGUCUUCCGCCGCCAUCUUGAUCUGGUGAUACCCGGAGAAGGCAUCCAAGAAGCAUAACAGGUCACACUCAGCGGUGGAAUCGACGAUCUGAUCGAUGCGAGGGAGCAGGAACGGAUCUUGCGGGCAUGCUUUGUUGAGGUUGGUGAAGUCGACACACAUGCGCUCCUUCCCUCCCUUCUUUGGCACAACCACAGGGUUGGCCAACCAGUCUGGAUAUCGGACAUCGCGAAUAACCCCUGCGGCAUCCAGCUUGUGGGUCUCCUGGACGAUGAAGGCCUGCUUUUCAGUGGACUGCCGCCUCGCCUUCUACUUCACGGGGCGCACGUUGGGGCACAUGUUGAGGUGGUGCUCGAUUACGCUCCGUGGGAUUCCUGCCAACUGAUCGAGCUCCCAGGCGAACACCUUCUUGUUUGCGCGCAGGAACUUGACCAGGGCUUCCUCCUGCUCGGGCCCGAGGUUGGCGCCUAUGGUGAAAGUGGCGUUAGUGGACCCAUCCUCGUCGACAGGUAUCUGCUUGGUCUCUGCCUUGUCUUGGGUGAACAACUGUUUCUUCUUGGUUGGUGCAGCCCCCUUGGGCUUGGGGGUUUCCACGUUGGCGGGCCGUGCUGCCGCCGCCGUCUUGAGGGCGAGCUUGAGCACUCGCCGCGCAUCUCCGGUGUCCCCGGGCACGGUGAGGACACCAUUGCUCCCGGGCAUCCUCAUGAGGUUGUACGUCGGGUGAGUCGCGGCCCUGAAUUGGGCCAGUGCUGGAUAGCCGAGGAUGCCGUUGUAGGGGAGGCCGAUGGGGGCGAUGUCGAAAUCGACCAGCUCUAUGCGGAAAUUGUCGUAGGUGCCGAAGGUUACCGGGAGCUGGAUCUGUCCCAAGGAGUUGGACGACCCGCCUCCGACGCCCGAGAAGGGCCGGCUGGGUUGCAGCCGCUCCCGGGGUAUGCAGAGAAGGUCGAAGGCCUCAAUUCAGAGCACGCUGAGGCCCGCGCCACCGUCGAUGAGAGUCCUGGUGACAGCCACUUGGCAGAUGGUAGGCGUGCAGAGCAUGGGAGCGCACCCGAGCAGGCCGAGUUGGAGGGGUGGUCCUCUGAGCUGAAGGCCAGCCCGGCCGAUGGCUUUGACCGGCCCAGGGGAGCCCCCUGCCGCGUGGAGGCGGCGCCGACCCAGCGGACGAAUGGCUUGACGUGGUGGCUGGAGGGUGGCGCCUGCGAGCAACCCAGGAGGGCCGCGACGACCGAGGGGGCCGGCACGACGUGGUGGGUGAGGAAGAGGCCGCGUGGCUCUUCCCAAGAGGCCACGGCGGGAUGCUGGGAUGAUGCUCGCUGCCCGUUCCCCGCCGGGCCGGUGGCGGCGUUGAUGGCAGGUGACGGGGAACGACGAGGGCGCCCGCCGACGGGAGCCGUCUGGGCUUCGCGGGAAGCGAGGGCGGCUCGGCGCUCGGCGCGAGCCCGACGAGCGCCAGACAUGGAUGCGAUGGUCGGAGAAGAACAAGACGACGGAAGGCGAAUUCCGGCGCACCCCUACCUGGCGCGCCAAAUGUCGGAUUUCGGGUUCCGGCAGACCCUUGAGGUUCGAACACUGGGGUGCGCGCGCAGACUUCGCACUCUGCCUACCUGCUCCUCGCCGAAUCGCUAGGAUCUAAACUACUAAACAGAACAACACAAGAGACACAAGGUUUAUACUGGUUCAGGCCACCAUUGUGGUGUAAUACCCUAUUCCAGUGUGUGGUGUGGUGGAUUGCCUCUUGUGCUGAUGAUGAACAAUACAAGGAAGAACAGCCUCGCGAGGGUCUGUUCUUGGCUGGUGUUAUGAACUUCUAGGAGGAGUUCAAUCGCUCUAUCUACUGGUUUCAUGGUGAGGAUCCAGACGCCUCUACCAUGGGGGUGGCUAGUCCUAUUUAUAGGCAAAGGCCCUGGGCCUCUUCCCAAAUAUUGAGCGGGAAGGGCGCCAACAAUUGGCCAUUUUGAAGGGGAACAGCGGGUACACUUAUCCUGACUAAAGUUGGUCCUCGCCUGUCAAAGGCUCUGGUAGUGACGCCUGCUUGGGCUCCACAAUGACAUCCUCCCUGCCGUUGGGUUGGCCUUGGUCUUGUUGCACCGAAAUGGAUGCCUUUGCUUGAUGCUCUCGCCUGCGCUUGCCCCCUUUGCACCAAAGAGGAAAGGAGGACACUGCGCGGGCUGGCGCCCGACUGGCGCCCCUGGUCGUCAUGGCUUGCAUCAUGGCACCUCGCGAGGUACCCCGCCUUGAACUCUCCGCCUCCUCGUGGGCCAGCCUGAUGAGGCCGUGCUUGAGGAAGCUCCUUGUCGUCCGCCCCGUGAGGCUUGGCCCCUUGCGAGGGUCUUGAGCUUGUGUUGAUGAAGAUGGGCCGCGCUGGGCCCCCUUUGAGCCACGCCGCAAGCCACAGCCAGGCAAGUCUGGGGACCCCCAUUCCCAGAACGCCGACACAUAGGAGGUCCGUUUCCUCCGUUUUGCGGUACGCCAGACCCCUCCCGAUGAACAGGAUCCCAUUUCGAACGUGGCCGGUCGAACACAAGGUUGUUUCCUCCGUCGUGCCGUACGCCAGGCCUCGUUUCCAUCGCCUGUUCCGUCCAAGCCCUCCCGAUGAACACGACCAUGCAUUCCGUUCCGACCCAGCCGGUUGGCUCCCACGCGUUCCGUUGCCUCCCCAUGAACAUGACGACGAUGCUGUUUCUCCGUUCCGACCCAGCGAUGUACGUAUGCGCGAGUAGGUGUUCGAGACCCUGCCCGUAUGUACGUAUGUGGCCAUAUUUUCUUUUUUGCACCCUCGCCCCUGUACAUACGUGUACAUGCUACAUGCGCGCCUCUACUAUGACACGUGUGCGCCUCUACAUCUACGACACGUGCGCGCCUCUACAUCGACCAGUAUGUACGUACACGUUCGCGACCAGAAUGACAACACUACGUACGCUUUGACUAGGUGGGUCCCGACUGUCAGGCACUUCCUUGCGUGCGAAGAUGUAGCUAGUGGGUCCCAGCAGUCAGGGGGGCAAAUCAUUUUUUUUGCCCGGACGAACUUCCUUGCAUGCGAAGAUGUAGCUGGUGGGUCCCAGCAGUCAGGGGGGCGAAUCGUUUUUUCGCAAAAUACAGUGGCCCGUCCGGUGCGUCCCUGCUAUCAGGUGGAGGAAUCAUUAUUUUGCGCGUAAUAAGGAGGCACUUCCUUGAGGCGGCCGUGGACCCAGCUGUCAGCCUCUCCACGUACAGUCCACGUCCGAUGGAAGUCAUUCCUUGACCAACUUGACCAGGCCACGCCGAGAGCACCACGGCGGUGGAUGACGGCGAGGCCUAGGAUGGGGACGACUCGGAGCCGGGGGAGACGCAGCAGUGGAUGCCCACACGAAGAGGAGUACGAGGAUUCACUUGUUCGGCUGCGGUGUGAGGCUAUUGUCGCCGCAGAAUAACAGGGGGUGUGGGUGAGUACAGGGAUGGCCUGGACAACGGUGGGAGUAGUAGGGGGCUGUGAGGCCUCCGCGGCAUCACAGUCGGCCACGGGAGGCAGGAGCACGCGGCACGACCGGCGCUGGUUUGGGCGGCUGGAGCAAGAAGACUAGAGGUUGAAGAAGCACUACGGCCGUUGGAUGAACAUCGUACGGUAACAGGAGCUAGAAUCGUUCAUAUUGACUAAGUUGACAAAGCCAUCCAUCCCCGUCAACUUGGUAGGCCCACAAGUCAGCCUCCCACUAUGCUGGGUUCCAGCUGGCAGGGGGAGUAUUCAUUUUUUUGUGCGUAAUAAGGAGGCACUUCCUUGCGUGCGAAGAUAGCUGGUGGGUCCGACGUGUCAGCUGGGGGCACGUUUUUUCGCAAAAUACGGAGGCCCUUCCGGUGGGUCCUACAUGUCAUGUGGAGGAAUAAUUAUUUUGCGCGUAAUAAGGAGGCACUUCCUUGCUGCAGCCAUGGACCCAGCUGUCAGCCUCUCCACAUACAGUCCACGUCCGAUGGAAGCUGUUCCCUGACCACGUUGACCACGCCGCGUCGAGAGAACUAGGGCGGUGGACGACGGCGAGGCCUAGGAAGGGAACGACACGGAGGCAGGGAAGACUCGGCAGUUGUUUCCCACGCGGAGGGGAGUACAACUGUACGAGGGUCUACUGGUUCGUCUGCCCUCGCCGGAGAAUAACAACAGGUGUGGCCGUGUGGGUGAGUAGAGGGAUGGCAAGGCCAGCGAUGGGAGUACGGUGGGGCGGUGAGGCCUACGUGGCAGCACAGCCGGCCGCGGGGAGGAGGGAGCAGGCAGUCCGGCUGGUGCUUGUUUGAGCGGCUGGAGCAGGAAGAGCAGAGAUUGAAGAAGCACGAAGGCCGUUGGAUGGACAUCGUACGGUCACUGGAGCUAGAAUCGUUCAUAUUGACUAAGUUGACAAAGCCCUCUGUCCCCGUCAACUUAGUAGGCCCACAAGUCAGCCUCCCACCAUGGUGGGUCCCAGCUAGCAGGGGGAGUAUUCAUUUUUCUGUGCGUAAUAAGGAGGCCCUUCCGGUGGGUCUGAGCUGACAGCGGGGGGAACGUUUUUUUCGCGAAAUACGGUGGUCCGUCCAGUGGGUCCCAACAGUCAGGGGCAAACCUUUUUUUCGCAAAAUACGAUGGCCCGUCCGGUGGGUCACAGCAGUCAGGGGGGAAACGUUUUUUUCGUGAAAUACUGGUGGCCCGUCCGGUGGGUCCCUGCUGUCAGGUGGAGGAAUAAUUAUUUUGUGUGUAAUAAGGAAGCACUUCCUUGCGGCUGCCGUGGAUCCAGCUAUCAGCUUCUCCACGUACAGUACUCUUCCGAUGGAAGUCGGUCGUUGACCACAUUGACCACGCCGCGCCGAGAGCACCAGGGCGAUGGACGAUGGCGAGGCCUAGGAAGGGGACGACGCGGAGCCGGGGAAGACGCGGCAGUGGAUGACCACGCGGAGAGGAGUACGUGGGUUCACUGGUUCGGCUGCAGUGUGAGGCUGCCGUCGCCGCAGAAUAACAGGGGAGUGGGUGAGUGGAGGGAUGGCCUGGCCAGCGGUGGGAGUAGUAUGGGAACGGUGAGGCCUCCGCGGCAGCACAACCGGCCACGAGAGGUAGGAGCAUGCGACACGACCGGCGCUGCUUUGGGCGGCUGGGGCAAGAAGACCAGAGGUUGAAGAAGCACUACGGCCGUUGGAUGGACAUCGUUGACCAUGCCGCGCCAAGAGCACCAGGGCGGUGGAUGACGGCGAGGCCUAUGAAGGGAACGACAGGGAGCCGGUGAAGACACGACAGUGGCUGCCCACGCGAUGGAGAGUAUGAGGGUUGACUGGUUCGGCUACCGUCGCCGGAAAAUAACAGGAGGUGUGGGUGAGUAGAGGGAUAAACAGGCCAGGGAUGCGAGUAUGAUGGGGCCGUGAGGCCUGCCCGGCAGCACCGCCGGCCAUGGGAGGCGGGAGUAGGCGGUUCCGACAGUGCUAGUUUGGGCGGCUGGGGCAGGAAGAUCAGAGACUGAAGAAGCACGAUUGCCAUUAGAUUGACAUCUAACGGUCUGACGCUGGUAGAGUCGAUUCUUGACUAAGUUUCUUUUUUAAGAAACCUUGUGUACGCAUGAACUUAGUAGGCCCACAAGUCAGCCUCCAAAUCUGUGGCAGACAACAUAAAUCCCAUUUGCUAUUUUUUACAAUUUGCGGCCCAUUUGCUAUUUUGUAUAAUUUGCAGCCCAUUUGCUAUUUCUUAAGUAAUUUAUUACAACCCAUUUUCUGCCCAGGACCACGGUCAAAAAGUUCAACCUUAUUUUGCAUAUUUCGGUGCAGUCCAAACUGUUGUAAUCCCGAAAUGAUAAACAUUUUUUAAGAACUUAUUGAUUUGCCAAAAAAUCAUUUUGUUUUUGUAAGCAAAUAAGACGUGGGACAAUUGAUUUGGUUUAAGGCAAAACCAGUGCUGAAAAAAUCAGCGCUAGGUGGGAAAAAACAACAAAAAUAAGGAUGUAAAUAUGAAAUGGGAAUUUUAUGUGUUUUCAAUAUAAUGAUACGUGUAUAUGAACUAGUAAAACUAUAGGUAGAGAUUAGAAAACGGAUGUAGGACAUGCGUUUCAAGAGGAAAAUAGAACUGGGCUGUCUGUUUGAUUCAGUAAAAAAAUUACCUGCGGAUGUUGUAAGACAAAAUAUAACUAACGCUGGAGGGCCAGAGGCCAGUAGAUACCUGCUGGAUCUUUGUGCCCCAUUGUCGUCAUGGGCUGGGCCUGUAAAAAACAAAACCAACCCUGGUCAGUCUAAAGCCCAGUUGAAACUUGCUCGACCUGAAAAACAAUAUACAUGCUCAAUAAAUGAGAGAAUUCUGCAAGCACAGACUGAUAACUGGGACGCAGCACGGAUAUUGUUUUUUUAUCGUAAUAAUAAGUGCAUGCACUUGUUUCAAAAAAACUGCAGAACUGGGAAUUCGAACGGCUGGUGCUUAUGCUACCCAUCAAAUAAAAAUCAGGUGCCUGAGAAUUCGUUUUGAAACAAAUGAUUCAGCUUUAUAUCCACGUCGACCCUCGGCAUGAUGGUUGGAAGCAAAUGCAAGUUCAUACCAAAAGAUUGUUAACUACAAUACCAACUUGUGGACGACAAGGUAGUACAACUACCAAUACCAAACUACACAUGGCCCUAGUGUUCGUCUGGUAGAAAAUCUUGCAGAGGACCAGCUCCCGCUCCUUCUCUUGCUCCAGGUCCCCGAGGAGGUACUGGUGCAUCACCCAGUUGGUCCUCUGCUAGUCGAAGUUCUUGUUGGUGUGCAGCACUAGAACCUUUUUUGCUGCCCGUCUGUCGGCCGUUGACCAUCACAGGCAAGCUAUUGCCGGUCUUGUGCCACAUCGCGUGCAUGCCGCACUCCGACUGUAUCUUGCGACGCGUCCACGUGCCCCUUUUCAACGCCCUGGAAUUGCGCUGGAAGAAAUGCUUCCUUAGGCCACUCAGUGUGAUACCUGCAGUAUUGUGGAAUACAGGUUUUAGUGUACCUAGUUGGCAUUUCCAUAACAUCUUUGGCAUGUUGCAGUCACUUGUUUCACUUUUUAUUAACUGUCAAAUUGUAAUUGUUUCACCAGGUCUGCGUCUAAAAAGAAAAAUAGAGCUAUAAACAAAGGAAUAUGUUUGUGCAAGUAGACGGCCGAUCAGUGUCUUACCUGGAAGUUUCUCAGGUUGGGUGUAGCAUAUGCCGUGCUCGCUGUCGAUGGUUGGUAUGAACAAAUCGAUGAGAGACUGAAAUCUCGCGUUGUCAACACUCACUUUGGCCUCAAGGUGCUCGAUCAGCUCCUGAUCCGUGGGAUCGAACUUGACGCCAGCCGGUAGCACCGGCCAGUCCUUCUUCGACUUGCCUCGGUAAUUCCAGCUAUAUGGUACUCAAUGUAUGAUCAACCGACUAUUUUAAGUGAAUGAUGAAAGAUUUCGACAGAGUAAAAACUCGCGCUUCUUCGAUAGUUGUACGAGAGUAAUUGCCAUGCAGUUUUGCAAGGGCACUUGUAAAAACUCUAAACUCUAUUCUCUUAUUUAAUGGAUGAGGCAAAUCUUUUGCCUCCGUUUCAAAAAAAAGAUUUCGACAGAUAAGUGGUACUCCAAAUCUGAAGUCGGGAAUACCCGAGCACCCCGCUAGGAUUCUUGUGUCACCUCACGCGCAGCGUGUUGUCACGUCAAUUCAAUGUGUGGACAUGAUGAAUAAUUUGACCGACGUAUACUAGUACUACUACUGUACUACUUACUAGUCGUAUUUAGUGUCACAAUUUAUACAUAGGUUUAACUAACAAGUACGCACUUGAAGCCUAACUGAUAUAUAUGUAUAUAUAUGGCUUCUGCACAGCAUCUCCAUGAUCAUUAUCAGUACAUCCUACGCAGAUGAGUUAGGAUGCACUUGAUCCCAGGAAGGUAUCUAUCCUUCAAACCAGAGGAGUGCUUCAAACUAACAACAGUACAUAAUAUCCAACAAAAGAGGGUCGUGCUACAGCAGCAGAAUAUAUGGCUCAGUCUAGAUAUCAGCAUGAAUCAAGUUGUGCAUAUUUGCUGUUGGCAUGAACCACAUCGCCGCAUGUCGGGUUUGCAAAAGCCAUCCAUCGCAGGGAAGCUUGAUGCCUUUCACACACUGAAGAUUACCUGGCAACAAGCUGUGUCGACGAAUCUCUGGAUAUGGUGAUUCAUGAAACCCAUGGUAUGAUGUGUAAACAGAGCCCCCCCUCGCGAAUGGAAGUUGCAUAGCACAGUAAUCAUCGCCGGUGAUAUGAUCGAUGAUUGGUUGGAUGAUCGGAUAAUUGAGCCCGAGGAACAAGGAGUGGUUGCCGAGGCUGUAAACCGCCUCCAGUUGAAUACGCCUGGCCCAAUGGUGCUGGGAUCUUUCUCGAACACGAAGCAUCCAUAGCCAUCAAUGUCACGAACGCCCCAUGCAUUGUACUACAUGUGGUUUGAUGUAAUGGUUUGGUCAAUUUGGUAUGUGCGAAUGAGCAUCAAAUGACCGCCGUCAGCUGAACAAGCGAUAAACCAGAACCCAUCCGCUGGCAUGAUUCCAGGUCCUGGAAUCAUGAAGGCCAGCGCAUUUGCGUCUGCUACAACAAUUCAAAUUGGAGACCAAAAGGACAAAAAUAAACAAUCAAGUUCAGUGUAUGUGUGGAAUUAAGAUUAUUAUAACAGUGACACAUAUCAUAGACAAAGAAUUGCAAUGUCGUGGUCAUAAUCAUACCUCAAGUUAAAAAAAUAAGCCAAUGGCUUUCAUAUUCUAGCAAUAUGUCAUGGUUAAAACAUCAUGUAACAAUGAGAGGAAAACAGCUAUGACAGUGCCUACUCAUAUUCUACCAUAACACUUACUACUACUAUUCUCCUAUCAACUCUAAGCAAUAACAUGCGUUGUUAUAAAAAUCUUGUAAACGAGAGUAACAUAUAGCAAUCAUGAUGUUAUGAUCAUAAUAUGUAUUCUAACAAUCAUUAGAUGCCAAUUGUUCUCAUAUCAACUCUAACAAUAACAUGUGUGGUCAGAAAAAUCUAGGAAAUGAGGGGAACAUAUAGCAAUGAUGUGGUUAUAGACAUGCUAUGCAUUCUAAAUUUGUAACAAAUGAAUAGGCAGUCGUAUUCAUAAGGUAAAGAUGAGAUGAGAUAGAACAAUUACACAACGAUAGAUUCCACCAGUAUAGGCAGCCAAUCUGUGCGUCGACCGCGUAAACAAUGCCAUCAUGCACUAUAGCAUCAGACAGAAAUGUUGCCUCAACAGGAUUGAUGAUGAGCCAUAACCAUGUACGGCGACCGGAUUCCAGAUAGACUAAUACCAUGUUGAACAAGGCAAUGAGCUUGUAAUCCAUGUAGUCUUAUGAUGGUGUGGGCACUUUGCAGAUUACAACUUUCUGCAAACAGAGGUCGAGCCAAAAGCUUGACGCAUCUCAUGCGUAGUAGGCAGGAGUGUCCAGCGGGCCGCGAGGCUCGAUGUCGGCGGUAUCCAACGAUGGAAGGGUGAUCGCUCACUGGGUGUAGAUAUGCACGAGACGCCAUGGACUACUGGUGUGGUGGAUGAGGACGAUCCAGUUGGCCUUCAUGCCCGCCCAGUAGUGGCUGCGCAUGAAGGACAGGUGGACGGGUAGUGGUAGCAUGUCGAGGGGCACCACGGCAACCUCCAUAAGAUCAUCAAGUCGGUGUCUGCGCCACCUGCGAGGAUCGGGCAUCAGUAAGCAGGGUGUCUUGAAAAGAGCCGGCCGGUUGCAGACGAGUAGACAGUAGAAAGGCACCGAGCAUGCGGCCAGACGGAUGGUGCUGAGUAGGUCCAUACGACUACAGAUCUGCUCCAAGAGAACAUCGGGGAGGGAAUUCCAAUCGCGGCUCUGCGUGUCAUUCGGUUCUGCCAUUGGGGUUUUCGGUGCCUGCGAGCCAGAGGGGAAGUGGAUUCGGGCGGGCGAGCGAAGAAGCUUCUCCUCGUGUGGCCGAGCAGUGAGCGGGGGGAUAUGGUACGCGCGAGCUACCAAGGAAGAUGGCGCGGGCGGGCGAGCAGUGAGCGGGGGUAAAUGGUGUGUGGCCGACGAUGGGGAAGAGAGGAGGAAGAAGAAGAGAGGAGGAAGAAGAGUGGAAGACGGGGAAGAAAGUGCAUUAAAUCUCAAUUCUACUAGUACUACUACGAGGAUAUAGGCACCGUGCUCCGGAGUGUAAAUAGUUACACCGAUGACAUGUGGGUCUACCACAAGAGGGCCCAUAUGUCAGUUAAUGGAGGACAUAGGUGCGUAGGUGUAUUUGCAGAAGCGUGCUCUACUGGCAAACAUGAUGGUAGUACUGGGUAAGGCUGAUUUAGUAACACCAACACGCUAGUUCAGCUUAUUAAUUACGUGUCCCAUCUGCUGCAGCGUGUAUUAUCACUUCACUGCGAAGACUAGUUGAAUAGUUCUCUCUGACCGAGAUGGGGAAUGAUGGAUCGCGAGGAUUUCCUUUCUACAGUAUCCCUAUGCCUCUACGCUCACUUCACUCAUUUUGCUCCGUACCUAGUCACUUGUUGAAAUCUGUAGAAAGACAAAUACUCUGUUUUUGGGAACAGAGGGAGGCUUUUACUCCGUACUGGAGUAUUUAGGAACAGAGGGAGUAUCACCAUAUGGAGGGAACAGAGGAAGCUUGAAAUAUGAACAUGUCAAUGGGAGGGAGUAAGCCCCAUGCAUGCAUGCAUGCAUGCAACAUGCAACACUCACACGUACACCACAUGGACGCAUGUAACACUCACGCAACCAUGCGGCACACAGCACACGACGCAACACACACGCUCACGCUCAAGUGCUCAACCUACUCCCUAUGUCCGUGAAAGACUGUACAUUUAGAGAUUUACACAUUGACCAGGGUAUAAUUAACACCCAAAAGUAGCAGACUUAUGUGUGCAUGCGACCAUUGAGAUAAGAAGAUUAAAUGAAGGUCGUUGCAUGCUGUAAUUAAGGAUAGACAUGUAGCCUAUACCUACAGCACAAGUUGGUGCAUUAGUCAAUCAAUAUCGAUUUAGAUUAAAGGCUAAAUGCAUUGGAAGUGUAGAUGUACAUCAUGUACUACUACACUCUUUGUUUUAUAGCCGAUGUACACUCUUUGUUGGAAGGGCGAGGGAGGACACGUGCAUGCACUCACAUACACAGCCAGGGCGGUUCGGGCGCAAGGGUUGGACUCGUGUGGCGCCUGCGUAAAGUUUUGUUUAACUGAUUUCUUUGCUACGCCAACUGACAGGUGGGACCCAGAAACCAGGUGACAAUUUAACCAGUCAACAAAGUGCCACGUCGACUAUGUGGCCGGUCAGUAGGGUGCAAUAUGGUGCUCUACAAUGAGCUAGUGAUCGUAUAAUCGACGCAAACCUAUAUAUAGUGACCGUAAAGAGCGUAUUGUUACAUACGUUGAACGCCAGUGUAUUUUUCUCGUUUCAAAUUAAGCCAUAUUAAUCGGAAAGGACAGAGUAUGGACUACUACUAGUACUAGUACUGCUUUGAUGUGUCCCGUCAACUCGCCGAACAAGGAUAAGCUUGCUUAGUACGCCUCUCCCUCGCCCACGCGCGCGGUGGUUCGCAGGACGAGGAGAGGGUUUUGACUACAGCGCCCUCUCCCUCUUCCCCUCACCCUCACCCUCGCCCUCGCCCUCGCGGUGGACGUGCAGCAGUUCAAUCGGUGUCAGAUUGCCAGAAGCAUAUUGUACUGUAGUAUCAUCAUUGUUGGACCUUCCGAAGAGGCGAAGAGGCAAGUGCAAGGUUCACACGAGUACGAACUGUUGAACCUCCCGAAGAGGCAAAGAGCCAAGCGCAAGGUUUUAUAGGAGUUGUCGUCCUAGUAGGAGUGUACUACAACUAUAGCGAACGAUGCUAAUGUAUGAUGCCGCCACGUCACGUUUAUCCAUAGUUGUGCCACCUUUUUUUCUCAAAGAGCAUGUUGGAGCCCGUGCAACAACCACACAAGUUGCAUGUACACAUAACACAUUUACUAGUAAUAAAUUCUAAAGGACAAAUGCCAGUAUGCCACACAAGUUCAUCUCCAAUUCAUGUGAUAAAUUUGUGCACGACUAGUCUACAUAUAUUCACAGCGCUACCGUUCACAAUUACCGUACUCCACUCACACGUUAUAGAUGGGCUACAUGCAUGUCCUCCUCCAGGUUCCAGUCCCAGGUGUUCUUCAUGGAUGGCACGAUCCAUAGCGGUGGGUAACGGGAAUCAUUGUCGCACCUUUCUAGUCCGGUUCCACACGAUGGAGACCCAUCCAAGCUGAAGUGGCAUAAAUUAGGGAUAGCAUGUCCCAGCAUGUCGUUCAUCUGGCAGUGCGCAAUGAAGACACAACCAUGCUUCAUGAAUGGCAGGCCUUCCGUGUCGUGCACGGAAGGUGGCAUCCGCUUCACAAUGGGGUAGCUGUCCCCGAUGAAAAGCGAGUACUCUCCAAGAGUGUUCCUCGGCACCCACGUAGCAUCAUGGGGGUCGAACUCGACGCCGUUCAUCUGGUACAUGCGGCAUCCCAGAUCUGGACACAUGGUGACGUACAUAGUCAAGGUCCAUGCAUAAUAAUGUUGUGCUCAAAUAUGGCGGUCAGUAAUACUGUGUAGCAAAUAGUACUACUCCAGUAUAGAGGAAGUAAAAUAACCGGCUUAUUAUAUAUAGCCACUCUUGGCUACACGGAUGAGAUAGUAAGACAUGGAAAACCAAAAAUGGUGGCAGCUACUGGGUUCAAGUCUUCAAGGGCCCAGCUAGCUAUACGCGUCCUCCAAGGUAAAAAGUACUCCUACUAGUAGUACUAAGUAUACUACUAGUACAACAAUGAAAGAGAAGGUGAGAGGGUUAAAAAAUGGAAUACCUGGGUAGAUGGUGAUGGUUCGAUCGUGGUAGAUUGUGUGACCAUGUUGCACAUCAGUGGUACCAUGGGUAACGACUGCUAAGAUAGUUGAUCCCAAUAUGCCAAAGUCACCUACAAGGUUCCAGGCUAGACCAAAUCGCGAAUGCAAAUGCACAUCCAGGAUCGGCAAUCUUAUUUUGAUCGGGGGAUGACUGGUCCCUGCAAAAUAAUGGAGUACCGUUAGGGAUGCAAAUGAUGGUUUGUGCAUUCCGUUUGUAAUCUCCCGUACCGUAGGAUAGCAACCAGAUGAAACAAGUCCCCAGGCUUUUCACUGCGAAGAUGCGGCCUAGAUGGCGCACGACGUCUUCGAACGUGUAGGGGUACAAAUCUGCCGCCACCAACAUGCGCCAGCCUCUGCCAUUACUGUGUCUUGCAUUGAUGGCAAUCCUUAUGUCGAACACAGCGAUGAGAUAGUAAUCAUCGUAGCCGCGUCGCUUUGUCGGCGGGUCCGCAAUUGCUAUCUUCUUCAAUCUCAUGUAGGCAUCAUCAUACGUAUUCAAGCCCAGCCAAUCCGGAAGGCCGAUCCCAAUGGUGGAGAAGGGGUCUACCGGAACGGCCGCACUGCUGUGGAUGUUGUGCAAAAUGAUGGUGGUAUCCAGCCGGAGGUAUGCAAGCCAAUAUUCGUUGGCACCGACCCAGACCUAUAUAUAAGACGGUGGGCAGCGGAGAAAUUACGGGAUGGAAAUGGAAUAAUUAAGUACUACAUGAUCAAACUCCAUUACUGACCUGCUCAUCGGACGAAAUCCGACUACCUCUCAACAUCGGCAACUCUAGCGGAGUCAACAUGCAACCAUGGCCAGGGAGCGGUGGACUGUUCGAAGGAUUGUCCCAUAGAAGAACCUUCUCCUCGAGGACGCAUGGAAGACCAACAAGCAUGGCCUUUUCCCAAACAUGUUUAAGCAACGUCUUGAAAAAUUUGGUGCAGGAAGCAUCGAGUCUUGCGCCGGUGAGGACGUCGGAGCGGCGUGCGAUUUCUCCCAGAGGAUCGUCGUCCAAGGUCUCCCAGCCCCGACGAGGAGGAGAACCACCUGACGAAUCCAUGGGAGCAGCGAUGAACUGCCUUCUCUUCGGGGGGAGGGGAACUGGCGAGGAGGAGAUAAGAGCGUAGUAACCGCAGGAGCUCGUCCCUUACAACUGUAGAUCGUUCCUCAGCGAAGGGGUGAGCUAUUAUUUACUAUUAGGAAUAGCAUUAUGGAAUGUUAUGUGAUUGCAUUAUACUGUAAAUAAUAGCACUACUAAGAAAUUUUUGGUACUAGGUAGUAGUUUUGGCGUGGAUUAAGAAAUUUUGGGUAUGUUUUUGCCAUUUUUUGGCGUGUCAAAAAACGUCUUACAUUAUGUGACGGAGGAGUACGUACUCGUACUGUAGCAGUACCAGUACUACUUUUCUCAACUACGAGUAUUAGUGUGAUGUACUGUACUUCUAGUCUAGUCUAGUAUAGUGCACCAGUUUUGAACUCUUGAAUCUCAGGGCCAAGGAGCUACAGUUGGAAGUGGAGGGUACUACUAUUCUCUAGAACCAUCGCUGUGCUAUCAAUGCAGGGGAAGUACACCUGCGUAGUGGCCUUGUGGGUACUCUCGGUGCUAUAUUCAGCCGCUCCUCUCACGUAGGAGUAGCUGGCCCACUCAGCCGCUCCUCUCACGCACACACUAGCAGCCUGUUUAUCAGCGACGGUUACUGCGGUCUGCGGUGCAGAACAUUUGAGUUAUUUGAUACAGCGAGACUAGGCUUUUCGCUUCCAUUUGUGGAGGUGUAAUGGAUCUCGUCGAACUUUGUUAGUAGUUCCUUCUUUAUGAAUGAGAUGAAGCAAAGCUUUUGCCUCCGUUUCAAAAAAAACACGUCAAGAGGAAUUUCUUUUAUAGUAGAGCCGAUAAUGGAGUGAAGUCCAUGUGUGCAACGCCACAAGCUACAGAGUACUAGUAGUACAACACUUUACAUACAGAGCCAUAUUGCAUAGUUCCCAAUGCCCCGCCAGGCUUUUCCGGCUCCUCAGGCUUAAUUGGGAGGCGCUAGUUUAAAUAUGCUACUAGCUGAUGAGGAAGAUGCAAGCGAGGUGCGGCCAGGGCGAGCACGCGAGCCACGGGAUGCUGGGAAGGAAAACCCGUUCACGUGGCUAGGCUGUCCAGUGCACCCAGAUUGUGGGGCCGCACGUCCGUUUGACUUCAAAACUCAAACUACCGGUGUAAAAUAUUGGCUCGCAGCAAAGUGUAGUAGUACUAUUUUUUUUAAAAGGCCGCCAUGCGUUCGGCCGGCAUCGAACCCACAAAACGAGGUAUACACUCUCGCGACCACUGGUAGUACUCGUUGGAGUACAACGCAACCUAGAAUCGCUUUUUGUCGCUAGUAGUAUGUACAUUGUUCCUUACAAGAAACCCCUAAUAAUGCAAGAAACCACUAAAAUGCCAAGAAACUACUACCACUUGCAUACGUGGCAGACUUAAGAUAAGACUACCUUAUCAACCAUUGUACAUGCUCAUACCAACCAAAAUCCUCGAGUGACCUCCUACCUCCGGCCCGUCCACCUAGUCAUCCUCGGCCAUGGGACGCAGCUACCGCCGCCGGCAGAAGGCGAGGUCAAAACCACCGGCGGUGCGGAGCCCAUGUUGCGGCAGUCCGGAUUCUAGCUCCGUCCGGCGCUAGCGGCCGCUAGCUAGCCAAGAUAGCUCCGUCCAGCUGCCUGUCUGCAAGGUUUGCUAGCUAGAUUGGCACGGCAGCGCGGCGGAUUGCUUGCACACGCUGCGCUCAGGCCAGCCAUCUGGCUCGAGCGAAGGCCAGCGCGAUGGCUUGCUCGCUCGUGAGUCACGCUCGGGCCAGCCUGCCAACCCGUGCGGAGGCCAGCGCGGCGUUCGGCCCGUCUGGUGGAGCGGCGGCCAACUCGCUCAUCACCGGCGCCACCGACGACCAUGCAUCAGUACUGUUUGGAGUAAUGUUCAGGAAAAAUAAUGAUUUGAGGGGAAUAACAGGAUAGAAGGUCAGAUGUGGGUCCCUCGUGUCAACUCUCAAACAAAAUGUGUUAGUUUAAGCUGCCUCGUCAACACGGACAUGUGGGCCAACCCAGUCAUAAAUGGGUUUAAACGAACCUAAUCGGUAGGAGUACUAGGUAGUAGUUUUUGGCGUGGAUUAAGAAAUUUCGGGUAUGUUUUUGCUAUUUUUUGUACAAUAGAUUCUUCCUAGGCCUGGUUGAAAGUGGUAGUUUUUUGUUAAAUACUCUACAUAUUAUAAGUAGGAGUGAAAGUUAAGCUUUGGAAGCCAAUAAGAAAGGCUAGUUACAUAGUGCAUAUGUGUACAUGAUUGAAAGUAAAUAUCAACCAUGAGUGACUAAUAUCUUGAUGAAAAACUCGAAACUAUGGAAUACUAGAAAAAAAUACAUGGUUGGAAAUACUAGCAAUGUUCAUGUCCGUUGCAACGAAUCAUAAUUAGAAUAAUUCUUAUUCAUAAACUUGGUACAAAACACCCUAAUUUUGAUAUACAUAUGUCACUAGAGAUAUAUUAUGUUUCAAUUAUAAUAUAUUCCUUGGGCUGUUUUGGUGAGGUCAGGGAGGGAUGUGGUUGGUUUUAAGAUACUACUUAUGGGUUUUUCUGCAAAUUGGUAGACAAGUGGGAUGUUGGUGAGAAAAGGCAACAACUUACCUCACAAUCGUUAGAUGUAGAUCUAAUGGUCAGAAACGAGGAAUGGCAGACACACCAGCAUAACCAACUAAGUCUUGUGUAGGAGUACUAGCAAGAUCCGUGCAUUAACGGAACAUCAAGAUGCAUUUUUUUAUAAAAACACUUGUUGUGAUUGACCCUCGCGGGAGUAAUCCCAUGUGUAAAAGCUAAUGAUAUCUCGAGAAAUAUGAGAUAAGGUGAAGAGGAGUUGGGUGUGGUGGUAGUUGGUGGUCGGACUGAGCGGAGGCAUGGGGAUUGACGAUGCCGGCAGCGGCCAGUAGGCCAGUUUGUUCCAGAGGCUUCCUUUCUUAAUUGCUCAACAAUGAGGUUUGUUGGAGAUAAGGAUGAACGAGGGAAGGCCUUGUCUGCAAAUGUGGAGAGGGGUGCGGGUAUCUUUUAGUUUAAUUUCCAUCCGUCAGAUAUAGAUCGGACGGUCUAUUGCAAGAUGGCACACGUACCAUCAUCACCAACUCGGUUUUUUAUAAAAGAAGAAAUAUAAGUAUGGAGAUACAAAUGUAUUAUCGAUACUUGCUUCCGUAAACUAGCAUCUACAUUCUAUUCAACGCCUUGGCAUGUGGGGCCUUAGCACAAUGACUUCUCGACUGUGUAAAACAAAGAUUUUCCCGUCGCCGACAAGGAGGGGGUGACGGCGGCGCGCUUUUUGGCUUGCUCUAGUCCUAGUAGUCAUACUAGGUGGUCUAAGCACGUGUAGAUUUAUUCUUUUUCACGUCUCGUGUUCGCCGUACUGCCACAACUGUUGAUGAGUAGACGAUAAGUUAUUCACGGGGAAACCCUUGUUGAGCGUGUUUGUGUGUGUGUGUGUGAGAGAGAGAGAGAGACAGUGUGCGUGUGCGAUAUGUUAGAGACUGAGGCAACGAUAACAGAUUCUUUGUGUCUAUGUGUGUGGAGGAUAGAGAGAGACAUGUACAUGUGGCUUUGUGUUGUGUAACGUGGAGACACAUAUACAUAAUUAGAGAGUGAGUGUGUGAGAUACACAUGCGGACAUGGGGAGAGAUGAGGAUCCAGAUAAAUGGGUGUUUGUGUGUGUUUGUGUGUGUUUGUGCACGCGUUUGUGUGUGACAGGGAGAGAGUGUAUGUGGAGUAGAGAGACCACUGAUGAUGUAAACCUAGUAUAAGGGAAGGGGGAAUUGUGUGACGUGUGUAGUAGCGAGAUAGCAUGGGUGCAGGCGAGGGGAGCAGACUAUUUGGAAGAGACAUCGAGNNNNNNNNNNNNNNNNNNNNNNNNNNNNNNNNNNNNNNNNNNNNNNNNNNNNNNNNNNNNNNNNNNNNNNNNNNNNNNNNNNNNNNNNNNNNNNNNNNNNNNNNNNNNNNNNNNNNNNNNNNNNNNNNNNNNNNNNNNNNNNNNNNNNNNNNNNNNNNNNNNNNNNNNNNNNNNNNNNNNNNNNNNNNNNNNNNNNNNNNNNNNNNNNNNNNNNNNNNNNNNNNNNNNNNNNNNNNNNNNNNNNNNNNNNNNNNNNNNNNNNNNNNNNNNNNNNNNNNNNNNNNNNNNNNNNNNNNNNNNNNNNNNNNNNNNNNNNNNNNNNNNNNNNNNNNNNNNNNNNNNNNNNNNNNNNNNNNNNNNNNNNNNNNNNNNNNNNNNNNNNNNNNNNNNNNNNNNNNNNNNNNNNNNNNNNNNNNNNNNNNNNNNNNNNNNNNNNNNNNNNNNNNNNNNNNNNNNNNNNNNNNNNNNNNNNNNNNNNNNNNNNNNNNNNNNNNNNNNNNNNNNNNNNNNNNNNNNNNNNNNNNNNNNNNNNNNNNNNNNNNNNNNNNNNNNNNNNNNNNNNNNNNNNNNNNNNNNNNNNNNNNNNNNNNNNNNNNNNNNNNNNNNNNNNNNNNNNNNNNNNNNNNNNNNNNNNNNNNNNNNNNNNNNNNNNNNNNNNNNNNNNNNNNNNNNNNNNNNNNNNNNNNNNNNNNNNNNNNNNNNNNNNNNNNNNNNNNNNNNNNNNNNNNNNNNNNNNNNNNNNNNNNNNNNNNNNNNNNNNNNNNNNNNNNNNNNNNNNNNNNNNNNNNNNNNNNNNNNNNNNNNNNNNNNNNNNNNNNNNNNNNNNNNNNNNNNNNNNGGGUCGUUUGUGUCCAUAAAUGGCGUAUAGAUAGGGAGACAAUGUUGAUGUUGUUCGAAAUUGGCCUAUGAACGGAGACGCAGGGGAAGCGAGUCAUCGUGUGUGUGAUAGGGACUUUAUGAGAGAUCUAGAAUAGAUGGUGUAAAGAACAAUGUGCGAAAUCGAGAAGGAUUAUACAUUAGGGAGCUAUGCAAAGAGUCACGACAUAUAUGUAUACAGGGAAGGAGCUGGGGCGGGUCCGCAUGUGGGAGAGAGAGAGAAAGAGGAGAGUGGUGCACAAGGAGACAAAGUGUGCUUGUUUGCAGUGGGGGUGGUGUGUGAGGUGAGUGCACGAGAACCACAUAACUAGGGAGAUAGACGUUUGGGGGCGACGUUUUGUGUGUAUGGGAAAUAUACACUCUACAUAGUGCGUGUGCUUGGGUAAGAGAGACAGCGGGAGACCUAGAGAGUGAGGGAAGAGAUGUGUGCAUGGCCGGGAGACAAAGUGAUAGAGACCUAUGUUGGCGUCCGGACUUUACAAGAGAGAGGGGUGUUAAUGUGAUCGUGUGUUGGUGUCUGGGGGAGAGAACGACUUCUCUAUGUGUGUGUGUGUGGUGGUGGGGGGGGGGUUGACUUCAGAUAAAGAGUGAGGUGUCUAUAUUUGAGGGACUUUAGCGUAAUUGAGAUAUUGUGCACUCAUGGUUGAUCAAUUUGUUUCACAGUUUGUACUAUGAGAUAACGAUACUUUUGAACAUGCAUGAUAUACCUUGAUGUACCAGAAUUACAAACCUAAGAUUGGAAUUUCGGAAUUCAACUCCAUCAUUAGCUUUUGUAAUUCAUUUAAACGGAUGUACAUUUUUUAAGACGGAAUUUCGUGAUUUCAAAUUCAUAUAUCAAACCUAUAGAUAUACACAUAAUGGCAUGUUCAAACUUUAGAAUAAUUCACUUUAUUCAUACACAUACACAUUUUGCUUUUGUCAUCAUAUUUAGGAUAAACACAUUUGGAAUUUCAUUCAAAUUGGACCGUGUGAUGGUAUUUGCUUGUAGUAGCUCAAUGAUCCAUAUUUGAAUUGAAUGGACAAUCUAAGUUUCGAGUUGGAGACAUUGAUUUUCAAAACUUGCACAUUUUUUUUGCGUGCAAAACAAACAAAUUGUCGGCCAUGAUAUCAUAGUCGGUCGUACGAGAGUAGAAUACUUAUAAUUUUAGGCGCCAAAAGCUUUCAAACUUCCCGCUCACAUCAAAAUAUCACGCGCCCGAAAGUUUAGCCCUGCGAUAUUCCUGUUUUACCCCUGCCACAUGAACGGAAAAGGGCUGCUUUGGUAACUCCAUUGUUUUCCCCUCUUUGCCCCCAACAUUCUUCCCAGAGCCCCUCCCCUUCCCCUCCCCGCCCCCCAACCACGAGAAGCCGCCGAAUCUAGUGCUCCGCCGCAGCAAUGGAACUCACACCCCGCCGGAUCUACCUUCCGCACCUUGGAACCCCCAACUGCCAACUCACCACUUCACCGGAGCCGCUUCAGCGACUGGCUUGUCCACUGCUCAAGAUCUCCUUGACCGCCAUCAUGGUCCACCGCAUCGGAUCUGCUUAACCGGCGCCCUCGUCCACCAUAGCGUAGGCCCUUCACUGACUCCCUCGUCCGCCCCUUCGCUGGCCCUUCAUACAAGCCCUCGUCCUCGGCAACAGAUCCGCCUCACCGAAAGCACUGUACAACGCGCCUACCGAAGCCUUCGUCCACUGCACCGGACCCGCUCCACGGACGCCAUAUUCAACUCCACCGGCCCUGCUUUACCGAUGCCGCAGCCUCAUCAGGUUAUUUCGAUUUGUACUCCUUCGGUUUUUCACUUUAUCGUGCAACUAUUCACUUACCACAGAUGAGCUUUCUUGUAUGUCAACAGGCGCCGCAACUGUAGCACCGGAGCCGCUUCAGCGACGGCGACAGCCGGCCCAAACUCAACCGCAACACGAGCACCAUCUUCGAUCCUUAGCUAUCAAGUAUGACAACGAUACCCAUACGCCGCCGAAAAUCAGGUACUAUCAUCCAACGGUCGGCGCCUACGUUCACUUUUCUAGCAUAAGCACCGCACCUUUGAAUUUCUUCAGGGCAUCAUUCAGUUUUUCAUGAGACGCGUUAUUCUGCUUGCAUCUGUAGGGCCAUACUCCUGGCAGUGAACAUGUUACAUGUGCUAAAUUACAUACCAGUGCACAUAUAGUUAAUAUGCUUUAGUUUUGUUCUCAUGCCACCUGUUGGUUCCAUCGUACUGGUUAAUGUUCUCUAUGCUUAUUUACACAUCAGCAAACUAGCAUGUGGUUCCGCUGCUUUUUGUUCAUUUUACCCUACAUUUUCUGAUGCUAGCUAUUACAUCACUGCUUCGAGCCUCUGUUCAUUACUUGUUUGUGUGUUCUUGAUCUUCCCAAUUUUCAUGACUAAUUUGAUGCUUCUAUUAAUUAUGGAGCUGCCAACCCCAUCACGCAAAAGAUUUGUUCUUUUGGGGUUGGCACCUCGAACAAGCAUAAAAAUAGAGGGAAGCAAAUAUAUUGUCGUGUAUGCAAAUAUAUUUAGAUGAAACAUUGAUGAUCAAUUCGGACCAGUGCAUGCGAUUAAAAUUAAUUUUACCUAAAUAGAUGGUGCAGAAUAAACUACAACGACUAGAUUUGCAACCACGGGUUGCUGACAAUAUUUUCAAAGAACACUGCAACAGCAGCUAGGCUUCACAGCAACAUAUGGUAAGCCAAUGUGUUUUAGUACAUGUGAAAUGUAAUGCGAGUGGGCUGCUUUCUUGGCUUGUGCCCUCAACGUGUAAUCCUACCGAAUUACAAAUAGUUCAGUUGUCUGCUUUGUUGUAUUGCUUGAUUCGAAUGCUUGUUUGUUAUUACGCUAUACCUGAGUUGGCCAAUAUGUCAGCAGUGCCUGUUGUACUAUCGUAAAGAAAUGCAUGCCUAUUUCAUUUGAGUCCUUAACUUUUCCUCUCAACUUCAUCACAAGACUGUCUUCGUAGUUUGUAUGAGGCCACACUGUUAAGUGCUUUCUCAGAUUAUUUCAACUGCUUAGAUGCCUUGGCAACUUCAAUAUAGCAGUUGUACACUCCCUUUCAACUAGGGAUGUCAACUGGGUCCCGUUUAAUCCCGAUUAAAGUCGACUAGUGGUAUGAUAGUCCAAAAGAGUUUUUGUUUUUUGAGGAAAAUGAACUAGGGAGGUAGCAAAAACUAACUAGAUGGGACUGGCGGAUGUCGUUUAUUUGCCACCUACAUCCCUAGUUUCAUCUUACCAUUUUAAUUCCUUUUCGGCUGAUGCUGCUUCGAACCAUUCAAAUAUAGUUUGCCAUGCUCAGCAAUAAUUCAUCCGUCGUUUACCAUGUAAGCUUACUGCCUGGAUCAUACGAUAACUACCUCUUACUUAUGUCCAGCGGAAACCUUUCAGGAUGUCGUUCACACCAGGACACAAUGUACAACCCCAAAAUCUAUUUGUGGAAGCAGUGCGCCAUCCAUGUUACCAGAUGGUAGAAGUUCAGAGGCAACACCGCCGGAGAGCAGUCUGAGCACAGAUAUUAUAGUGCUUGAGGCUCUACUAGAGGCAGAAAGAGAUGGUGUGGCUGCCAUGAAUGAGGUAAUCUUUAUCUUGAGGCUGGAAAUUACGGAAUUAGCGGCACGCAUUAUGCAAGCAACCCAAGAAUUGGAGGAAGUAAGAAUGUUGCAUUUGAAGACGGAGGAGGUUCUGCUAUUUCUGCUAUCUGAAGCCCAAGGUAAUCCCGGUUCUUCUUUAGAUACCAGUUGAAAUUGUCAUUAGAUUAUUGUACUUGCAUGUUGUGUCAUGUCUCUGAAUGGAUUCUGUUGCAAGACCCCCUAAGUUUUCCGGAAUUCCAUGUUGUCCAUGUGUUGUAAUGAUCCGAAUUUUUUAGGCGAGGUAAUCCUCAGUACUUGUAUGAUUGACAUAAGGUGAACUGUUUUUCGUGUGAGCAUAUUGUAUUGGAUGAAAUAACUGUUUGAAUCAGAGUGUAUCCAACCUACUAAAUUCGAAGAUCACGACAUUUCUAAAUCAUAAUCAUAUAUAAAGGUGGAAUAAAUCGUUGUUGUGGUGUUGAAGAAAUAAAUAACAAAAUGUAUAAUUAUCUGUGGAUAUUCGUAAUCGAAUACAAAUUGGAUUUGAAUUUAGUUUGCCAGGUCCCAGGGCAAACGUGAAUGCUAAUCCUCCCAUGUUUUGAACGAAGCGGCUAAACACCCACUAUAAUUUGUGGGCUUUCCUAAGCAAGUGUUUGCGAUAUGGAAAUUACUGUCUACCCCUGACAUUUACAUCCUUAUCGACCAGAUUUACACUGCUGUCAAUAGGGGUAGACUAGUAACUUCAAUCAGACGUGACACAACGGCCUCUGAGCCCAUUUAGACACGGUGGGCGCCAAACGUGGGCGGCAAAACACAUUUGAUUCAAGCUCGUCCGAAAGACAUGUGUCUCUUCCUCCAUUUCCCCAUUCAUACACGGUGGGCGGCAAAACAAACUCUCCUCGUCCAAAAUCGAUGUAGGCUAAUAUUUUAAAUAGGGGCAGAUGUGUAGCUUCCAUUAGACGUGACACAACCGCCCUACCUGUCAGCCCCAUUCAUACACCGUGGGCGCCAACCGUGGGCGGCAAAACACCCUCUCCUCGCCCGAAAUAGUUACCGGCAAAUAUUUGGGAGAUGCGACAUUACCGUCCUAUCCCCAACCGACGCGAUGUCCGAAAUUUUAAAUGGGGGAUAAGUUCGUAACUUUCCCCCAUUUCAGAGAAGCGCGUCCCAAAGUUUGAGAUCCUCCCUCCCCUCCAUUUCCCCAUUCAUACACCGUCGGUGGCACAACAACCUCCGCACUGCGGCCAGCCUCCUCCGUCCGCCACCCCAUACUCCACCUUGCCGGUGCCGCUACCCCUACCCCGUCGUCCACUGCAAGAGAUGGACGUCUCUCAUCCACGGCACUGGACCAGGAUCCUAUCAUCGCCUCCUCUCGCUUCAUCGACGUCGUCGUCCACCUUGCCGUUGCCGCUCCUACGACCGCCUUCUCCACGGCAACAGGAUAUAUCCCCCGACCCGGUCGUCUGCCGUCUAAAGUCUUCUUCCCCACCGCCGACAGCCAUCGCACCCGCAACACCCUCAACAUAUCAGCAUAGGCCUACACGGAGUCGCAAGAGAGGUGGUACUCUUCCAUAUGUGCUUAAGUUAUUGAUCUCACCCAGAAAAUAGAUCGAAAUUUGUUUACCGUACUUUUCUUGUCCGUACCAAAUCGUAGUGGCUAGUUGAAAGAAAACAUUGGUUGCGAAGUAGCUUUGUCCGGUUUGCACCUUCAGAUCCGCCAUGGCACGGGCACUAUACUCGUAAAUCUUACGGUUUCCCACCUUUAUAUUCACUACCAUCAUUGUAGGUGCUUCGUGUCGUUCUAGCACUGCUCCUCAAGACCUCAACCCAAAGUUUACGUGUUGAAAUACGAAUCUGAUAUGAUGCUCAUAUCACUAAAACAGAGAACGUUUAAUUGGUCACCUAAUGUUCCUAUAUUCAUUUUGAAAAGCAUGUGCGCCACCCACUGGUCCAGCUAGUUUCACUUUUCGGAUUUUUCUCUUGAUGCUUAGGGUUUUCCCCUUUUAUCUACUCUACUAUGAUCUGCGUAGGUGCUUUCUGUCGUACUGGCAUUACUCCACCCUUCAAGCUAAACAACACAACACUCAGAAUUCGAAAGCUUAGUUGUUCAAAUAUGAUUGUGAUAUGAUACUGAUAUUAGUUAACCGACACAUUUAAUUGGUUAGCUAAAGGUCCCACUUGAGUUUCCAAAUGCAUGUCGCGACAUAUAGAGAGACAGCAUAAUUGCAUUUCUUUGUCACUUGUUGACCGUACUUUCUUGUCCAUACCAAAUCUUAGUUGUUAUUUCAAAGCAAACAUCGGUUGCUAAAUACCCUUUGCGUAGUUUGCAGCUUCAGAUCUGCCAUCCCACUUCCACGGUCAACACUAUACUCAUCAUUCUUAUGUUUUCCCCAUUUUAUGAUGACCACAAUCAGCCUACGUGGUUCGUGUCAUAAUAGCACUGCUCCACCCAUCGAGCUAAACAAGCUUAGUUGUACAAAUUCAUAUCUGAUAUUAUUGCUGAUAUUAGUAAAACUGAGAGAUGUUUAAUUGGUGAGCUAAAUGUUCCUACUUUAGUUUCGAAAUGCAUGUGAGCCACAUAUGGAGAGACCGGAAAGAAUAGUAUUUCUCUGUGCGCUCUGGUUCAUCAUGGGUGGCCAACCGACAUUGUAUUGAAAGACUUGUAAUAUCUUCAAUCUGCUUGCUCUUCUGCUCUUCUUUAAGAUGAUACUCUUCUCUUGCGGUCGAUUGGUCAGGUCGAGUUGUUCUCCCUUAGUAUAUUUUGAAUCUGUCAGGUCAGGUCGACUUGUUCUUCUUUACUAUAUGUUGAAGCUAUCAUCUGCGAAGUGUCAUCACUUCUGGAGCUCUCAUAUUUUGAGUAGUAGGCCACAUUAUAUUAAUGCACACAACAAAUUACAGCAUGCAUGGCAUCUUUUAAAAGAAUUACAGAGAUAGCACAAAGGGGUUUACAGGGAGGCAGUAUUGGAUUAGAAUCACUUCUGCAUUACAAAGAAAAUCUCACCUGUUUUUAUGUUCUCAUGCAUGCCAGAUAUUGAACAUUAUCAAAAUCAAUAUGAGAAUGGGCGCACGAGAGGAAUAUUGCGGAACGAUCGACUGGCUAACAAACUUGGCAUGGUGGAGGAUGGCCUAUCUUAUUCACCCAUCAAGGUGCUUGCUCUAGCUUUGCAAAGUUGUAUUGGUCGCACAUAUUUUGCAUCUGACCUCUUGCAUUACUUCUACUUUGUUACACCAUCUGCUUAGUUUAAGCAUCAUAUAUGAUUAUAUGCCAUACCUAUCCAUUUUCUGUACCUAUUCCAUGUGUCGGCACACUAUGUUUUUCCAAUCAAAUGUUGUUCUUUUGUAAUAGAUGUCCAAAAAGAAGAGGGUGAGUGCAGAUCCUCAAGGAGUACAAACUAGGUAUUUGGAAAAGGUAGUGAUACCUGUUAAAUCAGAUAGAUCAGCAGCCACAGAAAACACAUGCCCAACUGUACCACACUUUACCCCUACUCCAGUGGCCAAACCCCUAUUAGAACUGCUGGGAGCCCAGCGUCAGGUACUGUCUAUGAUAUCAAUUCAAAAUUUGAACUCCUAAAUUUCUGCUUGUGCCUUACCUUCUCUCUUGUAUGAAAACUAAUUUCAGAUGAAUCUCCUUGCUCAAAGGAUCAUAUGAUCUCAAAACAAUAAUGGGCUCUGCAUUGCUCUCGUCAGUACCUCUCUCCCUUUUGCCUUGUAACACUUUACUUAAUUAAUUGCUAUUUGAUUAUGUAUCAUCAGUCUGCACUUGAGCUUCAUUAUCCUCUGUUUCUUACAAUAUUAUUUGAUCUAUAUUUACUCUUUGCAAAAUGUAGAAUAAUGGCAACGCUUAUAAAGAAUUUUCGUUGGGGAAUUUAUUGAAUUAUCCUUCCAUCAACAUGGAGAAGGGCUUUGUCCAGCCCGUGUUAACAUGUAAUGUAAGUUCAUCCUUCUCAAGCCUUCAAACUUUGUUCUAGUAUACAUUUGGAUAGGCAUCAUUUCCUCCACUGCUGUUUGCUUUGCUGUUUACAUCUGAUUGGAUGUUUGCAACAACUACCAGUUUCAAAUUGUAGUUGUAAAAACAUGUUCCUUUUGCAGAACAGAUCCAUUUAUUUGCUUAUAUAAUUAUGAAACAUGUUACGUGUCUCCUUGUUUCUCUUUCAUAGUCGUAUCUCUUACGCUAGGCAGAACCUUAGGGAAGAUAGUGAGCCAAACCAUCUUGUGGACAGCGAGAUGACCCCAAGGUCCUGUCUUGAUGAAGACAGUGAGUUGAAGCUACUCACCAGCAGGUGUGAGACAACCUUUGUGCAGUCGCUGCCUCAAUCAGUUCGACUUCUUCAGUCUCAACUUAAAGCGGAAAGGCUUGCUUCAGCUCAGCUCCGACUUGAAGUCAAAGAUGCAAUGAAGAUGUCAGAGGACUGCAGUGCGCACCAUCAAGCCUUAAAUCUAGUGUUGAUGCAUCUAUCGUUGACACAACUGAGGUCUACUCAGCUUCUUCAGCUGUUUGGGGGGCCCUUCCUAGCCAGGCCUAGUGCCUUCUGAAGUGCUCUCAGUUUUGUAUAUUCUUUUGUCGGCGCGUUUAUUUGCACUCGUGGCGAACUUUGAUGCCCAGUGAUGUAAUAUGUGAUAGCUGUGAUAGCCUAGCAUAAGUUGCUUGCUUAUUUAUUUCCUUGUUGUCUUGUUUAUUUGUUUGCUUGUAGUCAUUGCAGUUCUUUUUCCGAGGUUUGCUAUUGGCUGCAAUAACCUAUUUUUUAAAACUAGGCUACAAUAACCAUGGGCUAAUAUUUACUGUAGUGACACUGGGCCUCCUACGGGCCGUAGAAACAGUGGGCCUUCUACGGGCCGUAGAAAUAGUGGGCCUUCUACGGGCCGUAGAAACAAUGGGCCUUCUAAGGCCCGUAGAAACAAUGGGAUUUCUAUAGGCCGUAUCAUCAAUGGGCCUUAUAAGGGCAGUAUGAUAACAUGGGCCAAUAACAGGCCGCAUUAUGGCCGUAAACGGGCUAGAGUUGGAAUCGUCCGUUCAUAGGCCGACCAUAACGGGCCAUCGUUAAUAGGCCGCAUUUCAUGACGCUAUGAAAACGGCCCAACGUAUUAACGGGCCACAAACGGGCCGACUGUAACCACGGGCUGAAUUUGGCCCACAAGCAGAAAAUGACAGUAACGGGCCAUAAGUAAACGAAUGCUGGAAAUGAGCCCAAGAAUGAAUGGGCUCCGAGAAGGCCGAAAGAUAGCAUGGGCUGAAAACGGCCCAACAGAAUAACGGGCCGUUAAUGGGUAUAAAGUGAUACACUGUUCAUUACGGGCCAGUUUCACCACGGGCCGUUAAUGGGUGUAAAGUCAUACACUGUUCAUUACGGGCCAGUUUCACCACGGGCUGUUAAUAGGCCAAGAGUUACAUAGGGCCUCAUAUGGGCCGAAAGACGUCAUGGGCCAUACGUGGGCCAGAAGUGAAAACGGGCUGGAAUCAUAUUGGGUGGCCCAUAUGACGCUACUGGGCCUAAUUUGGAUAGGGCGUAACGGGCCUUGGGUUAGCGGGCUGUAAAUGGGAUAUAUGCAAACAAGCCGUUAACAGGCUUUCCAUGGGCCGGCCCACCACAUUUUGACCAAGUCAAACGGGCCGGCCUUUUCACAGGAAUGGGCCUCUGUUGGUCCAUGCCACGUGUCGACGUAUCACAGGCGCCUUCCGUCCAAUGAGUGGAUGACAUCUGUCCCAACGAUGAGCAGACACGUGUUUCCUCCAGCCAAUGAUGAUUUUACACAUGGAAAAUCCCCAUUGGCCGAGGCUGUUAACGGGUUAUCGGAUCCAAAAUCCGACCCGGUAGCUUAACGGCGUUCCGUUACGGUGUAUGCCACGUGUCGGUCACCCUUGACGAAAGCACUUCUGUGACGCGUGAUUUAUCCGUGAUGAUAAUUUUGGUAAUGUCAUGGAACACUUCUACGACAGCACAGGUAUGACUAUCUUGAUUCUGUCAUAAAUUUGUCAUGGAUGCACAUGCAUGACAAAAAAUGCGACCUACUGUGACAAACACGUAUCAUCACGGAAGUGUAUUUGUUUUUGUAGUGAGACUUCGAUCGCCAGUCAUGUGGUUAGUGCAUCCACUGUCCAUAAUCCAUUCUGAAGUACGAGGUGUCAUAGCCUACUAUGCAGUUUGGGGGAUAGGCUUCACCAAGCAAGUUGUGAAGCAUAAACAUUUGACGAACAAGUGGAACAUGGAAAUUCAGAUCUUGGUUAGGCUAGAUAGGAUGACUGUCAAGGAAUCCCGGAACGAAAUACAAAGUAAGACCAUUUGGGCAUUUUAUCUUGCGCCCCAUGAGAUGUUUAAGGUCCCCAGCAUUAGCAUUGGACGCCUUAGAUUUUCGGCUGGAGACCAUUCCCUGCAAAAGAGAGUUAAGUUUUCUUAACCACCCACAUUUUUAGGGGUGGCUUAGAAUCAAUGAGUCUAAGUGCAGCAUCUGAGAACUUCGGCUUUGGAACCCUAGUAAAUAGCCUUGCAGGAGGUGAAUAAUACUCAUAGGAAUAAGCAGAAAAGUUCUUAGUUCUAUGAACAUAUUGGUUUGAGGAAACACGCUCAUAUUCAUGGGUCCGAGUAUGAUUUCCCUGCAAAACAUUCACGUUAGGGUGACUCAGAUGAGUCCUCGGUCUGUAUGAAGCUUUAGGACCAUAUGAAGCCUUUGGUAUGGGGUUUAUCUUCUUCACAGGUGGUGUCAAGAUGACAUUCAUCGGAAGAUUCUCAAGACAACUUUUGGGUACCCAUAUCUUCUUCAUAGGUGGCCCAUUCCUGCAGUUAGUACCAAUAUACCUGGCAAACACUUCACCAUUUUGAUUCUUAAACAAUUUAUAGUUUGCAUCAAAGGAUUCAUCAAUGAUAAUAGGGUUAGCACGAGUGAAACCAGAUAAGGUGGAUGGAUCUACUGAAGGUUCCUUUGCAGCAACCCAUGUGGUUUUGGGGUACCGCUCAGGCUUCCAGUACGACCCAUCAACACUCAUUUUCCUCUCGAACCAAACACCCUCUUUACUAGGGUUUCGGUUCAGAAUAUGCUUUUUGAGGACAUCACAUAAUGUCUGAUGCCCUUUGAGACUUUUGUACAUCCCUGUCUCAAGCAGUGUCUUCAACCUGGCAUUCUCAUCAGCAAUAGUAGUGGUAUCCUCAGCAGAGGGGUUAGUUACCACAUCAGCAGUUGAAGAUAUUGCAACAGUAGUAGCAGUAGAACAUUCAGCAAUAGAGGCAGCAUUAUCAGGCUCAAUGCAUUUUAGACACGAUGGUUCAAAUUCUUCCUGAGCGGAACUGAUCUGUUGAGCGCGAAGUGACUCGUUCUCUUUUUGAAGAUCUUCAUGGGCCGACCUCAAUUUCUCAAGUUCCUGCUUCCUUUGAAGAUAAUCAUAGGAAAGUUUUUUAUGAGAAGUUGAGAGCGAUUCAUGUAGACCUUCAAGUUCCUGGUACUUAACAUGAAGAUUUUUGAUGUCCUCAAUUAAGGACUGAGACUUGGUAAUUUCCGUGUCCAGCAGGUCAUCGCUUUUGUCUAACAGGUUUUGAGUAUGUUCCAUGGCUUUCUGUUGUUCAGUUGCAAUUUUAGCAAGUGUUCUGUAACUAGGUUUGGAUUCACCAUCAGAGUCAUCUUCACUUUAUGUCUAAAAGUAAGCAUCACGUGAGUUUACCUUGGCACCAUGUGCCAUAAAGCAGUAGGUGGGAGCCGAGUCGUCCUUGUCAUUAUCAUCAGCGUUGGUGACGGAGCCAUUGUCUUCAGUGUUGAAGAUGGACUUGGCGACAUAGGCUAUAGCUAGAGCUAGACUCGCAACACCAAAGUCGGACUCCUCCUCAGACUCCACCUGCGCCUCCUCUGAAGCAGACUCCUCCUCUGAAUCCAUUUCCUUGCCAACAAAAGCACGAGCCUUGCCCGAUCAGCUCUUCUUGUGUGAUGAAGACUUGGAAGAAGAUUUAGAAGAAUACUUUGAGGAUUUCUUCUUCCUCUUCUUGUCAUCAGAAUCAUAUUCUUUGCUCUUCUUCUUCUUCUUCUCAUUGUCCCACUGUGGACACUCAGAGAUGUAGUGACCAGGUUUCUUGCACUUGUGGAAGGUUCUCUUCUUGUGGUCAUAGGUGGAUGCUUCAUCAUUCCUUGAGCUGGAUCGUGAAGACUUUCUGAAGCUUUUCUUGUUGGUGAAUUUCUAGAACUUCUUCACAAGCAUAGCAAGCUCCUUUCCAAUAUCUUUAGGAUCACCAGAACUGUAGUCAGAUUCUUCUUCAGAUGAGGAACCAGCAGCCUUUGCCUUCAAAGCGCGAGUUCGGCCAUAGUUGGGGCCAUAGAUAUCUCGUUUCUUAGAUAGCUGGUACUCAUGUGUGUUGAGCCUCACAAGUAUGUCAGACGGAUCGAGAGUCUUGAAGUCAGGGCGUUCUUGUAUCAUCAGGGCUCAGGUGUCAAAUGAGUUGUCAAGAGCAAGCUUUUAAAUUGCAUCCGCUACCUCCGCUAUUGCGGCCGCAAUAGCGAUAGCGUCACCCUGCCGCUAUUAGUUUAAGGUUGCGUUGGAAAAUAGCGUGUUGUCAUGAUGCGGGCGCAAUAUCACUUGUUAGACUGCUAUAUGGUCCGCUAUCCGCAAUAUCGCCCGCUAUAUAAGUCCUUGUUAUUCUGUUGUGUAAUCUAUUUGGUAAAUGUGUCUUGCUUGCAUGGUUGCACGACCAAAUGUUGUUCAGUUAUAGUUUAUAUUCUUAUAUAAAUGAUGAUUUUUCAAAUUAAGUGUCAUAUUUUUGUCAAUGGCCUAGAAAUAUAUAGAACAAUCUCAAAUUUAUGAGUGUUUUUUAAAAAUUGGCUAUGUGGACAUAGCGCCCGCAAUAUCGCCCGCUAUUCGCAUUCCCGUACACGGACCUUAAUCCGCAACCAGUCCACUAUCCGCUAUUUAAAAGCUUGGUCAAGAGAUCUCAGUAGUGUCUUCACUAUUUCAUGCUUCGUAAUCUCAGUGGCCCCGAGUGCUUGGAGCUCAUUUGUGAUAUCAGUGAGGUGAUCAAAUGUGAGCUGGACGUUCUCAUUGUCGUGUCUCUUGAAACAGUUGAAGAGGUUGCGGAGAGUACUGAUCCGUUGAUCUCGCUGAAUUGAGACGCCUUGAUUGACCUUGGAGAGCCAGUCCCAGACUAGCUUGAAUGUUUCCAGAGCACUCACACGGCCAUACUGUCCUUUGGUCAGAUGACCACAGAUGAUGUUCCUGGUGGUAGAAUCCAGUUGAACGAACUUCUUGACAUCAGCAGGGGUAACACCUUCACCAGUCUUGGGAACGCCGUUCUUGACGACAUACCAUAGAUCGACAUCAAUGGCUUCAAGAUGCAUGCACAUUCUAUUCUUCUAGUAGGGAUAUUCAGUGCCACCUAUGACAAUCUGGUUUUUGCCCUCUUUUCUUUGCCUGGUUUUCAGUUGAGUUGGUUUUGAAUUUGGAGUUUUUGAAUCACUUCAUUUGGACUUAACCACUUGGGUACUCCUUGACUUUCACCCAAGUGCUCCCUCUCCUCCUCAAAACCAUCAUUUCACCUCUGGAUCAACUCAAAAUAUUGCUUGGGACAUUUUUCUUAAAUGAAAAAUAUUCAUUUUGCGCUCCAAAACCCUAGUUAGCCCUUUGUGCUCCAAAGCAACCCUAAGUUUUCUUGCCCCAAAAAUACUGAGAAAAAUCCCAAUUAUUCUUUGGACCCUAGGGCACCUUUAUGUGCAAAAAAAUUUCACCACUCUUUGGAAUAUUUUAUCUACAGAAAAUAAAUUCAUUUUUGGACAGAAAUGGUAGUUUCGACAGCAACUACCAUUUUACUAGCUCCAUUGUAGCUGGUUUUUCUUGUGCCUAUUUACCUUAGUAAGUGUAAACAAGCCUCCAAAGCUCAGCCCUUAACUCCCAGUGGUUUGAUCAGAGUAAAUCUCCAAAGUUACCGUCCAGAAACUUGCUAGCAGUACAAAUCCAUUUCUAUUGCACCUGGAUCCAAGCCAAACCAUGGUAACACUUCAAACUACCAAGGACUACACGCAGCCUAAUGUCAUGGUUCAUGCGGUGACCGUGUUCAUCCGGGCGUGCUGGCAUGCAAAACACGCGCUCUGCGUGACGCCUAGCGCUCUGUUGAGCGCGUGCUCGCUGCCCUGCAUCCCCGAGCAUGCCAAACCUUGCCACCAUCCUAGUCUCCACUCCCUUAACUCCCCCCUGGCACUCGCCGACACCGGAGCUCGCCAUAGCGGGCAUGGGCACGGUCCGGCCAAUGACACAGUGCGUGGUGCACUGUGCUCAUCGUUUUCUCCCUCGUCCCUGUGCUCGUCCACGCCCGCCAAUAGUUCCCACGUGACCUCCGUCGUCUUCCCCCUCUCUUGCUGGCGCCGUUCGUUGCCGGGCACCAUGGACGGGUGUCCUUCGACGGAGCCCGAACCCUCCUCGCCGCCCGCCUAUAAAUGCCGCCACCCCCAGCCUCUUUGAGCACCCGCAACUACUCCCACACCCUCCACAAACUUGUAGAAGCCGCAGCCCGCCGGGCAGGCCACGGGCUGCCGUCCCGAAGCUCGAGCUCGCCGGCGAUCCCCUUCGGAUCGUCCCCGCAGCUCCAGCCCCUCCCAGGCCAGGACGACCCUGCCAGGGCCUCCGCCACUCUUCGUUGAGGGUGUUCCACCCUGUUGGAGCCCCUGGAGCCGCCCCGAGCCACCGUCGUCUUCGUCUCCGGCGACCGCUGCCCUCUGCCUCCGCUGGAGAGGCCAUUUCCGAUGCCGUCCGGUCACCUCUAGCCACGCUACGGGUAUGGGCAGGUGCGCCAUCUUCUUCUCCUUUGAUCCCCCCUCUCGUUUGACCCCAAGAACCCUCGUCGCCGGCGUGUGCUCCGGCGAAGCUCCGCCUCGCUCCGUUUCCUUCUCCCCCUCCUUCUGGCCUGACUAGCGGGGCCCGCUAGUCAGCCACUCAGUACACGCGCGAAGCGGUAUGAGUGGUGGCGCCCCGGGCGUUUACACCUUUGAUGUCACCCCCCAGUCUGUUUUCUUUUUAAAUCAAAUUCAUUUAAAUCCAGGAAACUUCAAAUAGCCCUAACUUUUUAUCUAUAAGUCCAAAUGCAUUGAUUCUUUUUGCAUUGUGUUCUUUGUCCAAAAAUCUAACAGCACCCAAAAGAUGGGAUUUUUCCUUGCUAUCUAGAUUUUCUGGUAAUUCUCAGAAGAUUUCUUGAUGUUUUCUUUUUGUGGUUUUAUUUAUUUUCAGAAGAGCAUGCUUGUCUUGAGGAUCAAAGGAGAUUUGUGAACCUCAUCAGCACUAAGGCAAGCCACAACAACAUUUUCAUAGUGCCACAUCAAUAUUUGUGAUUUCCUACUUGAACUUAUGAUUAUUCAUGCAUUUAAAUAAUUAUUAUAGUUAUAUUCUGUUAGAUGCUUGUCAUGUUAAAUAUGCUUGAUUUACAGAAAGUUUGAAAUGAAUUUUGCUGAUAAGCUAACAAGAACUUAGAUAUGAGUAAUGAUAAUAUGAUAUAGUCAUGGAUGUUAAUAAUUGGUUUAAUUAUUAUUCUUGCAUGAUGAAAAAUGAUGAGAUUGCUAGAAAUGGUUCUGGUUUAAGUGAGGUUUGAUCUUAACCAGAGAAGAUCUUGAGUUGGUGAUGGCUCCGUCGGAGCAUAGUUGAAUUAGUUAUUCUCUUGGUUAUUUGAUGCAUAUGUUAGUGAUGCAUAGCAUGGCAUUAUGACACCGGUUACUUUCACUUUAAGUUGAACCUGAUAAAUAACUCAACUUGAAUAUGUUGUUGACCGGGUCGUGGUGCCGCUGAAACGAGUUUUUCCCAGUGCAACCACAUUUGCCGGUAUGGGACGGCCUUAAUGCGUUUCAUUGUCGUGCCUCUGGUCAGUGCCUCCAUCUAGGGAAGGUUAUGGGCGUGCUGUACCCUGGCCCUGUAAGCAGGCAUAACCUUGUGUGCCAGUUGAUGAGUUAAGUGUUUGGGUCCCAGAGUGGAUUGUUGCCACGAUGGUGGUUUGAGGUGUCUUGAGGUAGACAUAGGGCCACCCAGGACUAGCCCGAUGGGGAUUGAGUCAGAGUGGCCGAGAGAGUGUCAUGACAAUGAAGUGGUUUCGUCGGAAUGUCGUUGGUCCACCCAAAUGGGAGUGCGAGGCCAUGGGUUUCGUAGUGUGGGUACAGUACGCUACCUCUGAAGAGUGUAUUAAUCUAUCGAUAGCCGAGUCCGCGGUUACGGACACGCUCAAAAGUAGGGUACACCAUGGGUCAACACUUAGUAAAUUUGCACACUGAAACUUGCACUAAGGUAAUGGCAGUGAGGCCAUCGUGUUGAGGUUGAGACCAAGUGUUGGUCAGGGUUGUGAUCGCCGUAAGAAUCACGAGACUGUCAUUGAGUUCUUCAUGUUUGUGGUCUAGAAAUGAUCACGUUCGGUAAGCCAGUCCAUGGGACGAGUACCACUUGAGAAUAUUCACAGCAUGUUGGAUAUAUAUUGUUGCAUUGUAUUUAAUUGGUUAAGUAUCAUGAUAUUGUCUGUCAUUAUGUUUAUGCUUGUUGUGAGCUUGCAAAUACAUUCAAUGUACUGACCUGGCAUGUCAUGCCAGAUUUCAGGAAAGUCUCGUUGGAAAGGAGAGCUGUCCGAGUCUAGAUCGUGUCCACAUCGGUGUCCCUGUGCUAUGGAGUCCCGCUACAACGUUAUUCCGCUGCCGCGUAGUUGUCAUGAUCGAGGCCCCUUUAUGUUUAUUAAAUAAUGUACAUAUUGUUCAGUCGCACCGUGCGUGCCGCUUGGCCUCGCUAACUGUUGUAAUAUGAACUAUGCUCCACUAGCAUAAAUAAAGCGGUUGUUUUUCUAUACCAAGUUGUUGUGUGUUGCCAGAAGACAAUGUCUCUGGGCUGGCAAUGCAGGGUAAACCAGUCACUCUGAGCCGGGGUGCCACAACGCUUGGUAUCAGAGCCGCGCUGACUGUAGGCCACGCUAGACUAUGCCGAGUUAAUUGGACAUUAGAUACGAGUUGUAGUUGAGUGUCGGUAGCCUAUUGUAGCUGGUUGUUGCAUUGCAUGCACUAAUUAUUAAUUUUAUGCUAACAUGCUAAUGGCUGUGAGUGUAGAUGGCUCCAGUGCUGUAUCCGUGCCAGUUGCAGCUGAUGUCGUACACGUCGCCACAUCUCGUUCGUAACGUGUGGCGUCGGCUGUACCCUCACGGUGACGAUCCAGUCUAUCAUGUGUACCGGGAGUGUCUAGCUGACUCAGUUUAGGAGUAUCACACCGUGGUUACUCUAUGCACCAAUUCCGAUUCCAUCACUUACACUCGUAGUUCUCAAAGCGGCUACGCUUCUACCGCUUCUCAGGUUGUCCAGUUUGCUGCAUUCGAGGUACUCGUUGAGCUCCGUUACAACAAGGUCCGGAUGCAGAACCACCCAGGUUUCCACUUCUAUCCUUCUCUCCAUGAUAAUGGUCGUGUCCGUUUCCCUGUCAUUGAGCCGGAGUCUGAUAAUGUAGCUAGCCACCUUUCUCGCUAUAUCACUGCUAGCUAUCUUCUGAUCUACGAGUUGGCUCGUGAGCUGAGUCACGCCCGUACUGCUUUAGCCUCUGCUAGCUAGCCACUACCCCACCAUCGGUAGGAUUUACUCCCUAUAUUCCUGCCAGAUCUCGAUCCCCUGUUUCCCCGGUUACUCCUCCGAGUCGGUUGGGCACCACGACUGUGAGUCCACUUAGUGCUCCUGCUGAGUGGGUUUCACUCCUCGCCCCUCCUGUAGCCCCGAUGAUUCACCCUCCACCUACCCCAGAGGGAGAGCCCUCGAGGCACCAUCAUUGUGUCAGUUUUAACCCGGAGGUCUCAGUUAACCCCGUCAGUUCAGGAUCCGAGUCCGCUUCAGGAGAGGACACCGCAGCACCAGCCGAGCAGUAGAGCUUCCGAGUAUUCGCAAUCGUCAGCAUGGAGUAUGGAUGUAGUCGUACGAAUCAUGAUGUUUCGUUUCAUGUAUGAGGGUAGUUGGACCUGGCAUGUGUUAUCUUUCAUGUAUGAGUCUAUGUAUUAUUAUGUUCGAACUUUAUUUUAUUUGCCGUAUUUUCUUCGCCAUUUCGGUUUUACUUGGAUUUUUGUUGCUGGCUUCUCCCCUGUUUAUUUUGAAUGCUUCUCAUCUCGGUUGCGUUGCCUUGGGAAAAUAAUCAUAUUUGGAUGACGCGAGGAGGCUGCAGUAGCAACGUUCGCAAGGGUUCUCCUGUUCGUCGUUCCGCAUGACAGGCAGGACACUCACCCGAGCCGUACGUUCCACCACCGCCUCCACCGCCAAGUCCGCCCUCCACCGAGCAAAUUCUGCAUAUGUUUUAGGAAAGACGAAAUAAUGAUCUGAUGGAAAUAUUCAGAAGUAUUCAAGCUGUGGUUGGACAGAAUGGCAAUCAUCCCGGUCAUCACUCCAAGCUAUCUGAUUUUCAAAGGACUAAGCCUCCCAGUUUCAGUCAGACCCUUGAUCCCUUCGAUGCAGAUGAUUGGUUGAAAACUAUGGAAAAGAAGCUUGAGGUUGCUCAAACUGAUGAAGUGGAUAAAUUUCCAUUUGUAACACAUUAUCUUGAAGGCGCUGUUGCCAUAUGGUGGGAAAAUGAAAAAGCCAUGUGGACUGCUGAUGAAGAAAUUACCUGUUCAAGGUUCAAGGAACGAUUCCGGAAAUAUCACAUCCCUACGGGAAUUAUGAAGACUAAGCAGCGUGAAUUUCUCGCGCUCCUCCAAGGAAGUCAGUCGGUGGGAGAAUAUUUGCAGAAAUUCAAUCAUCUGUCACGUUACUCUCAAUAUGAUGUGGCCACCGAGGAAAGAAAGAUGGCAGGUUUCUUGGUGGGUUAAAACCACAACUCCGUUGUACUCUCUGCAUGUUUGAUUUCCCAGACUUCCAAACCCUGGUGAACAAGGCUUUCAUUGCUGAAAGGGAACACAAGCUUACAUCAGAUACUAAGCCUGCCAACAAUGAUCACAAGUGCAAGUUUGAGCAAGGAAAAGAAAUGCAACCAGUGCAGAAGGUUCGUACCUGGCAGCCGACUCAGGUAGCAUACAAGCCCAAUUGGCAGCAAAAUGUUAACAAGACCACCACCCAUGUCAAGAAUGACGUGCUCAACCCAGUUCUAGAGAAUCGUCUAUGCAACAAUUCCUAUUUCAAUUGUGGGCAAAUCGGACAUUAUGCCAAGCAGUGUCCCACGAACAAUCGUACCAAUGCUACAUUCAAGCCACAAGUCCAUUAUAUGGAGGUAUGCCCAGAUCAGCACGACCUCACGGGGUACAUUCAUCACAUCUCCGCCGACGAAGCCCAGGAGAACCCCGAAGUUGUCAUUGGUAUGUUCCCUGUUAAUAACAUACCUGCAGUAAUUUUAUUUGACUCUGGGGCUUCCCACUCUUUCAUUUCUCGGAGUUUUAUUUCCCAAAACAAAUUUCGUUGUUCGCUUUUGGGCAAGAAUAUGCUGGUGCAAACCCCGGGAUCUCUAAUCAGAAGCAAUAUAGUCUGCCGUAAUCUGGAAGUCAAUAUCAACGGAGUCUGUUUUCCAACUUCUUUGAUACUUAUUGAAUCCGAUAAGUUGGAUGUUAUCUUGGGUAUGAAUUGGUUGACUUAGUAUCAAGUAUGCAUUAAUUGUGCGACCCGAGAAGUCAACUUGACCGGCCAAGAGGGACAAACUACAAAAUUUAUUGCUCGUAGGAGCAUACCCUCCAAGGAAAUGGUCUUUAUAGCAAUGGCUGAAAUGGAAUUAAUUCCGGUGGUCAGCGAGUUUCCUGAUGUAUUCCUAGAAGAACUGCCAGGCAUGCCCUCUGAUCGAGAGCUUGAGUUUGCAAUAGAUCUUGUGCCCGGAACCACACCAAUACACAAGAAGUAUUAUCGAAUGCCGUCAUCAGAAUUAGUGGAGCUAAAGAAACAGCUUGAUGAAAUGCUCCAGAAACGGUAUAUCCGCCCCAGCUCCUCACCAUGGGGAUCACCUGCUAUCUUCGUGGACAAGAAAGAUGGUAGCCUCCGCAUGUGUGUGGAUUAUCGUCAGCUGAAUGAUGUCACAAUCAAGAACAAAUACCCUCUGCCAAGAAUUGAUGAUUUGUUUGAUCAGCUUACUGGGGCCAAUGUAUUCUCCAAGAUUGAUUUACGGACGGGAUAUUAUCAGCUCAAAAUUAAAAAGGAGGAUAUUCCCAAGACCGCGUUCACCACCCGCUACGGUCUCUAUGAAGAUACAGUUAUGUCUUUUGGCCUCACCAACGCCCCCGCCUUCUUCAUGCAUAUGAUGAAUAAAGUAUUCAUGGACUUCCUCGAUAAGUUCGUGGUCGUCUUCAUCGAUGAUAUACUCAUUUACUCAAGAAGUGAAGAAGAGCAUAAGGAACACCUCCGAGCAGUGUUACAACGACUCCGUGAGCAUCAGUUAUACACCAAAUUCAGUAAAUGUGAGUUUUGGCUCAAGCAAGUUGGAUUCCUCGGGCAUGUCCUAUCCGCUGAAGGUAUAGCCGUGGACCCAAGCAAGGUAAAGGAUGUGCUCGACUGGUUGCCACCCGCAACCGUAUCUCAGAUCCAAAGUUUUCUUGGAUUAGCCGGAUACUACCGUCGUUUCAUGGAAGGGUUUUCCAAGAUUGCUAAACCCAUGACAGAGCUGCUCAAAAAGGAUAAGAAGUUUGAAUGGACUAAGGACUAUGAGAAAAGUUUCACUGAUUUAAAGAAACGAUUGACAACUGCACCAGUAUUAACACUCCCAGAUAUCUACCGCAGCUUUGAGUUGUACUGCGACGCUUCCAGGCAAGGACUGGGAUGCAUACUUAUGCAAGAUGGAAAGGUAGUAGCUUAUGACUCACGGUAGCAACGACCCUACGAGGGGAAUUACCCCACUCAUGAUUUGGAAAUGGCCGCGGUGGUUUAUGCUUUAAAAAUUUGGAGACACUACCUCAUCGGAAAAAGGUGACAAAUUUUUACCGAUCAAAAAAGCCUCAAAUAUAUAUUUACUCAUCCGGAUUUAAAUCUCCGUAAACAAAGAUGGCUUGAGUUGGUUAAGUAUUAUGACAUUGGAAUAAAUUACCAUCCGGGUAAGGCCAACGUGGUUGCCGAUGCGCUCAGUCGAAAGCCCGUCAGUUUAAAUGUCAUAUUGGAAUCAUUGCCUCCCAAACUUAAAGAAGAGAUUGCUCAGCUCAACCUAGUCAUAGUUGAGGCAGGCCUUGCUAAUAUUCUGAAAGUUACCCCUACACUUGAGGAAGAAAUACGCAAGGCCCAGCCAGGCGAUGCCGGUCUGCAGAAACAUGUCAAGCUUUCCGAUUUCUCGGAGGAUCAGUACGGUACCCUCCGAUUCAGGGGAAGGAUUUGUGUGCCUAAUCAAACAUAUUUGAAGCAGAAGAUCCUGUCAGAAGCCCAUGAAUCCUCGUAUUCAAUUCACCCUAGAGGCACAAAAAUGUACGAAGACCUUCGACAAAUAUUCUGGUAGGAUGGAAUGAAGAAGGACAUUGCUUAUUUCGUGGCCUGUUGCGACAUAUGCAACAAAGUAAAGGCAGAACAUCAGAAGCUAGCCGGACUUCUCCAACCGCUACUAGUGUCGCAAUGGAAAUGGGAUGAUGUCUAUAUGGAUUUCAUCACAGGACUACCUAAGACCCGAUGAGGCAAUGAUGCAAUCUGGGUCAUAGUGGAUACAUUAACCAAGGUAGCCCACACUUCCUCCCGAUCAGAACCUCAUAUCAAGCAGAUGAGCUUGCACAACUGUAUGUAUCCAGAAUAGUCAGUCUGCAUGGAGUUCCCCGAACCAUCACUUCUGACCGAGGUUCACUGUUUACCUCCGCUUUUUGGUCCCGUCUCCAUCAAUCCCUAGGGACGGAAUUGAAAUACAGUACCGCUUAUCAUCCUCAAACAGAUGGACAGACAGAACGGGUAAAUCAAAUACUUGAAGAUAUGCUGCGAGCCUGUGCUUUGGCCCAAGGCCCAAAAUGGGAAGACUGCUUGCCGUACGUCGAAUUCUCGUAUAACAAUAGCUUCCAGACCAGUUUAAAGAUGUCACCGUAUGAAGCUUUGUAUGGCCGUAAGUGCCGCACACCAUUAAAUUGGUCUCAAACUGGAGAUAGCCAUAUUUUCGGAACGAAUCUCAUGCUGGAAGCCGAAAAGCAAGUCAAGGAAAUCUGAGAUAGAUUGCAAUUGUCCAAAUCGCGACAGAAUAGUUAUUACGAUGCAAAGCACCGACAGAUCAGCUUUGAACCCGGAGAACAUGUCUAUCUUCGAGUCACGCCUAUGAAAGGUAUCAAGAGGUUUCAAACUCGUGGAAAAUUUGCACCCAGAUUUAUUGGUCCGUUUCCCGUUAUGACACGAGUGGGUGCUGUGGCAUAUCAGUUGGAGUUACCCCCUGAGUUGUCAGACGUGCAAAACGUGUUCCACGUUUCACAAUUGCGAUGGUGCAUAUCGCCGCCCGAGAAAAAGACUGAUUUGACAAAAAUAGAGCUGGCAAAGGACUUAACGUAUGAAGAAAGGCCGGUGAAAAUUUUGGAUCAAAUGGAAAGGGUCACUCGCAGUAAAGCAUGAAAGUUUUAAAGCAUCACACAGAGUCAGAAUCAACAUGGGAAUCAGAAGAAUUUCUAAGGGCAUGUUAUCCAGAACGGUUUUCCCAAGCAACCAAAUCUCGAGGACGAGAUUCAUUCUAAGUGGGGGAGGUUUGUGACAGUGUGGUUUUUGCCCUCUUUUCUUUGCCUGGUUUUCAGUUGAGUUGGUUUUGAAUUUGGAGUUUUUGAAUCACUUCUUUGGACUUAACCACUUGGGUACUCCUUUACUUUCACCCAAGUGCUCCCUCUCCUCCUCAAAACCAUCAUUUCACCUCUGGAUCAACUCAAAAUAUUGCUUGGGAUAUUUUUCUUAAAUGAAAAAUAUUCAUUUUGCCCUCCAAAACCCUAGCUAGCCCUUUGUGCUCCAAAGCAACCAUAAUUUAUCUGGCCACAAAAAUCCUGUGAAAAAUCCCAAUUCUUCUUUGGACCCUAGGGCACAUUUCUGAGCAAAAAUAUUUCACCACUCUUUGGAAUAUUUUGGCUACAGAAAAUAAAUUCGUUUCUGGAUAGAAAUGGUAGUUUCUACAGCAACUACCAUUUUACUAGCUCCAUUGUAGCUGGUUUUUCUUGUGCCUAUUUACCUUCCUAAGUGUAAACAAGCCUCCAAAGCUCAGCCCUUAACUCCGAGUGGUUUGACCAGAGUAAAUCUCCAAAGUUACUGUCCAGAAACUUGCUAGCAAUACAAAUCCAUUUCUACUGCACCUGGAUCCAAGCCAAACCGUGGUAACACUUCAAACUACCAAGGACUACACGCCAGACAUCAAGUUAGCACUUAGGGUGGCCUGAUGUCAUGGUUCACGCGAUGAUCGCGUUCGUCCGGGCGUGCUGGCAUGCAAAACACAUGCUCUGCGUGCCGCCUAGCGCUCUGUUGAGUGCGUGCUCGCUGCCUAGCCUGCCCGAGCAUGCCAAACUUCACCACCAUCCCCGUCUCCACUCCCUUAACUCCCCCUGGCACUCGCCGAUGCUGGAGCUCGCCACAGCAGGCACGAGCACGGUCCGGCCAACGACACAGUGUGCGGCACACUGUGCUCGUCGUCUUGUCCCUCGUCCUUGUGCUCGUCCGCGCCGCCAAUAGUUCCCGCGCGACCUCCGCCGUCUUCCCCCUCUCUCGUUGGCGCCGUUCGUCGUCGGGCGCCGUGGACAGGUGUCCUCCGGUGGAGCCCCAACCCUCCUCGCCGCCCGCGUAUAAAUGCCGCCACCCCCAGCCUCUUUGAGCACACGCAGCUAGUCCCACACCCUCCACAAACUUGUAGAAGCCGCAGCCCGCCCGGGCACGCCACGGGCUGCCGUCCCGAAGCUCGAGCUCACCGGCGAUCCCCUUCAGAUCGUUCCCAAAGCUCCAGCCCCUCCCAGGCUAGGGCGACCCUGCCAGGGCCUCCGCCACUCUUCGGUGAGGGUGUUCCGCCCUGUUGGAGCCCCUGGAGCUGCCCCGAGCCACCGUCGUCUUCGUCUCCGGCGACCGCUGCCCUCUGCCUCCGCCGGAGAGGCCGUUUCCAAUGUCGUUCGAUCACCUCUAGCCACGCUACGGGUACGGGUAGGUGCGCCAUCUUCUUCUCCUUCGAUCCCCCCUCUCGUUUGACCCCAAGAACCCUCGUCGCCGGCGUGUGCUCCGGCGAAGCUCCGCCUCGCUCUGUUUUCUUCUCCCCCUCCUUCUAGCCUGACUAGCUGGGCCCGCUAGUCAGCCACUCAGUACACAUGCGAAGCGGUACGAGUCGUGGCGCCUUGGGCCUUUACGCCUUCGAUGUCACCCCCCAGUCUGUUUUCUUUUUUAAUCAAAUUCAUUUAAAUCCAGGAAACUUCAAACAGCCAUAACUUUUUAUCUAUAAGUCCAAAUGCAUUGUUUCUUUUUUGCAUUGUGUUAUUUGUCCAAAAAUCUAACAGCACCAAAAACAUGGGAUUUUUCCUUGCUGUCUAGAUUUUCUGGUAAUUUUCAGAAGGUUUCUUGAUGUUUUGUUUUUGUGGUUUUAUUUAUUUUCAGAAGAGCAAGCUUGUCUUGAGGAUCAACAGGAGAUUUGUGAACCUCAUCAGCACUAAGGCAAGGCACGGCAACUUUUUCAUAGUGCCACGUCAAUAUUUGUGAUUUCCUACUUGAACUUAUGAUUAUUCAUGCAUUUAAAUAAUUAUUAUAGUUAUAUUCUGUUAGAUGCUUGUCAUGUUAAAUAUGCUUGAUUUACAGAAAGUUUGAAAUGAAUUUUUCUAAUAAGCUAACAAGAACUUAGAUAUGAGUAAUGAUAAUAUGAUAUAGUCAUGGAGGUUAAUAAUUAGUUUAAUUAUUAUUCUUGCAUGAUGAAAAAUGAUGAGAUUGCUAGAAAUGGUUCUGGUUUAAGUGAGGUUUGAUCUUAACCAGAGAAGAUCCUGAGUUGGUGAUGGCUCCGUCGGAGCGUAGUUGAAUUAGUUAUUCUCUUGGUUAUUUGAUGCAUAUGUUAGUGAUGCAUAGCAUGGCAUUAUGACACCGGUUACUUUAACUUUAAGUUGAACCUGAUAAAUAACUCAACUUGAAUAUGUUGUUGACCGGGUCGUGGUGCCGCUGAAACGAGUUUUUCCCAGUGUAACCACAUUUGCCGGUAUGGGACGGCCUUAAUGCGUUUCAUUGUCGUGCCUCUGGUCGGUGCCUCCAUCUAGGGAAGGUUAUGGGCGUGCUGUACCCUGGCCCUGUAAGCAGGCAUAACCUUGUGUGCUAGUUGAUGAGUUAAGUGUUUGGGUCCCAGAGUGGAUCGUUGCCAUGAUGGUGGUUUGAGGUGUCUUGAGGUAGACAUAGGGCCACCCAGGACUAGCCCGAUGGGGAUUGAGUCAGAGUGGUCGGGAGAGUGUCAUGACAAUGAAGUGGUUUCGUCGGAAUGUCGUUGGUCCGUCCAAAUGGGAGUGUGAGGCCAUGGGUUCCGUAGUGUGGGUAUAGUGCGCUGCCUCUGCAGAGUGUAUUAAUCUAUCGAUAGCCGAGUCCACGCUUACGGACACGCUCGAAAGUAGGGUACACCAUGGGUCAACACUUAAUAAAUUUGCACACUGAAACUUGCACUAAGGUAAUGGCAGUGAGGCCAUCGUGUUGAGGUUGAGACCAAGUGUUGGUCAAGGUUGUGAUCGCCGUAAGAAUCACGAGACUGUCAUUGAGCUAUUCAUGUUUGUGGUCUGGAAAUGAUCACGUUCGGUAAGCCAGUCCAUGGGACGAGUACCACUUGAGAAUAUUCACAGCAUGUUGGAUAUAUAUUGUUGCACUGCAUUUAAUUGGUUAAGUAUCAUGAUAUUGUCUGUCAUUAUGUUUAUGCUUGUUGUGAACUUGCAAGUACAUUCAAUGUACUGACCUGGCGUGUCAUGCCAGAUUUCAGUAAAGUCUCAUUGGAAAGGAGAGCUGUCCGAGUCUAGAUCGUGUCCACAUCGGUGUCCCUGUGCUAUGGAGUCCCGCUACGACGUUAUUCCGCUAUCGCGUAGUUGUCAUGAUCGAGGCCCCUUUAUGUUUACUAAAUAAUGUACAUAUUGUUCGGCCGCACCAUGUGUGCCGCUUGGCCUCGCUAAAUGUUGUAAUAUGUACUAUGCUCCGAUAGCAUAAAUAAAGCGGUUGUUUUUCUAUACCAAGUUGUUGUGUGUUACCAGAAGACAUGGUCUCUUGGCUGGCAAUGUAGGGUAAACCGGUCACUCUGAGCCGGGGUGCCACACCAUUGAAGAUGGGGCACGCAACAGAGACUUUGAUUAUCCCUGCAGUUGACAUAGCUAAAACUCCAGGUGGUUAAACCGAAUCACACAGAACAAGGGAGUUCCUUGCUCUGAUACCAAUUAAAAGGGCUAGUUAUCGACUAGAGGGGGGUGAAUAGGCAAUUGUUAUGAAAGUCUUCAGAACAUGGGAGUUUCAAAGACAAACAAUAGAAAUGACACUAUCCGUAUGCAGUGGAAGGUAGACUACACUAGACAAGCCAUAGUCAGGUAUUCAAUGAGGUGAAAGCACGAAGACUAUUAGCAGCUAGGUAGUAAAGAUCAGGAUGGAAGAUAGUAUGAAGACAAUCAGGAUAAGUAGUCACACAGUGAAGUUAAACAGAUAAUGCAAGUAGGCAAUGACUUCAUGAAGACAAACUGUAAGUAAAGAGAAGUGAGAGAUACAACCAGUAGCUUCGGGAGAACAGAGAUUUGUUUGACCAGUUCCAGUUGCUGUGACAACUGUACGUCUGGUUAGGGAGGCUGAGAUUCAACUCAGAAGACCGUGUCUUCACCUUAUUCCCCUUGAGCUAAGGACACCUAGUCCCCGCCCAAUCACUCUGGUAAGUUUUCAAGGUAGACUUCCAAACCUUCACAGACUUUGUUCACCGGCAAUCCAUAAUGACUCUUGGAUGCUCAGAACGCGAUGCCUAACUAGCUGGAGGAUUCACAAUCCUCAAGUGUAACAAGUCUUCAGAUCACGUGGACAGAAAGGCUUCAGUGAUGCCAAACACUCUUUGGGCUCUGGGUGGUUUGGGCUUUGUCCUCGCAAGUAUUCUCUCUCAAAAGCUUCGGAGGUGGGUUGCUCUCAAACGACAAAAGCCGUGUACUAACUCUGAACAGCCACCAAUUUAUGGUGUAGGGGGUGGGCUAUUUAUAGCCACAGGGCAACCCGACCUAAUUUGUCCGAAAUGAACCUGUGUCACUAAGGAACUGACACGUGUCUCAAUGGUCAGAUUUCAAACACACAUGACAGCUUGACUUGGGCUACAAGUAAAGCUGACUCAUCCGACUCUGGAUAAUAUUUGCUCUCAUUUUCUUCGCUCGAAGACAUAUGAUUUGGUUGAGCAUCACUUCAGUCACUCUGACUUUGUUCACUUGGACCCCACUUAACAGUACGGUGGUUCCUAUGACUCAACAAAGACGAAAAGGAAACAACAAAACAACUAAGUCUUCGCUCUCCAUAGUCUUCACGCGAUGUCUUCUCAUGUCAUAGUCUUCAACGUGAAUAGCUUCACAGACCACCAUUGUCUUCAAUAUCUUCACACAUUUUUAGGGGUCAUCUCCGCUAGGUAAAACGAAUCAAUGAGGGACUACUACCUAUGUUAUCCUGCAAUUCUCACAAACACAUUAGUCCCUCAACCAGGUUUGUCGUCAAUACUCCGAAACCAACUAGGGGUGGCACUAGAUGCACUUACAGUAUCCUUUUUCCUUUAUUGUUGUUCCCACUAAAUUUUUGUCUGACCGCCUCUGGGUGGUUUGUCUCACUGUAUCCACAUUCUGACGGAUCUUACCUUGCUUGUUCAUGUUUAUACUGGCUUCAAUUCUUUUCAUAUCUGCUGACUUAGCUGAGUGUGAUAGACUACCCUUACUGAGGUAUGUUGGCUGUCUCACAAAUUCGAGGGUGAUUUCCCGUUGUUGUGUCUGCACUGACAAUCUUCCAUGAAGUGAUGAUCAGAUUUUCCUGAUGAACACCCAAGCUCUGACUCCAUGCAUUGGGUUUCUCAACUGAAUGCAGGCCCUUUGGGUUCCAAACUAUGAGUUGAGGCAUAACCGUUUCCUGACAGGUUCUGAUUCAUCGCAGAAGUUUCUGAUUCAUCUUAACUGGCUCCAUUGUCUUGAGUAUCAGCUCCAUUCUAAUUAUUUAGCUGUCGCUUGCCGUGGCCAGCAUGAAGGGGUACGGCCUUAUAUGAGAGUAUCCGUAGACCUGACUAACAGUGGUUCUGACAGAUGAGAUUUUAUUCAUGCCAAGCUAUCCUUUGGUGAGUCUCAUAAUGGAGGGCUCAUGCUUCCAGACUAUUAUUCCACAUAUUGAUCACUCAUUCUGUCGGCAUAUCCAUGGAGAAAGUAGGCUUUAUGAUGCUUUUACCCAGAUUGUGAGAGUUGAACUGCUGAAUUGACCCUUAGUCUGACUUGACAGACUCAGAUAUUCGAUACUGACAAUUCUGAGCAUAUGUUGUCGACUGAGCGGGUUGCCUUGAUAUGGGGCCCUUACCAAAAAUUGAGUAGACCCCCCUUAGGUGAAUAUCCAUGGUGAUCCAUACUGACUCAGACUAUCUGGGGCAUCUACACCACGCGGUUCUUACAACAAGUAUCAGUCUUGCUCCUUCAUUACUGCUUUCUUGCCUGAAUCCUUGGGUGAAGGAGCGGGGUCAUGUUGUUUCUCUGUGCGACCAUAGUUUCUGUCGGGUGCUAUAUUCUGACAGGCAUACUCUUAUCCACAUCUUCUGACAUGGUAACCCAUUGAAUGGCAGGUUUAACACCUCUCAAGUUCUGACCGUAGGAAAAUGAUCAUCCGAACCCUUGAAGGAAAUCGGCAAAUAAAUCAGUGGCCACCAGAAUGGUCUUUACAACUCAGUUCUGGGGCAUUACUGAAAUAACUCAACCACGGCUCAGGACGGCUGAAAAGCAGCUCAGAGCAUGAGACCGGGUCGAUGAGAAGAAGGUCACUACUAGGGAAAACCUUAUACACAGAAGUUUAUCAGUAGCGCGGUCUAAAAACAGGCGCUACUGCUAAUUAGUAGUAGCGUGGGGUAUAAAAACCGCGCUACUACUAGGUUGAUAGUAGUAGCGAGGGGUAUAAACCCGCGCUACUACUAAAUGAUUUUCAUCAUACCCCUGGAACAGGCCAUAGUAGUAGCGAGGGGUAUAAAACCCGCGGUAUUGCUAAGUUGAUAGCUAUAGCGCUGGUAAGACACCCACGCUACUACUAACCGUGUCCGGUGCUACGCCAUCCACCCCGGCCCGAUCCACUCCCACCUCACCACUCUCUCCCUCUCAUCCCCAAAAAAACUCUCAUGAACUCUGCACGAUCUCGUUGGUCCACCCCACCAGGCUCCUCUCCCCACGAUCUCCUCGCCGCCGCCCCCACCCACGCCGGCCGGUUCCGGCGAGCACCAGCCGCGCGCAACACCCCCACCUCCUCCUCCUCCCCCUCCCUUCCCCUUCCUCCUCCGCUCGCCCCUUCUCUGUACUCCUUCCUCCCGGCAGCUGGUGAUGGGCGCGGACGAGGAGGAGCACUAGUCCCCCACGCGGAAGCGCGAGCACAAGGAGGGGGAGGAGCCCGCGGCCACCAAUGAGAAGCGCCCACGCACGGCGGACGAGUCAGAGGGCGCCUCGCUGCUGGGGCUCGCCAACUACGCAGAUGAGGAGGAGGAGCGCGGGGCCCCGAGGGGGCACGCGAACGGCCGGCCCCGGGAGGACAACGAGGAGGAGGAAGACGAUGAGGAUGAGGAGGAGCACGAGAGGAGGGCUCCGGAGAGGCGGCCCAGGCAGGUCGAGCUGCGCCGGGACUGCCCCAACCCCGACAGGUAUACUGUCUUUAGUUGCAAUGGAGGGUGCUAAGAUUGUUGGCGAUGCAGUGGUCUCUUACUAGUCACUAAUUAGUCAUACAAGCCAUAAAUGAUGCAUCUGGACCCUACCGCGAACGGCGCGACCGGGCGGGGCGCCGGCGCCACCACUAGACAUGGUCCCGUACCGUCUUGUGGCAGGUCCUCGGGCUGUCCAGGCAAGAGCAAGGUGAAUGUUAUUCAUUCGAAUUCGUGUACUGCAAACUUUUUCCUUUGUGUCCACUGUAAAAGUUGAAGGAUGAGUGCGUCUCAACUCAAGUGUAUACAUUGAUUCAGUGUUGUACUGUUAGAUUAGCUCGUCACCUUCAGUAACUGCUACAAGCAGAGCUAUGUGUAUCCCUGUUCUGAACUUGGAUGAAUUCAAGUCAACCGUUCAUCUUGUGUUCUGAACUUAAGAUUUUAUCAGUGUGAGGUUUCCUUGAAAAAAUGUGUGGUGGUUUUCUCCCCACGCCGAUGUAGCGGCCCGCACAUUGGAGACACGAGCAUCGCCAUGGUUUGCUGCAGAAUCUGAAACCAACCAAUUAGAACCUGAAACCUCAUGGUCAACUCAGUCUGAAUAAUAUUGCCUUGUACUACUAUUUGUAAUUUUGGUCAUGUU
rnacentral:lncRNA from 1 species